rnacentral:lncRNA from 1 species
GGAUCCGGCAAUUACAAGCAGGACGCGAUUCCCAAACCUCACAAAUCAAAAUUUACAAACCCUUAAAAUCCCAAUAGAUUUACGAGUUCCCGGAGUGGGAUUCAAAUCCCACGAAACCUUCAUGGCCACUGGACCAAAACACUAGACUAUUUCUCUACCAGAGAAAAUUAAGAUUUAAUUUUAAUUUAAACCCAUGAUGUUAUGGGUAAAAUGAUUUUUGGGCAUCGGUGGAGACUAUGCGCAAAUGAAGGAGAGAAGGGAAUAGAGAAGACUCGCAGACUACCUCACCGAAAAGAUCUCAUCCCCUGACUCCAUCGAGUUCCUCCUCCUUCCCUAGAACGACGCCUUCCACUACUCCAAAAUUCCUAGGUACUCGAUUCCACCAGCAGCGACAACCACAUCAGCAACGGCGAUAAUGAUCUUCAAAUUCUCAUGAUGCACUCGAGAGCUCCCUUGCUGAUCUUUAGAACCUUGACGACGGAUAAAUGAGGAUUGGAAAAGUCUCGAUCAUCGCCAGGUCUAGGAAUCGCGGGCGGGAAGCUCAUACGGUAGCCUGAUCUCGAGUUCAGGUGGUUUCCAUGACAGAGGACUCGCCGCAGACAACCAUCAAGAAGCAACGAGAGAGACACGAGGAGAAAUGGGGUUUUUAAUAAUUUUAAUUUUUUCAGAUUAAAAAUUCUUGACUUAUUUAAUUUUUAAAUUAUGAGUGGGUCCCAUUAUUGCCAAGUUAUCAUUUAACAAAUUUAAUGGAGGUUGGACAUUGCAACGAAUUCAUAAGUUAAUGUAUGACAUUGUAAUAUUUAAUACAUAAAGUAUGAGAUUGUGGUUCAACCAUAGUUGAUGUAGUUUUUAUAAUUUAUCUUCUUUUUUUUCAAAAUGUUGCUUAUCCCCAACUCUCAACAAGGCAACAGCAUCUUCGACCAAUUCUCUCUCAACUUGUGUGACCCUUUCAAGGAUUUCCCAUUCCCUUCAUCCUCAUCACUCUCUACAUUCCCUGAUUUUUCUCGGGAAAAUCGGCUUUUAUGAACACUACAGUCGACUGGAAGGAGACCCCCGAAACCCACGUGUUCAAAACAGACAUUUUGGGGCUGAAGAUGAUGUGCGGAAGCGUCAAAUAUGAAACCAAUAAACUACAACGGCAAAAUAUGAUAAGACAAAUAAUCCAAAUGACACAAGGAUUUAUACUGGUUCGACGAAAGCCUACGUCCAGUUCCGAGACGGCGAGGAAAUUCCACUAAUAUCAAAAGGAGAUUACAAAUAGAGUUUUAACUCUCAAACCCAAAUCUCACAUACACCCAAUAGCUCUCACUCUCACAAAGAACAAUUUGGAGAAGAUGGACACACAUCAAAUACCAUCACUCCCAAAAGCUACACAACAUGUGGCAGCAACAUCUUUGAUUGAGGGAUUACUAACAAAAGGGGAUUACAAACAAAUGGGAAGGAGCAUCACUGUUUCAAAUGGGAGAGCCGAACGCUCUCCCUGGUAUGGCUCUUAUCUGAUGCCGCUCCCCCCAUCUCUCCCACAUUCGGCUGCAACCUUUAUCCAUACAAAAGCAUCCAAUAAAAAAUCCAAAGUAAAGGAAUAAUCAUUACUUUACAAACAUCAUCAUGACCUUCCUUUUUUUUUUCAACAAGCAUCAUCAUUGUGUCUUUACUCAUGAUGUCCACCAAACUUUUCUUUGUUUAGUUUACUAGCCAAAAGGCAUUUGGCUUAUUGUCCACUUGGCCACUAAUUUGGCCACUAUCCAACAGAAGAAGGAUGAGGUGAAGGUGGAGGUGGAAGACAACAGGGUGCUUUAGAUCAGCGAAGAGAAGAAUGUGGAGAAGGAGGACAAACACGACAAGUGGCAUAGAGUGGUAAGGAGCAGAGGCAAGUUCUUGAAAGAUUUCAGCUUCCGGAGAAUGCAAAGGUCGAUCAGAUUAAGGCUGCCAUGGAGAAUGGAGUUCUGAGUGUGAUCGUACCAAAGACAGAGGUGAAGAAGCCUGACGUCAAAGCCGUUGAAAUCAAUGGUUAAUUAAUAGUGAAAUAAUAAGAUUAUGAAUGUUGUGUUCUUAGGAAAUAAGAUUAUGAAAUAGAGUGCCCAAAAAAGAGUGAUUUGUGUAAUUGUUUGUAAAAUAAUGACUUGUGCGUGGUUAAUUUGAUACAAAUUUGGAUUUACGCGUUUGAAAAUAAUAUUAAGUGAGGAUAAUCGGAAAACAGCUUUUGUAGUAAAAAUUUAGAUUUAAACUUUUUGGUAAAGUUCAUUAGGUUUCAUGUUCGAAUGUGAAAGUUAUAUUAUUUUUCUGUUACUUGUCAUUUCACUCUAUAUUUUUUCACGCGGUAUCAUACCAUUGCCAAGCCCCUUUCUCACUUCUCCCUCUUCGUCUCUCUACACCUACAUCCCGUCUUCUCUCUCCUCUGUCUCACUUUCAAUGCGCAAAACAUUUUUGUGAGUUUUUAGAUUUUAAAGCUCUGAUUGGAUCAGUUUGAAUGAAAAGUUUUAACCAAGCUUCUAAAACUGGAGAAAGGAUUUCUAGGCAGCAAAAGGCAAGACCCAUGGCGUACAAUUGAGAUUUUAAAAAAAAUGGCUUUGAGAUUUGUUGGUUAGGAUGUCCUUCCCUCAAUUGUGAGCAGCUCUUAAUAUGCUUUCUUCGCAGGCAGGCGAAUUGGAGACAAUAGUAUGCUUUUGAAGGAGUUUCUUAAAAAAACACUUUCAAACAAAUUUGUAUAGAAUUUAUAUGCUACGACUAAUAGUAGCCCUACUAUUGUUCGAAAUAGAUUACCAAUUCUAAUUGUGAUGUUUGUACUGUAAAAUAAUGUGAUGCCUCGAACGAAUGAGGAUGGCUCAAGCCAUGUAUUGUGCCUUGAGAAUGUGGGGUUGGGAAGCAAUGCAUCCAAUUUUUCUUUCACUUUAUCCUUCUUCUUUUUUGUUAAAGAAAGUACCAUAUGGUUCGUAAGCAAAGUAUCCAAAUCUUUUUCACUUUUUUCUUGAUAAAGAGAAAUACAAAAUGGGUUCGAAAGCAAUGCAUCCCAUUCUCUUUCCCUUUGUCUUUUUCUUGUUAAAAAAGAAUGAAAAUACCUUACUUCAGAAUCACCUCCUCUUGAGGUAAUGCUCGUUAAAUAUUUUUUUUUUGCUUCUCUAUUUAUAUUGUUAGAGAACUCUUAUUAACCUUUCCCCAUUGAAGUUAUCUGCUCAUUGCAUUGCUGAGGUAACAUAAUAUGUCCUCCUUGUGCAUGAUACCAUUCAACAUUCAUAUUUUCUAGCAAAUUCAUGAAGUAACAAUGUCAGCACCAGACACAUGAGUUGUUGUUGAAUAAGGCAUAGAUUUCAAAAUUUCACUUUUACUCUAGCGAACUGUUGCAUUGGGUUGAUUUACAAUACAGGUACGUAUGUACAUCUUGGAAACUUUAUUUCUUUUCAAUAUUUGUUGUUUUAGGUGUUUAUUUUUACCCAUGUGUGACUAAGAAACAAAAGUGUUUGGUUUUACAAUAUAUUUUCUAGCAAAUUCGUGAAGUACCAGAUCCAGCACUAGACAUAUUGUUAUUGAACAAGGCAUAGAUUUCACAAUUUCAUUUUUUUUCCCUACCGGUUAGUUGCAUUUGGUUGAUUACAAUAUAGGUACGUAUGUUCUUAGAAACUUCAUUUCUUUUCAAUAUUUGUUGUUUUAGGUGUUUGUACUAUAUGUUUAUGCAUUUUGAUGUUCAUCCACGUCAACUGAAAUUGAGCUAAUCCCCCCCUUAUAAUCGAAUUUUUACUUUUCUCACUCAAUACAAAAAGUUUUAAAUCAUGUCUGCUAUAUGGUGGUGAAAUGUAAACUAUUAGAAAUUUGUAUGCUGUAAAAUAAUAAUGAGUAAAUAAAUAUACACAUGCAGUGAAACUGUCAAUUGAAAAUAUAACUUUACCCAUUGAAAUUCAAUUUUCUUUAACUAAAACUCAUCAUAGUAUAUUUUCCUAACAAAAACUCAUUGACUUUACCUCUUGAGAAAAAAAAAGGGCCUUCGGGUUUUUUACAUAUAUAUUUUUUUUCACUUCUCCUAUUUAUAUUGUUAGAAAGCUCUUAUUAACUCUUCCCCAUUGAAGUUAUCUGUUCAUAUAUUUGCAUUGAUGUGCAUCAUCUUUCCUCCUUGUGCAUGCUAACAUUCAACAUUCAAAUUUUCUUGCAAAUUCGUGAAGCACCACUACCAGUACCAGACAUAUGAUUUGUUGCUGAACAAGGCAUAGAUUUCAAAGUUUCAAUUUUACUAUGUUGGACAAUUGCAUUGCGUUGAUUUACAAUACAGGUAUGUAGUACUUCUCGAAAACUCUAUUUCUGUCCAAUAUUUGUUGUUUUAGGCAUUUAUUUUUAUCCUGCUUGACUAAGAAACUAAAAUGUUAGUUUUAUAAUCUAGUGCCCACCAGAUAUUCUAUUUCAGGAUCCAGCUCAACAAUUUUAUUGAUUAGGUUUUGACUUCACACAAUUUUGUAUUUUUAGAUGUUUAAAAUAUCCCUAGUAACUCAUGUCAGAUUAAAAACAAAUUUUAAUAUCAUGAUUUCAUUGCAUAUUAAUAAUAAAAGUAUAUGAUUCUACGGUUUUCAUUUGUUUUAUUUUAUUUUUUUUCCUUUUUAAAUUCCCUAAUUGCUUUUCAAAUUUUCAUAAAUUAGGAUUUUUUUUUUUGGUUUAAUUUUUCCGUUUUCAAAAUAUGGGAGCAUUAGUUACCAACAAAAUAUAAGAAUGUUAUUUUUUUUUCAAAAUUAUUUAAUUAUAUUCUAUAUAGAUAUGGGUAAAUUAUUUUACUACACAUAUAUAAUAACAAUCAAAUGUGCUUAAUGUAUGUAAUAAUACAUGCAAAAUAAUUUACCUACAACAUAAAGGAUGUGAUUUGGUUCAAAUUUAUUUUACCUACAUUUCACAUAUAGAUAUGGGGAAAUUAUUUUAUGUAGAUUAAAGUACCUACUUAAAGAUGAAGAAUGUGAAUUGGUUCAAGAUUUAAUUUACAAUUAUUUCAAAUAUAUAGAUAUAAGUAAGGGGAAUUUUGAUCUAGGUGCAACAUCCCUAGCAUUUAGACUUUUUUAUUAAACUAUUUUCUACAAUUUUGGUGCCAUGUUUUCUAAAAUGUCCUUCUUUUUGAAAUUCAAAAUUACAUGAAGUGCCAUUGAUCCACCAAUUUAUUCAAAAAGUAGCUCCGAAAUCUAGCCUUCUUCAAACCAAAUUUAUUAUUUUUAUUAAUCCAAAACAAAGACACAUAUUAUUAAGUUAUCAACCAAUGAUAUGUGCCAAAAAUUAAAAUUAAAAUAACCAAAACUAAAAUAAAACGUACCAUAAACUAGAAUUAAACGUACCAACACUAAAACUAAACGUACCAAUCAACGAUAUAUACAAAAUAAUUCUCUCACUAAAAUGUAUACAUAAUAAUUUCAAAAUAUAAACAUCCACCAUUUUCAUUAUCUUGAAGGUAAAAUUAUAUUUUAAUUUUAGGAGAAAAAAAUAUUUUUUACGAAGAAAUUAUAACAAAGAGAUAAUUUGAUAAGCAUCAGGUGGGACUUUGUGGCAAGGCUUCAUAUCGUUUCGGGUUUGAACUAAGUGAUGCUUAAGCCUUAAGUAUGAGUCAUAGAGGAAAAAUAACAAAGAUCUACACAAAACUCAAACAAAAGAUAAAGAUAGAGAAAAAAAUAGAUAAGUUUUCUGUCUGGGCUCAAAACUGUCAUAAAUAGUGGGCGAUGGAGGAAGGAGACGCUUGAAUUUUGAAACGAACCAUGAGGGUUGCUGAAAAAAAAAAAAAAAAAAAACUAGAGGAGGUGUGGGGUCUAUGGUAAUGGGAUAAGGAUGAAUGAAAAAAACAAUAAAUCAAAAAUAUAAAGAAAUAAAAUAAUUGAAAAAACCUGAUAUAUCACGUUGCUUGCUGUAUGGUGUAAGCUUUACAAUGGGCUUACAAUAAUGUUGUUUAAAUUCAUCUUUUGCAAGAAUCGAACAUAAAGCCUUUAACUUACAAGUAAAUAGAAAUAUCACUAAAAUCCUUAAUGAAUCCACGGGUAUUCAAUCAGGAUUUUAAGCGAUUCUCUGAAAUUCAAUGUGUAUUCAAUCAGGAUUUUAAGAUAAUUUAUUAAAAUCCUUAGAAAUCUGGGUGUAUUCAAUUAGAAUUUUAAAGAAGUUUAUAACAUUCCAGGUGUAUUCAAUUAGAAUUAGAAUUUAAAGAAUUUAGAAAAGUUGAGGAAUUAGAGGGAAUUGGAGAGAUUUUGUAGUGUAUUUUAAGCAUUCACAAAUCUCACCUCUUCCCCAUGAGAUUUCGAGGGAAUUGAAUCAAAAUUUUACAUGGAAUCUCUACAAAUCAGGUAAACUCCAAAAAAAUUCAUAAAUUUAUAAAUCAAUUAAAAUCUCUCAAAUUCCUAAUUGAAUACACCCCCUUUAUAUUUAAACAGGACAAAAAUAUAUGAUUAUUAAUGUUGUGUUGGGGUGCUUCUUUGGUUUAGGCAUCAGAGCACUGAGCGCGGGACUUAAAAAAGCCACCAACAAAGAGAAGCAUUCCAGCCGUAGUCCUUGAUUUCAAAAGGAAAUGGAAAUUAUAAUUGCAAUUGCCUCAAAAGUUGGAGAGUGCUUGGUCACACCAAUAGGAACAGAGUUUGGCUAUUUGAUUAAUUACCAUUCCAACCUGGAAAAUCUUAAGGGUGAGAUAAAAAAGCUUUUUGACAAGAAAGAUGGAGUGCAAGGAUUGGUAGAUGCUGCCCAAAGGAACAGUGAAAGGAUCAAACCUGAUGUUCAGAGUUGGCUAAAUAAUGUGAACGACGACAUGGUCAAAAAAGUGUUGCAGUUUGAGGAUGAAAUUAACAAGAAAAGGCGAUGUGUGUAUCGAUGGAGCUUGAGUCGGAGAGCCUAUAAGAUUAAACAAGAAGUUCUUCAGCUCCAAAACGAAGGAAGAUUUGAAAAUGUGGCCUAUCCUGCACCUCCACCAGAGAUAUGGUCAACAUUCGAAAAUGUUUUUAAGGAUUUUAAGUCCAGAAGGGCAAAGAUGAAUGAGGUGAUAGAGGGUUUUAAGAGGGAAGAAGUACGAAAGAUCGGGAUUUGUGGAAUGGGGGGUGUGGGUAAAACCACAAUGGUGAAAGAAAUCAUCAUAAGAUUGGCAAAACUGAACCUGUUUGAUAAAAUUGUAAUGGCAACUGUGUCUCAAAGUCCAAGUAUUAGGACGAUCCAGUUGGAAAUUGCAGAGGAAAUAGGUUUGGAAUUGAAGGAGGAAACCCAGUCCGGAAGAGCACGAAGGCUACAUAGGAGACUCAUGGAAAUAAAGAGGAUCCUGAUUGUAUUAGAUGAUGUCUGGGCAGUGCUUGAUUUUGAGGCUAUAGGACUCCCUUCUGGAAAUGCUCAUGAAGGGUGCAAAGUUUUGUUGACAUCACGAGAUUCGGACGUUUGCAACAGGAUGCGAAGUCAACAAAUUAUUGCAGUCCCGAUUUUAACACCAGAAGAAUCACAGGAGCUCUUUCGAGAAAUGGUGGGUGAAUCCUUUAAUGAUCCUGAUUUACGUUCCACUGCAAAAGAUGUAUUGAAGGAAUGUGGAGGUUUACCUAUUGCAAUUGUAACUGUUGGAAAAGCCCUAGAAAAGAAAAACAAGCAUGAAUGGGAUGAUGCCCUUAAUCAGAUGCGAAAUUCUACCCCAGUGAACAUCCCUGGAGUGAAUGACACAGUUUUUUCUAGCAUAAAAUGGAGUUAUGAUAGAUUGGAGAGUGAUGAAGUUAGGUCAUGUCUUUUACUUUGUUGUUUAUUUCCAGAAGACUAUGAUAUUCCAAUUGAGUAUUUGGUUCGAUAUGGGUGGGGUCGAGGAUAUUUUAGCAGCAGCGUUACUUUGGAAGAUGCAAGAAAUAGAGUGCAUUCUUUGGUUGACCAACUAAAAAGAAGGUUUUUGUUGCUAGAUAGUGGCAAGAGUGAGGCUACAAAAAUGCAUGACGUAGUUCGCGAUGUUGCCAUAUGGAUUGCUUCAAGAGAUAAAAAAGGAUUUUUGAUAAGAAGUGAUGCUGAAAAUAAAGGGUGGCCAAAUUUAGCUACAUAUGACCAUUACACUACAAUCUCACUUGUUGGCGAUUUGGAGAUUCCAGUUGGUUUGAAAUGCCCAAAACUUGAGCUUCUACAGACGAUGGAAGGACUUUUUUCAGAAGGUAGCAUGAACAACAUUUGUAAGGCGAUGAAAGAACUGAAGGUUUUAGCUUUGGUGGGAAAGGAAAUGAAAAACCGAGUCUCAUUAAGAUCACUGAAGAAUCUGCGGACCUUGUGCCUAGAUGGGUCUAAUUUUGAUGGCACGUCUACUGAUGUUAUUGGGAGUUUGGAGAAUUUAGAAAUCCUCAGCUUUCGGGAUUGUUAUUCCAUGCGUGAGUUGCCGAGGGAAAUUGGACGACUUAAACAGUUAAGGUUGUUAGAUACGACAAACUGCGAGGAACUUGAGGUGAUUCCACAUGGUAUCUUCUCCAGCUUAUGUAGACUUGAAGAGUUGUAUAUGGUUAAUAGCUUUAACGAAUGGGAAAUUGGAAGAGGAAGAGAAGAAAAGGGGAUGGCAAGCAUUUCUGAGGUGAUGUCUCUGUCCGAUCAUUUGAAGGUUCUAGCCAUAGAGAUACCCAGUGUCAUCCACUUGUUGACAAAAGACAUAGUCUUGAAAAGCCCAACAAUAAGAUUCCUUAUACGCUGUGCAACAUGGGGACGGCUUUUUUCAGAGAUGAGUACUUAUGCAUUCGAAAAUUGUUUGGAGAUUAGUGAAAGUGAUGCAAGGGAGUUGGAGGAGAGUCAAGCAGUCAAACUUUUGUUGAAAAAAUCUAAAAAAUUGUAUUUGUCGGAGGUUAAGAAUUUCUCUGUCCUCACUGAUUUAGACCAAGAAGGAUUUCAAGAUUUGAAAGAUUUGCAGCUUUGGAAUUGUCCACAUAUCGAGUAUCUUGCAAAUGGAACAAGUGGGUUUUUGACCAACCUAAGAUUCCUUGAAUUGGUAUUUUGUGGUGUCUUAAAAUAUGCCUUUUCAUUAUCAGUAGCAAGAAACUUGGUACAACUCAAAGAAUUAAACAUUGAUGGAUGUGGUCAAAUGGAAGAAAUUGUGUCGAAGCAGGGGAGGGAACAUGAGGAGGAAGCCGAUAUGAUAUCUUUCGAUAAAUUAACCAAUUUGACUCUCGAGGGUCUAGGGAGUUUGGUUGGUUUCUUCCAAGCCAAGAAGCUAUACUCCAACCAAGAGGUAUGUCCCACUCUCCAAUCUCUAUGAUAUGAGGAGGCAGCCGAUAUGUGGAAAUUUGAAAUUGUUUAACUGAUAAUGAUUUUUCUUUUUCAGGAAACAACGGCAAGGGUUGAGCAUCAAUCUGCAGGCGUAUUUGAAAAAGCAAUAUUUCCAUCAAAGUGCAUUUCAUGGUUUCCAAGUUUAGAAGAGGUAGUAUUGGGACGUAUGAAGUUUGAAGGUGUGCUAUUUGAUUUGAAAAACAUUCCAUCUGGAUUUCAAGGCUUCCAAAAUUUGAGAUAUUUGGAAAUGAGAGAAUGUUCUGGUCUAGAAUAUGUGUUCUUGCAUUUAAUUGCCCGAAAACUUUUGAAUCUUGAAGAGGUAAAGAUAUUAAAAUGCCCGGACAUGGAAGCUAUAGUCAGAAUCCCAGAGGAAAUUGAAGAAGAGGCGACAAAAUACAUGAUUUUGUUUCCGAAACUGAACACAUUUGAACUAGAAGACCUGCCUCGUCUCACAAGUCUUUGUCCAGAGGGAUUUACAUUUCUACGGUCAUCCACAAAAAAAAUGCACGUGAAAAGAUGUGAAAAUUUGAAGACAUUGGGUGUUGUAAUUCCACAAAGAAAGAAGUUGGAGAAUAACUUGAAGAAGGAUUCAACAAGUCAUGAUUUCAGCACUUCUCCAACACGUUCAUCAAAUUGGUGCCCUGCUGGAUGUGGAUGCGCACCAUAUUCAAGACCAAACGCCCACCGCCCCAUUGAAAUAUUGCCACGUCCAAUUAACCUGGAGGUAAGCUUUUAAAUCAGGUUCAAUUAACCUCUAUAAGUACAACUUUUAAUCAGUAUUGUAUCAUCUUGUUGAUCGUGCUUAAUUUUCUAGGUUACACAAACUAAUCUUGAGGACUCAAAUGAUAAUGAUAAUCUCGAAAAUCUUACUGUAAGUGACUGUAAUUCGAUGGAAGUGAUUUUCCAACUCAAGGGACCGAAGCAUGAAGAAAGUAGUCACUCCAUUGAAGCAUUCAAUAAAUUGAGUUCCUUGCGGUUAGAUAGAUUGCCAGGUUUAACGCGUGUUUGGGAGAUGGGUAGUUCACAACCGAUGUUGACAGGAAGCAGCUUCGGAAACUUGAAAUCGCUGGAGGUUGGUUUUUGCAACCAGUUGAAAUACUUGUUUUCAUCGUCCAUAGUCAAACUUCUCGUGAGUAUAGAGGACAUAGAAGUUCAUAACUGUGAGAAGAUGGAAGAAAUCGUUGCCGCAGAAGAAGAAACUGAUGAAACAAUUACAUUACCUAAAGUGAAGUCCAUCAAGCUUGAAAGUCUGCCAAAACUCAAGUAUUUUUGUGGUGAAGCUUAUACUUUGAAGUUGCCGUCUUUGGAGUUAUUGGAGUUUGAUGACGUGCAAAACUUAAGCUUAUUAGCUCCAAAGCUUAUUGCCACACAUCCCCGAUUGCAAGUACGCACCGCGUUGGGAGUGGCUGAAUGGAAGGGGGACCUCAAUGCCACUCUUAAGGAAUAUUUACGUCACAAGGUAUGCUUUAAUAUAAGGUUUUUAAUUUCCAAUCAUUUAUGGCAAACACCACAAAAAUUCGACAACAAAUUUAGGCAAAGCAUAAUCAACAGUUCAGAUUUAGUUUGACGAAAGUGUAAUCAAAAUUUAGUCAAAAACCAUACACACACACACACACAUAUAUGUAUGUGCGUAUGUGCACACUAGAGUGUAUUUAGAUAUGUUUUUCUUCUUUUGAAAACUCAAUUAGAUCUCAAGAAAAUAUCUGCCUUUUAUUUCUAACACAGGAAGGGUGAAGAUGAUGAAAUCGAGAGGGAGGACGAACACAAUUAAUUGAUCAAGCACAAAGGUUAACAUGUCUCCAUCUUCAACUUCUUCUAGGCUUAGUAAAAACUGCUAUUUUCGGAAACACAUAUACAAUAAGCAUAACCGUUUCAACUUAUUUGAGUUUCAGUGAUUUCUAAUAUUCUCCAAUGCAUGCAGAACAACAAUUCAAAGAAGGUUGUGGCUUCAACAAUUCGUUUACCAUCUCAUAUGUACAAACCAAUAAAAUGUCAUUUGUUGCAUCAGACUUUCAUUCCAAAAAUACUAUUUAUGUUGCUUAUUUUAUGCAUGUAUAAUAAAUUUCGAGUGUGAUUGUUACUGUUUGUAUCUAAGUUCGCAUUAUUAAUGUAUGUUUAUUUGCACCAAGAAAUGAGAAAUGCUUAUGUAAAAAUAAAUGAAUAAGAUUAAACAAGAAAAACUUUACGCUACUCAAACUUGCAAACACUCAAACUACAAGCAUUAUGAAUAAACACGGAAUCAGGCUACGCAAUUGCCUUCAUCAUAACAUGAUUUUGGCCCCCAUUUUAUAAUUUCCUACCACAUUUUCACAUUCUUUCCAUGAAUUUUAUAAUCAUAUGCAAAAGAGUUCAAUCUAGGGGCUCCAAAAAUAUCACAGACAGAACAAUUAACACAAAUCGAAUAAAAAUUUGAAAUCAUGAAUCGAUCCCAAAACUGAAAGUUGAAAUUUUUGAAAAGAACUUACAUUGGAGGACAGCCCACCGGGACAGGAUCAUUUAUACCUCUUGGGUCGAGAAUAUUGGCCGGAAAACCGCGGUGACCGUUUCUUUGAUAUGAAAUUGAGGAAAUUUGGCUACGGAUCUGUAGAAACUAACUUGGGAGUUGGAAAGAGGAUGGAAAGAGGAGUCUGGAUAUGUAAUUUGACGGCCGUUGGUGACCCGUGGGCGAAAAUAAACUUCAUGCGAAAACAAGACCAGAUUGAGGUAAGAAAGAAAAAUACAUACGCAGAAAUAACAUGUCAGUCAGGCAAGACAAGUAAUUGCAACCAUAACACAACACAAUGAAGAAACAUACCAUGAGGAUUUUGAACAAACAUAAUGAAGUGUAACCAACAGCAUACAAAUAUCAAAAAUAUAGAAAAGAAUGCUAUACAAUCACUAUAAGUGAUUUCAAAGGCCAUCUUCUAUUUCUGUUUCUGGAAAAAAGUCAUGUCGUCAAGAUGUCAUUCCAUUUCCUUACCAUGAUGAGUAACAUGAUAUUUGAACUUGCUUGCAUUCAGAGAUCAAACAUGGUGGGGUUAUAGAGCAGGUGGAGAUGUUUUUUCUCUAUCCUCAAUCAAAAUAUCAAUGUCUCCCUCCUCCCUCGAUCACUGUCUUUAUUUGUGUGUCAGUUUCAAGCAAUGGCUUUGCUGAACGAGAGAGGGAGAGGGGAAGGAGUUCCCAAGCAAAUUAUGAGGAGGGUGGUGGGGGCAGACUGCUCCGAUCACAGAUAUAUUUCAAGGAUCACAAUUAAAGACUUGCAAUCUUUUAUGGCUGCCAGUUGUGGGACACUCGCAGUCAGACACACACAGAUGGAGAUUGUAAAAGACUUUGAAUUAGAAUUAGUAAAUUUGUGUGUGUAGGGGUGGCUCUGUAUGGGGUUCCAAACUGAAAAUGGAAUUUCGAAUCCCAAAUCGAAAAUUUUCAAAACGAGAAUUUGAAAACCAAUCUUGAAUCAAAAUUUCGGUAUUCCUAAUUUUCGGGAUUCACAAAAUGUUUUCGAUAUCAGGAUGCGUCGGGAUUGAAUUUUGGGUUUUGGGCUGAAAUUUGAGUUCAUCAUAACAUGAUUUUGGCCCCAUUUUCUAAUUUCCUACCACAUUUUCACAUUCUUUCCAUGAAUUUUAUAAUACCUAUGCAAAAGAGUUCAUUCAUUGCCUAUUUCAAAACAAUACAAGGUUCUACAGAGUUCAAUCCCACAUCAUGUUAUAGACAUGCUUCAACUACAGAGUGCAAUACCAGAAGUCUCAUCUCCGACAUUCAUACAGAAUAUCGAAUAAAAAUUCGAAAUCAAAAAUCAAUCCCAAAACUGAAAGUUGAGAUUUUAGAAAAAUAACUUACAUUGGAGAACAGCCCACGAGAAGAGGAUCAUUUCUACCACUUGGGUCGAGCUCCAAUUCCGGCGAUAUGGCCGGAAGUUGGCCGGAAACCCUGGGUCACCGUUUCUUAAAUUUGAAGUUGAGGAAAUCGCCUACGAAUUUAUAGAAACCAACUUGGGGAUUGGAUAAAGGACGGCAAGAGCAUUCUGGAUGUGUAGUUUGAGAGCCUUUGGUGACACGUGGACGACAGAGCUCUUGCGCCGGCACUCGGCAGUCGUCGGCUUGCUGUUUAAUGGGCUCCUGUUGCGGCUCAAAAGACGAGGAGGAGAGAGGAUACGGGAGGAGGAGAGAAAAUGGGUUUCUCACACUUUUUACAUCUUAAUUCUUUUCCGUAUUUUUUUUUUAUAGAAUAUACGAUAUUAUCUAUCACCAAAAUUGAUUUUGGUAUGUGAGAUGAGGUGGAAUACGUUUUAAUGAUAAUUGUGGUUAGAAAUAAUAUAAUUUAAAUUUAUAUAUGAUAAUAAUUGAAUAUAAAAUUUCUUACUUACGAGUUAUAAAUAAAAAAAAAUACCAUUAAUUUUACUUUUAAUCUAAAUAAAAAGAAACAAAAUGAAAAGGAAAAGAAAUAAAAUAAUUUGAAAUAGAAAUGAAAAAUAAAGGUUAACUGACAGAGCCCACCAUGAUUUGCUGGAUUUUGCAAUAUGGCAUCCAUGAUUUGCAGAGCCCACCAUCGCAAAGAAGGAAAAUUUGGAAAGCUCAAUCCUUGUCUUUUUCUUAUGUAAGUGUCGUUUUAGUGAACCGAAUGUUCCGAUUCCAACAUCCAAAAUACCGCAAUGUGAAUUUUUUUCAUACUACAAUUGGAUUGUAUCUUAAAAUUAUGAAGUUUUGGAGCAUUGGUCACGCCAUCAAGCUCCUUUGUGUUGGAUUUCGUUAGAGAUCGUAAUUAAUCCAUUUCCUUUUUUGUGUCUCCCUCCAAAACCUUAAAUUGAAACAUGAACUCCCUAGCAAAUAAGAGCCCAAUUUGACAACCAAAAUCUUCAUCGUUCGAGCAUCAAUGUUCUCUUAAAUUCGCUGCGAGCAAACCACCAUGAAAUCUCCUUCAUGUGCAUCUCAUAAAAUUAGAACAAUGCAGGGAAGAUUAGUGUGGCUCCUAAGCUAGGAUUACACUUAUGAAUCGCAAAAUAAUUCCUCCUCCACUCUUUGAUUCUCUCUUUCACUGGCUAACAAUAUUUUACUCUACCGUUUCACCCCUAAGUAAGAAAUAGCAUCUUUUUGAAAAUUUCACAUUUGACCUUAAUUUAUCUCUUUUGCACUAUUUGACUGAACGACAAAUUUUGAUUGUCUAAAUAUUUAUAUCAAACUACAAAUAAUAUUGAUAUUAUAUAUUAAUAACGUAACUGGAAUUGUAGUACCCAACAUAUCUAUCUUGAAAUAAAUUUUGUUGUCUAUGAAGCGGCCUACUCGACUCUCUCUUGUACUCUUUAGUCCAGUCCAUUUUGAGUUUGUGUAAAUAGAUCAUUGUUUAACAAUUGACAUUCAAUAUUGUGAUUUAGUGGUAUUCAUCAUCACUUGUAAGUGAGAGAUAUUAGGUUUGAAUCUUGGAGUGACGAGUUUGUGUAAUCAUUGUAUUAAAGAAAAAAAAUAUUUUUGGUCGGACAAAAACACAAAAAUGCCCUUAAAGCCCAAAGUGCCCCCACUACCCUAUCACUGCCUGCAAGUUCUUUCCUCGCCUUUGUUUCCCUCCCUUUCUCCCUCUCAGACAUUUGAGGACUCAAAAACUCUUUUAACUCUCUUCUUCUCACUCUCAAAUGUCACCCUUUCUCAAUCAUACGCACGCCCAGUGAUCUCUGAAGCACCAAUUUCUCUUCCCUUUGGCUCUCUGCAUCUCACCAGAGGUAAAAAGCCCCUGGUUUUUUUAUAUUUUUUAUUUUAUUUUAUUUUUAUACUUUUUCCUCAGUAAAUUUAAUCCAAUGGAUUUUUCGUGUACCCUUGCAGUAAUACAGGAAGAUUUUGUAGUAUUUCUGGUUGUUGGAUGAUACUGGAAUAAUUAUUGGGAUUUUGAAGAAUUUCUGGUUCGUAUGAUAUAUUUGCUAAAAGACCCAAAAUUUUGAAGCAGAGCGGCCAUGGAAAGGUGUUUGAAAAGAAAAUCAUAUGAUGAGUCAAUGGAGUCGUCAUCGUCUCCGAAGGAGAAUGACAAAAGCUCGAAACAAGCUUGCGUCGAAAUCAACUUGGAAGGUCUUCCUGUUGAUGCCUUGCUGCGCACUCGAAUUUGGGAUUAGCAUCCAAAUGUUCGAGUUCGAGAGCAAGUUCGAGGAGUAUAUAUGCAAAAAGGUCAUUUUCAGACUCCAGACCAGGACUUCCCCCACAAGAAUACUAGUGGGGGACCGAGAAGGUUUAUAUCUGCUUGGUUUAUGAGUUUCUGACUGGUUGGAAGAUAGUAUAGCGAAAGAUGCUUCAUGUUGUCUAUGCUGUUAUCUGUUUAAGCUAAAUACAGGAGAGCAAGCCUGCGGUGAUUGCUUUGUUAGUAAAGGGUUUUGAAAUUGGAAGAAGGAAAGGUUGGAGGGUCAUGUUGGAGGACGGAAUAGCGCCCUCAACCAAGCUUGGAGAACCUAUGAUGCUUUAUUAAAGCAACACCAAGCACGAAAGGAAUGUAAAACUAUAUUAGGUGUAUCAAUUGUUUGUAUGAGGUUUCUCUUGCAUCAAGGGCUUAUAUAUUGCGGAGACGAUGAAUAUGAAGGUUCAAAUGAUGAAGGAGUUUUUCCUGGACUCUGGAAUUUCCAAUGUGGUCGCCACGAAGAGUUAAAAGCUGUCACAUUGAGAAAUCAUCCUUUAGGUCUGAAGUUGGCUUCACUUGAUACUCAGAAGGACAUCAUAAUUGUUUUUUCAAUGGAAAUAUCAAUGCAAUCGUUAAAGAUAUUGGUAGUUCGCACUUUUCCAAUCUUAUCGAUGAGCGUCAUGACUUGUUUUCAAUGAAGCAAUUGGCCAUUGUAAUACGUUUUGUGGAUAAAGGUCAAGUGAUUGAGCAUUUUUUUAUGCAUUGUGCAAGCCACUGAUAAUACUGCUGACUCACUUAAGGUGGCUAUUGAUGAUUUCUUUUCUACCCAUGGAUUAAGCAUGUCAAAGCUAGGGGACAAGUAAUAUGCUUGGUGAGUUGAAUAGUAUUAACUAUUAAGACAAUUAUAAUGAAGGAGAAUGAGUGUGCAUUUUACGUUCGUUACUUUGCUCACGGCAGCGAGAGACACGAAUUUCGCUUUAUUUACGAGCUUGCCACCGGGCUGAUUUCAGCCCAAAUUUUGCUUUAUUUACAAGAUUGCCAUUGGGCUUAAGAACGGGUUUCCAGUCUUUCGGUUGGAUCCGGGCUUUGACUUGGGGAGAGAGAGGGAAUGGGGGCAGAAGGGUUGACGCCGGGUUGGAUGGAGAGGUUCGCCAGGAUUUGGGGGAGAGGAUUUUCGGCAUGGAGGUGCGGGUGGGUGUGCCUGUGGCUGAUGCAUCGGUCAGAGGGUUGUUGGGGAGGAGAGGAGGGGCACAGAGUGAUUGACAGAUUGGAGAGAGAUGGGAGCUACGAGUUUCGACUAAAAGAGAGAGAUUUAGUUAGGUCCUCUGCCAGGACCUAUGACAUUUUCUCCAAUUUUAGAGAGAGAGAGAGAGAGGAGAAAGCAUGGCUGUGUCCAUUUUUUGGGGUUAAUGGGUUACCGCACAGGGUCGGUGAGGAGAGAAUGGCAGAGGGAGGUAUGGGAGGGAAUGUUGUAAUCCCCUUUUCUUCCCUCUUUUUCUCUCCCGACUCUAUCUCUGUAACCAUCCCUCCCUUUUCUCACUCUAUAAUUUCCCUCAAAUCCCCCGCCGAUUCUCUCUCUCGCCAUUCUCAGUCUCGACAGCCGCGAAUCCUUACAGCUCCAUGCUCCGCCUCCAGAUUCGUCGAGAUGAGAGCCCCAAGACCGUCGCCUGCACCACCGUCUCAGAAAAGUAAGCCAAAAUCUCGCGAGAAUCAGGCUGCACACGAGCGGAUCCAAAGGCCAAACCCGAUCUUGAAGUCGACACAUCCAGAGGUAAAAAUUUCUCAUCUUCGAUUUCAUAUAUGUUGUUAGAUUAAAAGGGAAAAUAUGAGAACUAACUCAAGCAAAUGUUCUGGAUGUAAGCUAAAAGAUCAAUUUAACUUUUCUUCCCUGUCAAUUUAGUGCUUUUUUCUUUUCUUAUUACUUUUAGGAGUUAAUUUUGGAGAUAUAUUAUUACUAACAAAUUUAAUGUUGCCUCUGUCAUAUUUUUUGCUGAAGAUUUCUUUUUUGAAAACCGUAUGCCAUGACAAAAUAAAUUUACAAAUUGCUAAUUUUUCUGUUUUGUAUAAAAAAAUCUUUGUUCACUCUACCUGAAUAGGUACACUUGACUGAGAAGGAAAGUCUUUUCAUAUUAAAUCCAUGUUAGCCUGACUGCUGCCACCCUGGAACCAUCGCUCUUCGGUAAGUUUUCAACACAAUAUAGUUCAAAUCCUCUUAACCAUGUUCUUGAAUUUUACUAUAUGUAUCAUGUUCUUUGCAUUUCAUUAUCUGAACUCUGUUAUUUGAAUUUGGUUACCUGAAUCGUGCGGCCAGUGGCUUUGUAUGGCUAACUGGUGUGAUUUGGGAGUGUUUUUAGUCAAUGGGAGACAGGGGACAAAUGUGUGGACAGCGAAGUCAAGUGGGAUUAGGAAUUUAGGAUAGUAGAAUUUUUGCUAAUUUAUGGGAUUAGAAGUCUUCCUUUAUUUUUGUCUUGGUGUGAUCAAUUGUAACAAAGAAUUUUCAUUAAAAUUGAGGUAGUGAACCAACGAAUUUUCAACUUUUGUUUAUCUACAGUCGUCUCCAUUGUCUUGGUAUUGGACCAAGCAUGAAAUCCCAAGCACUAUAUCACCACAAAGCAAGCAAGCUGAAAAGCAAUCCAACAAACCCUUUUUCCAGAAACACUUAACAGAACCUUUCUAUGGGUUAAUUGUUGUUUCAAUUAUACCAGAUUGAAAACGAGUAUGGAACCAUUGAUCAAGCAUACGGGGCUGUUGUCCAAACCUAUAUUAAGUGGGGAGCAAGCAUGACUGUUUGUCUUUAAAUACAGGGUGCCCUGGGUCAAGUGGCAACAAAAAGAUGCUCAUGCAUCCGUAAUGAGGCUUUUGUAGUCAGUUUUCAUUUGCAUUGUAUUGACUUUGACCUUUUUUAUCAAAGUCCAAUAGCAAUAGGUGCAGUAAUUCUCAAACCCUAAUUUGUUAGCCAACAUCCCAAGCCCCGUUACAACCUUUGACUUCAAUUUUGAGUGUUAUGUGUCUCAAUUUGUGGAGUUUGAAUUUGGUAUGAGCAUAUGGUGUCACUGGUUCUCGCGUCUAAGUAGUAGCAUUCCAUUCAUGAGAUCAUAUCUAAACAUGCUUAUUAACUCCAGAAAUUGCUUUCUUGGUAAUACAUAUAUGUGAGCAUUCGUUUUCAUAUCUACAUCAAUCUUCUCACAUAUAACUAGCAUAGGGUGUGUGGUUAGAAAAUCUGAGUGAAAAUUGAGUGCAUAUCUUGUAAGGAAUUGAGCGAAUUCUCUAAGGCAUGUUCUUACAUUCAAAACAUUGUUUUAAUUGAUUAAUGUGAACAAGUAAGUAGUGACUAUGAUUAAGUAUGUGCUUAAGUGUAGAGAUGACUCAAAUCUGUGGGGAUGAUGAUCUUUAACAUGUCAUGUGCUUUGGAAAUCCCUGAGGCAAAUGUUGGAAGGUUUAGGUUGUGUUUUAUUUGUUUUGUUUUGUUUUAUUUCUUUGUUUUGCUCGAGGACUAGCAAAAGCUAAGUGUGGGGGAAUUUGAUAGGAGCAUAUUUAUGCGACUUAAUUGGCUUGUUCUCGUGCAUUUACGUUAUGUUUCCUUAGUUAUUUUAGUGUUUAAAGUCACUUUUGUGUGUUUUCAGAUUCCAAAGCCAAAGUGUGCAAAAUGAUGUAAUUUGGAGCCUUUUGGAGCAAAAGGAAUGGAUGAAUGGAAGACUUGAAGACAUUAGGAUUCCUAAUUGACGAAGGAUUCCUAAUUGAAGAAGGAUUCCUAAUUGAAGAUGGAUUCCUAAUCACAUGAGGAUUCCUACUUGAAGUAGGAAAGUUAAGCCAAGGUUUCCUACUUUGGUUUGAUUUUUCCUAAAUGUCCCUAAAAGUUCCAGCCACUUUGAAGACCUCAUACACACUUUAGGACAUAAAACAAAGAUUCCUUGCACCAUUCAAGGUAGUGCCGCACCUCACAUACCCUUUCCACACUUUCCCUAACCCUUAUCUUCCUUGCCGUGCAAAAGAAAGCCCACCUUCCCUAUUUCCUUGCAUUUAAACCACAUUCCCUUUUAGUUUAAGGAGUGCCGCAUAUUUCCUUGCCUUUCCCUUAGUUUUUGACCUUGUUUUCCUUUUCCCUCUAGGUUGUGACUUAAAUAUUUGUUACUUAAAAUAUUUCCUAGCCUAAAACAUUCUAAACUUUCUGAAUAAAUACCCUAGCCGCACCUCUAGUCAAUUUCCCUUAAGUUUCUGAUUUUUGUUUCCUAAUUCUAGAAGCUUUAAACUUAAUUCCUGAUUACCUAAUUAGCCUAGGGUUUUUAAUGUCCUAAUCCCUUUAAAUAAACAUCCUUGUGCAGCCACAAACAGCCCCAUUCAUCCAGAAACUCAUCAUUCACGCCAGAAACUGAACUCCAUCUUCAACAGCCCCAUUCCUUCACCAUUCACCAUAUUUUCUGACCCAAAACCACCCUAGCCGCACCACCCAUCAACCCUAAACACUUCCAUACGUCCCCCAUCCAUUCUACAUCAUUCAAUAACCCAAGAAACCACCAACAUCCAAUCUGCCGCAAGCAAGGAAAGGGGACAGAUUCACUCAAUUGUUUGGCUCUUCAUUCUGAGUUGUUGAACAAUUUUAGGUGUAUUCUAUCUUAUAUUUCAAUGUCUAAUUCAUGUAAUCUUUGUUUUGCUUUAAGUAUGAUUGGCUAAAUUCGUUUUGGCUAAGGGUGUAUUCAAAACCAUGAUUAUAUAUGUGAAAUAAGUUAAUUACUUUCAGUUAUCGUUGCAUAAGUCGUGAAUACAAUUUGCUUAACCGUUUGAUUUAGAACUUAUUCUUGUAUGUUGAUUGAAAGUGCACGCUUAAUUUGCAUGCUUGAAUUUGGUGCUAGGAUAUAAGUUUGUUUCACCUAAUCGUUAUGAAUUUAUAUUCGCAAGUAGUGAAGAUCGCUAGUCACGAUCGUAAGUAGAUUCCUGGCAAGAGUAUCAUGUUUUUCAUAGUUAUGAAUGCCUUGUCGAUGCUUAUGAUUUCCACAUAACGUAAUGAUUCUAACUUGUAUCUUUAUCAUGCUAUUCAUAUAGAGAACUUGUUAGGAAUAAUUUGUUUGCGAUGCAUAUUCAUCCAAUUCAAUGAUUCUAGGGAAAUCUGAAGGUUAAUUUAAGCGGACCUAAUUAACUUGGAGUGUCGAGGUUCACAACUUAUUAAAUUGAUAACUGGAAAUCGAUUUACGUUGCAUAUAUUUCAUGUGUGGAGAAGAACCCCUUAGCUAUUCCAUCAUCCAUUGAUUCAUCACAAUUUUGUCUUACAAUCUGUUUUCUUUUUCAAUCUGCCCAUUUAAUUAUUUUCGUCCAAAAUCAAUCCCACCUUAUUUCUUUGAGUCAUAUUAACUAGAACUUGUCUUAGAAUAUGUUUUUAGGUGUUUUAGGUCAUUAGAAAACCAAAAUUCGUCCAAUUUGUGUUAGAGUCCCAAAACUGCCUAGAAAGUGGUUUUUAGGCAGUUUUGAGUGUUUGUUUGCUGUUUUGAGUCUUUUGAUUUGUUUUAGUGUUUUAGAGUUUAGUUUUGCAUUCUUUGAGUCUAGUUUAGUAUUUUAAACUUUGUUUUACAUAUUUGAGUCAGUUUAGAGUGUUUUAGCAAUCCUUCCUAAUCCCCGGUUAAAAAAGUGAAGGUUGAAGGUGCUGUGGGUUGAGGAGCUGUUGAGGAAAUUGCUGUGGAGCGAGUUGAGAGAAAGCUUGAAGAAGGCUGUGGUGCAGGUGGACAUGAUUGAGGAAAUGGCAAGGAGAACUCAGGUGAUGGAGUGGAGGGGACAGAGGAAGAACACUGUGAAGAGCUACUGUGAUGAAGAAAUGGAAAAUGAUCUUCAUUAAAGAGAACAUGCCUUUGAAAUGUGGAGACUCUGUUAGAAGACACGUCCAAACACCGCCGAUAACCUUGUGUGUUGAAGGCUAUAACCGAGAAAGACACAUGGUUUGCUUUUACCAUCCAAUUUUUGAUGCAUAUGCUGAGCCUGAGCAAGCAGAUAGCAGCAAAAGCAACACCAAAAACCUUUAACUUGGAAUAAUCAUGAGGCUUUUUGAAAAAAGAAUUUCCCAUGGAGACUGAGACUGAUCCAAAAGAAAAUGAAAUUAAGAGGUAUCUGAUUGAUCUGAUUUGAUAAGAAAUACAAUGCAGUAAAAAAGGCUUCUACCCAAAACUUGUGAGGAACUUUGGAAGCAACAAGAAGUGUCCGAGCAGUUUCAGUAAGAUGUCUAUGCUUGCGUUCCACACACCCAUUUUGCUCAGGUGUGUGGGGACAACUGUAUUGAUGAGAAAUACCAUGUUGAAGCAAGAAUGAAGCAAAAGCAGAACCAGUGAACUUACCCCCUGAAUCUGUGCGAAGAAUCUUGAUUUUAUGGCCAAGUAAGUUUUCAACAUAUGCUUUGAAAAUGACAAAAGUAUAGAAGACUUCAGACUUGUGUUGUAAAGGAAACAUCCAACUGUAUUUGCUAUACUCAUCCACAAAGAGUACAUAGUACUUAUAGCCACUAAUUGAUGAAACUGGACAGGGACCCCAGACAUCACAAUGAAUUAAAUCCAAACUAUGGGAUACAGUGGUAGUACUAAAAGAAAAGGGCAGCUUAUGAUUUUUGCCAAUAGCACAGUCUGCACAAAAAAACUGAACAGAAGCUGAAGUAUGAGGAACAAGCUUAUUUGUAUGUAAAAUCCUUCGGAGAAUGGCUAUGGAAGGAUGACCGAGUCGUUUGUGCCAUUGUUGUAAAGAUGCUUGAGUGCUUACAAGUGCAGAAUAUGAAGCUUGGAAUGGCUGACCAUGCAGAGGAUGGAAACCAUCCCUAACUGGGCCUCGAAAAAGCAUCUUCCCAGUGGAACGGUCCUUGAUGACAGAACCAUCAGAAUCAAGAGUUAAAGAGCAAUAAUUGUCUCUUAGAAACUGAUAUGCAGAGAGCAAAUUGAAUUGCAUCAUUGGCACAUGAAGAACAUUAUUUAAUCGAAAGGCAGCAUGUGGUGUUUGGAGAAUAGAAGAACCUGUAUGGUGGAUGGGCAUACCUUGGCCAUCACCAGCAUAAACCUUGUCGUCACCAGAGUACAGAAUGGGGGAAGUGAUAGCGGAGAUAUCAUUGGUAACAUGAGCAGUAGCACCAGAGUCCAGAAGCCAUGUAGGCUGAGAAGAAGAGGCAGUAGAAGCACACAUAGCAGCAAGCUUGGCAGGUGGAAUCUUUCCAGCAAAGGCAUGAUUCAUGCGAGCAUAGCAGUCAAGAGCCUCAUGAUCAAAAGAAUUGCAUAUUUGACAGGGAGACCGAGUUCCAGAAGACCGAUUAAAGCCACCAGAGUGGCGAUUAUAAUGACUAGUAUUAUGAUGAAAGGAACCAUUACCAGGGCCAGAGUUAGUAUAAUGUCCACGAUAGUUGCCUCGACCUCUGUUGUUCUUCUGAAAAUUGCUUCGGCCACGAUUAUUGCGCUGAAAAUUGUUGCGAUUGUUGUAGGUAGAAUAUGGAACAACAUAUGCCUGGGAGGGAGGAGGCGUAGGUAAGAGACCUUGCUGGAGAGGCAAAGCUUGAGCAGCAAAUGCUUGAAAUGGUUCAGUGAGAGACGACGAAUGAGCUUUCUUCUUGCGAUGCAUAAAGAUCUCUUUGUUCAUGAGUAAGCCGUGAAGUUCAUCUAAAGAAGUAGAUGAAAUGCAAAGCAUUAUCGAAUCAAUGAAAGAUUCGUAAUCAUCCGAGAGGUCAUUUAGUGUAACAACAAUGAGAUCUGGUUCCGACACCAGGGCUCCGGCAGCCAUAAGAGCAUCAGAGAUGCAUUUGAUACGCUGCAGAUAAUCAGAAAUUGACAAAUCACCUUUUUGAAUCGCAUGAAGACGCGAUCAGAGCUGGUGAAUGUGCGCCGCCGAGACUCCGCCAAACUGUUGUUCAAGAAUCUGCCAUAAUUCUCGAGAUGAGGUGACGCCAACGGUGAACGGAAUAAGAUCUUCAGAGAGAGUGGAAUUCAACCAGAUCAGGAUAUUUUGAUCCUUUUCAAACCAGAUCUCGUAAUCAGGAUUAGGAACAGCAGUACCAAUACCGUUUUGAUUGAGAAGAAAGGGCGAUGGACAUUUCUCCGAUCCAUCGAUGAUACCUGUAAGUUUGUAGCGCCGGAAAAUUGGAGCGAAAAGAGCUUUCCAGGCAAGAUAAUUGUCCUUCUUAAGCUUUGUAGGAACCAUACAACUGAUGUUUUGGAUUGGAAUUGAGGAAAUCGAAGAAUUAGGGUUUAUCGGAGCUGAAUUUGAGGAAAUGGGAGUAGGAUUCUGAGCGAAAACUUCUGGAUUUGCAGGCGAAGAGGUAGAAGACGCCAUUGUCGAUCAAGGAUUUGCAGAGAGAAAACGAAAUUGGGAAGAAAAAUCAAAGAUUGCAGAGGAAGCUAGGAUCGGUGCGUGAGCAGAGAGGCGAGUGAUACCAUAUUAGAAAUAACUCUGGUAUUUUCAUUUCUUAAUGAAUAAGGAAUUACAACUGGUUUAUAUACAUUUGUGAGAAAUAGUUUAGCGACUAAUUACCCUUGGUUAACUGACUAAUCUAGUGAUUAGUUACAUAGACAGUUGUAACAGACUUGUAACCAAAAUACAACAAACUAUAUAUGUGACUCUUUACUUAGCCCUUGGUUUAUAAAUCCCAACUUUAAAAUUCCAAGUAGAUGUGUCUGUUAAUCGAUUGCAUUUGGGAUGGAAAUGGUUUUGAAUGAUUUGGAUUUUCAUUAAUUUUAAUUCAUCUGCUAAUCAUAGUUUCAUGUAUUAGAUAGUUGCUUUGCUCUCACAAAUUUUGUUGGUAGGGGUUCAGCAAAGCUUUCUAGGGCUAAAUCUUCAGUUUGCUGUUGGGUAUGUUUACUUUAUGCUUUUGUUUUUUGUUUUUUGUUUUUUGUUUUUGUCUGGAGUAAAUAUGCUUAAGAUGUCACAUGAUUAAAGGUGGAGAAACCACCGUCCCUUUUUUCGUAGAAAUUUGUAAAUUUUUUUUAAAAUAUGUGUGGGUUGCUGAAACUAAUUAUUUGAUCAGUGUGAUUUUUUGUAAUUGAGAAUUUAGGACCUUGGUAACUUGAUUAAAUAGGAAUUUUGUGAUUAGGAAUUUGUGGGUUUACCUCCUAAUUUAAUCCCUUUCUUAAGAGGGAUCUGGUCGUAACACACAAUGGGGGGAAGAGAAGCGGCACCAGGUUCGGCGAUCAAUCUGAAGAGGAAGAGGUCAAUUUUGAGCACAAGUCCAAUCCCCGGCCCAAUUUUGUAUGAUCAUCUAAUUUCAUGUUUCCUUUCUAUUCUGAUUCCAAAAGUAUGUUUCGAAAUGAUUAGGGUUUCAGUUUUUGUUUUAAUCUUAGUUGAAGGAAGAUAUAGGGUGUGGUUUUGUUAAUGGCGGUGGAUGAUUUGGAUGAAAGUAUGUAUCCUCGGGAUUUUUUUGCUUGCAGUUGUUUAGGCCCGGACUGAAGAAGUUUUGUGGAAUGAGAUUCCUAUAUCGAAUUGUCUCUCUGUUUAUGGCAGGUAAUAAAGGUGUUCCAACCAGUAGCUGAUAAAAUGUCUUUAUGUAUAUGCUUUUGUUGAUUUCUGCUGCGAUAAUGAGGGAAUCCAGAGGAUUGAGGCCAGUUAAUCUGAGGUUUGUACUACUCUAUCCCUUUCUUUCUUUCUUUCUUUCUGUAAAUUUCUUGAAAUUGACGACGCACGUUCUGAUUCUUGCUGUGUUUGGGAGCGGAGAAAGCUCUGGAUUAGCUUUGAUCACUUGAAUUUUGUCUUAUUUAGUUCAGCACAGUCGGACUACAUAAUCCUACCAUUGGGCUAUUUCUAUAGAGGGUUUAUGUUGACUUUUGUUGGCCUGUUGACAGUCUGGUAGGUCUAUCAUAUUGAUGGAACUAAAUUGUGAGUUAGUUAUGGUUUAGAUUGUUGAAUUUUGAAUUUGCAAUUCCCUUUGAAACUGUCACAAGCGAUGUGUCUGUUGUGGCUACAGGAAUCAAAAGCGAGUGAAAGGUAAAGCUUUUCUCUCCAAGCAUUCAUUGCCAGAAAUUGUAGUACCUCUUUUAAAUUCAAUUUUUUAUUUAUUUGCAGAAUUGUAUUAUCCUUUUGAAGCAGUGGGGAGCCGCGGGUUCACUCACGCUUUCAAAUUUCUCUCUCUCUCUCUCUCUCCCCCCAUUGUAUUUGGGUUUUUCUCCUAUUUCUCUUUUUUGUUGAUCUAAUUUGUGGUGAAGUUGUUGAGUUUGCUUGAAUUGGAACGUGGGUUUAAUUGAGUUUCCUUUACGGCCACUUUGUGUCUGGCAAAGGUAAUAAUAUUACUCUUCAUUCCAUAAGCUUUAUUUUUAAUGCCCAUAAAAAUUUGGAACUGAGAACAUGAUGGGGUUUUAGGCAAUACCCAAGUUCUAUAAUUUUCCCCGCUUGUUUUUAUUAGUAAUUUCUUCAAUCAUGUUAGUUUGAUAGUGUUUUGCUGCCCAGAAUUUUUUUGAAUUUAAAAUAUCAUGGGAUUGGGGUUUUAAGAUUUUAACAACAAUUGAUAUGAAUUUUGGUGAAUUUUGAUGCUCAAUGGACUUUGUUAACGGCUUCUAACUUUGUUAUGCUUUGGAAUAUUGGUGGGUUUUCAUCAAAUUUUGCUUAUAUCUUUGUGCGGUGUGUCUGUUGUAUUAUCUGGUCAUAGAUACCUUCGUUCAGUAAUUUGAGAAGCAUGGGGAGAUAAUAGACUAAUCAAAGAGAUGCAUGUGAUCAACGAUAAAUAGGUAAGCAUCAUCCUUUUCCUUCUUUUGUUAUGAUUGGUUGUAUAGAGGAUUGAGAAAAAAGUUGAAGACAAUUCCAUGCUUUUGAGUUAUAGCAAUUAGUAAAUAUAAAGUUCAUUGAAGUUUUGAAUCCUUCGUUAGUUUAUUUAUGGUGCGUGCUUGAGAAUGAAAGCAAUGGACAUUAUAUGGAAUUGAUGUUCCUUUUAAUGUCAGUAAAGAAAGGAAUUGUUCCUUUAUUAGCAAUUAUAUGAAGUAGGCAUAUUAUGCAAUACAAUGUCUACAAUCGACUAUUUUACUUUUUGUAUACAAGUACAAACUUUUGAUCGAAAGCCACAAAAACUACCUAAAGGCCAAAGAACUGUGUGUGUUAGAAGAACAAAAUAUGGUGUAAAGCUUAAAUUUUGGGCACUUAAAUAUAUGUUUUAUUUUUCAAUUACAAUAACUUGCAUGAAAAUUCAAUUGGGUUUGUUCUGGUCUCCAAGAAUUUUGCUUUGUUUGGUUACUGAUUAAUUUAUGUGGUGGGAGUUUAGUUUUUGCAUUUCUGCCUAUGUAUAUAUGAUUCGAAAUGGACUGUUCAAUUAUAUAUUUGUAAUCGAAAAGCUCGAAGGAGAGGUGAAUUAUAUUACCGACACCGUUCAUUUAUCUAUCCCUUUGCUCAUUCAUGAUUAUGUAGAAUUUUUUUCCAGGUUAAAUGUGUCAUAUUCAUGUAGUUAAGGCUGAUGCAUUUAAGUCCCGCAGUAUCGCGUGGGCCAAUUUACUAGUGUAAACGAAAAUCGAAAUCAAAACACGGAGAUUUUUACGGUUUUAAAACGACUUCGGUUUGAAUCUGAACUGUAGCAUGAAAAAACAGGUUGGUUUUGCUUUUGAACAUCUGAAAUCAAGCCGAAACUGAAUCACAUUGCCAAAAUACCUGAACGAAAAGGCAUAGAGUACGUUCCGCAUAAUGCCCAAAACCAAAAGCCGCAAGGGUGACGCCGAACCUCCGCUCUGUGUAUGAUAGCAUGCCCACCGGACCUGAUGCUCCGCCGCAGCAUGUAAAUCUUGGAUGAGUGGUACACCAACAUUACAAUGCAGUGGUUUAUAUGAUGACGAUCCCAACUGUUAGGUACUCAAGCCCAAGGGAAGAGCCCAACCCAAAAGACUAGUCCAAUAGGUGGGAGGACCCCAAGGACUUAAGAACCCCUACACCCCCAUAAGUGUAGUCGAUGUGGGAUCAUAACAUUACACCACCCUUCGGAAGCCGACGCCCACGGCGGCCCUUACUCUGAUGGCUUUCACUCUUAACGGCAGUGCACCCUUUGGUCAUCCCGUUAAGGUAGCCCUUUCCAGGUCACCCCCUCCGCAGCGUCGGGAACCUAGGCUCUGAUACCAAUGUUAGGUACUCAAGCCCAAGGGAAGAGCCCAACCCAAAAGACUAGUCCAAUAGGUGGGAGGACACCAAGGACUUAAGAACCCCUACACCCCAUAAGUGUAGUCGAUGUGGGAUCAUAACACCAACAUUUCAAAUUCAUUUUCUUAAUCCUUCUUCAGGUUUGUCCACACAACAAAUUGGUGGCAUAUUCAGAAGACACCAAAGGAAAUGAAAUCUAUACAGUUUGUGUCGUUGAUGCCGAGACAGGUGCUCAUGUGGGUCUGCCUCUAGUUGUUACAACAUCCUAGUUUGCAAAUGGUUUGAAACCGAAAUUAAAACCGUUUGAAACCGAACUAAAUCGCAACCAAAUGGUUUGGUUUUAUCUUGAUUCGUUCAAGCUUCAAAUUCACACCGAACCGAACUGGCAAAAAAUUCAGUUUCACUUUAAAACCGCACAUAACCAAACCGUGUCCAUCCGUGGUCUGCAUUGGAGGAAAACUGGGGAAAACCUCCCGGUAACCUCAACUCUGAUGGAGGAAAUGUAUUGGAGAUUGAAGAUUGUGAAUUCUUGUUUUUGUUUUUCUCCAUAAGAUUUCCAUACAAAAUUUCUAUACGAUUUUUGCCUUCUCUUGUAAUUUCAUUAUGACUACAUACUACAAAUUUUUGGUGACCCUCCGACAGCCACGGAAACGACAACCCACUUCUGAGAUCGGAAGCUAGCGUAUGGAGACGGCGUGUCGGAGAUUGUCUUGACGGUGGAUUCGAGCUGUGGCGUCGAAUAUUAUGUUUUUUGGUCAAAUAAUAAAUUUUGUUAAAUUAGUCAUCAAUGGGUGAUUAGCUAUCAAUAGGUUCGGACUCAUAACGUCAUGCAAAAGUUUAACAUUUUUCUACCAUUAUGAUAAAGUGGUUAAUCACACCGAUGAAUGAUUAGUCACAGACGAAUUAUUCUCUAUCAAUCAUACAAAGAUUUAAGGAUCUGUUUGGUAUCUUAUUUGAAAAUUUUAUUAUUUCUCAAAACAUUUCUUAAGAACAUUUCUUGAAAACAAUUUUCUUUAAGACUCAAAAACUUGAUUGGUUUGCGAUUUAAAUUUUUUAAAUCUUAUGACUUAAACUAGAUAAAUAGAUCUAAAAAUAGGGGGUCGCAUGAGAGGAAGAAAAAGGAGAGAGAAUGAAAGAAAGUAAGAGAGGAGUGAAGGCAAGAGAAAGAAGAGAGAGGAUUGGACGAGAUAACGAGGAAGAUGAGUGAGAGAAAGAACCAAGAAAAUAAAAGGAGCUGAUUGGAGGAGAGACGAAAAAGGUUACAAAAAAAAAGGAGAAAGAAAGAAGAAAAGAGAGAGAGAUAGGUUUGAAGUGAGAGAGGAGAAGGAAGAGAAAAAAAAUGAGUGAGUUUAAGUUUAAAAACUCUAAAAACUCACUUUUUAUGUUUUUAGAUAAUAUACUAUAUUUUUUAGUUAGUAUUGAAUUCAGUUUUUAAAAAUAGUCUUACAAAACAAGUUUUUAAGGCAUAAAACUUAAAAAUUAUUUUUGAGUUUAAAAAAUUAAAUUCAAAUAGAGUACCAUAACAUUUUUUUACUAUUUGUGAUAAAGAAGCACUUGCUACCCAUGCGAGCUGGUUGGAUAUAUACAAAAGGGUCCUUUCAGCCUUGGUGCCACUGCCAGACAGAAAACAUGGAAAGUAAAGAAGAGAAAAAAAAAAAUAAAGCAAAAGAAGGUGAUGGUGGAAUUGCAGAAAGAAAUGAAGGAAAAGGAAAGGGGGAGUCCACGUGAAGAAAAGGCAGAAGAAAGACGAAAGAAAACAAAGAGAAAACAAAGAGAAAAAAAAGAUGAAUGAGGAUUUUCGUAGAAUUCUCCUCGUAAAGAUUCUAAAGAUUCUUUAAUCAUAUCCAUUUAUCGUAUAUAUGUUAAAAAUUAUUUUAAUUAUUUUUAUUUAAAAUUAAAUAUAAACAAUACCAAAUAAAAAUUAAUCGUGCGAUAUAUUAUAAACGAAUAUAAUUAAAGAAGUAUCAAAAUUCUUUAAAAAAAAAUCCGACCACGAUCUUCUUUCAAAGUAAAAGUUGAGACAGAAAAGAAAAAGAAAGAGGUUAAAGAAAGAGAAAAAAAAAAAUGGUGGUGCCUGGCAUACAAUACAGAAGUAAAAAAGUGAUGAGAUUGUGGCAGACAAAUAAAAAAAUGUGAAGAAAAAGUGGAAGAAAAUAAAAAAAGGGGUGGAAUGAAAAAGUGAGGUGUGUGGCCAGUGGCCACGUGAAGAAAAGAAAAAGAAAAGAAAAAGAAAAGAAAAAGAAAAGAAAGUGGUGGCAACCACAUGUGAAAUGGCAUGUACCAUCAUGUUAGCAGAUCUAAUAAAGGUCGCCUUUUAUCAUGGUAAUAUAAAAGUUGCGCAUCUUUGCAUUCUUACGUGAAUUCGAGUUUUUUUUGUUUCUAAAAGAUUGUGUGUUCUUAUAUUUCAGCGUGAGUUCGAAAAACCAACAAAAUCAUGAAGGGAAUGAAAACAAGUAUGAAUUCCAUUAGAACCAUCCUCUGAGUGAUCUUCCUUGUCAAAAUUCCCACACGCCAUUAACUUAAUCAUUAACUUAGCAUAUGUAAAGAAGAGCUCAAAAAGUGGUUGAUUCUUUACUCACUCAGGUUUUUUUUCUGUAUGUGACAAACAUCAGAUUAAAGUUCCUAACAUGAAUGACAUCUUUCAAACUAUAGGGAUAAAAUAACUUCAGCGGGGACUUGUAUGCAUCAUUAUCACGUUGAAAUGUUUUGUAAUGUUAUUGAUAUGCAACUUCAAGAGCUAAAUAUUCGUUUUGCUGAGACGAAUAUUGAGUUGCUUCUUUGUGUGAAUCCAGGUGAUAUUCGUUCUCUGCUUUUGACAAACAAAAGUUGAUUCGGCUUGCUCAGUAUACCUGAAUGGCUUUUCGGCACUUGACUUGAUGAUAUUGUUUUUUUAAGGAGCUUUUUGACACUUGACGAUACUUGAAAAUCAGCUUAAGAUGCACAUUAUGGACAUGCGCUCCAGCAUUGAGUUUUUAGGAUUGAAUGGGAUUGCGAAUCUUGCACAAAAAAUGGUUGAGACAAAAUAAGAAACUGUUUACCCAUUAGUUUACUUGAUGUUGACAUUGGCACUCAUGUUACUAGUUGCAUCUCCCAGUGUAGAGGGCGUUUUGUGCUAUGAGGAUUGUGAAGAAUUGAUUACUCAAUCAAAUGGAAGAUCAAGGGACAGAUGAUUGUUGAAUUGCCUAUAUUGAGAAAGACAUUCUCGAUGAUAUCAAACAUGAAGUUAUUAAGCAACGAUUUCAAAAUAUGAAAACUCAUCCAUGGCAAAUAUUAUUGUAACUAAUGGAUAUAUUAUCAAAUAAUGCUGAUUUGUUGUCGUAGAAUGGGCUUCAGUUUUAUUUUUCCUUAUUUAGUUAAAAUAUUGUUAGUAUAGAUAUGUCUUUGCAUCCCAUCCCUUUAAUUUUAACAGGUUCGAUGAUGACCGCUUGCUCAAGAAAAAUGACUGCAGAACAUUAGAGUUACAGGUUAGUGUCGAGAAGUAAUGUACUUGAAUGGAUGACCAUAGGUUGCAUUUUGCAGUUAGUAUUUGGCAUUAUAUGUCGUUUUGUAUCGGAAAAUUAUAGAGCUAUACAGUUGAAUUGAAUUACAAUUGAAUUGAAGGAGAAUGAGUGUGCGUUUUACGUUGAUUAGUUUGCUCACAAUCUUCAUUCUACACUUGUAGAGAUGGCAAAUGAUCAUUCUGAAAUCUAUUGUCUCUUUACUUCAGUUGCUAAUUUGGCAAAAUGAUGCACCAAGCUAAAGUUUGAAACUAAACUGAACUGAAUCCUUUUGGUUAUCUAAUUUACACUGAAAUGAUGCACCAAACCAAAAUGUGUAUUCUAAUUGGUGAGGUAACAUAAUAUGUCCUUAUUUCCAAAAAAAAAACAUAAUAUGUCCUUGUCCUUGAUAGCAUUCAACAUUCAAAUUCUCUAACAAGUUUGUGACAACCCGUUCCAACUUUAUCAAAUUUUAAUUUUGAAAGUGAGAAUUGACUAAAAUGCCUCUGUUGGGUUCAGCUGAUACGUGGACGUUUGAGCCAGUGCUUAAUUUGUCUCAUUUCGUAGUAUAUCGAGAUAGUACUCAUCGUUACUAACGUGUGAGCGCUAACUAGACCCAAAUUAGAUUUGUAACAAAGAAACUACACUUGUUAAUAAACGGGUAAAUAUGUACACAAAAUUGUGUGAAAUUCACAGAGUGUGCAUGUGAGAAACUGUAACCAUUAUCCUUUCCGAAUCCUUAUUUGCGUAUUGCGGAAAAUAUCAAUUCAUCAUAAUCGUUCACUACACAUAUAAAUGAUUUUAAAUAUUUUAUUCUUUUUCCAGCUUGCACGCACAAAUAACGGGCCCCAUUCUUUUUUCGUCACUUUGUAUCAGAUGCUUUAUCCAUCUAAAAUGGAUCAUUAUUGAUUGAAUGAUAACAACCACCACUCUUACAUCACACAGUACAUAAAGACUUCAUUAUUUAUUUAAAGUAUCUGUUAGCUUUUAAAAAUUUGUCAUGUUGUGAGAUUUUUCUUCCGUUAAAUCACGCUUUUGUUUCGUGUGAGAAUGUGAAAAGUUUGUCUAUUUGUAUGAUUUAAAUAUGUGAGAUAGGUGUGUGUUUCUGAUGCUUUUAGCUGAGAUUAAUAUCAUAUGUAAUGUCAAAUUGGAUGUUGCGUAUAGGGAUGGGCAACGGUUAUGACAGGCAGAUAACCGCAGUUAUUUACCCAUAACUAUUUUUGCUCAUACCCGCAUAACCGUUUAUCCGUUGGGUAAUUGCCUAAACGGUUAUACCCAUACCCAUAAACAUUUAUAAAUGGUUAACCAUACCCAUAACUGCAUACCUAUUUAACCGUAACCGUUUAAUACCCAUUUACCCAUUUACCAUUUUUAACCCGUUUGUCUUUUUUUUUACCAUCAUCCAUUUUUCACCCGUUUACAUGUUUUUUAACAACUUGAAAUUUUAAAAAAAAAUGUCAUAAUUUUUUUUUUUGACAAUUAAACACCGUUAUAGGUACAUUCAUCAUACAUUUCCGUAUUUUAAUUUUUUAAGUCCUUAUACCAUUCCAAUAAUUGAAAUAAUAAUUUACGGAUGAUAUUUUUAACUGUUACCAAUGAAAGUAAAUAUAAUAUUUGCCAAGUAUUAUUGGGUUACAAAAAUUGUUUAGAAGACAUUUCUGUCAAAGCAUUUAUGUCAAUUUCACGGUUACCCACAAAUAAUUUAAAUUAAUUUGGAGAAUUCCUUGAUGAUGAGAAUCAUCAUUCCUGUAGCAGUGUUAUUGAUAAAAAGACCGAUGAAUUCCUUGCUAAUUUAUUGGGUGCUAAGUAUUAUUGGAUCAAGAACUUGGUUUGUGUUAGUUUUACAUAUAUAAAAUAAAUGGGUAAACGGUUACCGGUUUAUAACCACGGUUAAUACCCAUAACCGUCCAUUUAAAUUUCGCGGGUAAACGGUUAUACCCAUAACCGUUUAUUAUCUAAACGGUUAGUCAUAACCAUAAUCGUUUAAUUUAAAUGGGCGGGUAACCACGGUUACCCUUAACCAAUGGGUAUUUGCUCAUUCCUAGUUGUGUAUAAUUAAAUUAGUGUAAAAUAUCACUUUAUGAGUGAGUCACGAGAGCAAAUCCCAUGCGAGAAUGUGUGCGUUGAAUGUAUUGAGUUAUGCAAAGAGUAAAAUUGUAGCAGUUGCAUUGUUAAUUUGAUGCAUUUACUUAUGUAGUUUUAAUUUUGGCUAAAAAACAUUAUUUUAAAGGAUAAAAAUUAGUAAAGAUGUGUUAAAAGUAAAAAUAAAUGCGUUGAUAGUAUCACUAUUUUAAAAUUGUUCAUUCAAUUUGCAUGACUAACAAUCUCAAAAUGAAUAAAUUUACCUUACUUUUGGGCUUGUUUCUUUACUUUACUUUUGAAAAUGACUGCAACUUUACUUUAGUGUGCUUUUAACAAACUAUAGUUUAAUUUGUUUUAUCUUUAAUAAGAUUAGUUGUUUGACCGAAAACAAAAGAAUAACUUUUUUUUUGAGAUAUUUUUACACAAUGAUAAAAAAAUAUGCAACUCUAAUUGCGAUGCUUCUACCGUGAAAUGAUAUAAAAUUGUAAUGCCACGAGAGAGUGAGGAUGGCUCGAGACAUGUAUUGUCGUUUGAAAAUUUGGGGUUCGUAAGCAAUGCAUCCAUUUCUCUUUCACUUUUGUCUUUUUCUUGUUAAAGAGAAUACAAAAUGACAAAACUAAUCUUGUUGGGUUUAAUGGAAUUUUGAGCCAAUGCUUAAUUCGUCUCAUUUCUUACCAUAUUUGGACCGUCAUGAAAGCAUAAAAAAAAAUGAACUUUAAUGAAAAGUUCUCAGUACUAUUCAUUUUAACGAAAAAUCAUAUUUUUACAUUAAAAAAUCAAUUCUGGUACUAUUUAUUUUACCCUUUAUUUUAUCCGUUAAAACUCAAAGUUUUCAAAACUUUUUAAUUAGUUUUUCAUAAAAAAACCUAGACCAAAAUCAAACUUAUAACGAUUUAAUGAUCGAUAACAAGCAAUAAAUUUGUACACUUGUGUAAAUUCGCACAUGUGUGCACGUAAGAAAGAGUCGGCAGACACUGUUGGAGAAAUUAUCUAUUGGCUUUUGAAAAUUUGUCCUGUUGUGCGAUUUUUCUUCCGUUAGAUCAGGCUUUUCCUUUACGGAAAGCCACCCACCCCACCAAUCAAUCACUCUGCUUUUUCUCCCUUUCUCUCAGGGUUUCUCCUCCCAGUAACAUCUCUCUCACUCGCUAAACCCUCUCUUUCUACCUCUCAAACUCUCCCGUCCUCUCUUUUCUUUGUAACGCAGCGAAAGUCACCAAACCUUGACGAAUCAACGCUCAAACCACCACCACAUCCCACCCUCUUGACCUCGCGAGUUCGAACCCGAGCUCCGUUUCGUAGGAAACAGAGACUAGAAGCUCUAGCUCGAAGCUCCGACGAGAAAGAAACUUCCCGACGAAGUUCCCGACACUUUUCCGACCACUCCACACCGUUUUGGAAGAGUUGGAAGCCACCACACAACUCCCUAACGUCCCUGGGUCAAGUUUGAGGCAAUCCCCAACUCGAAAACACACGGUUUCGAAGCUUUGGGUUUUUGGCCGAGACUUUCUGGCCAAUUUCAGUACAUUUACGUCUACUUUUUGGAGUUCCAAGAGGUAUAAACUUGUUCCUUGUGCUUCAUUUCCAUGUAAAGAGCGUAAAAUGGUUGAGAAAUGAGCAAGUUAUGACCUUUUGAAAUUCUCCCCAGUUUCCGUCGAUUUCAGGUUCCUUCCGUCCUGUUUUUGGCUAAAUCAUGGCGAGUUAGCCAUUGCUAUGGGUACCAAUCUGUUCAUCUCAUUCUGAGGUAUCAUUUCCAUUCUGAAUCACUCAACUUCGUUAAGAUAUGCGGAAGUUAUGAUGAUUUAAAAAUUUCCCAGAAAACCGGCGAGAAACUGCAUAAUCCGGCGACCAGCGACCGGAAUCUGGUGAAAAGUAAAUGAAAAAACGCAGUUCUAAAACAACUAAAUACGUAAUUGCAUAUCAUUCAAAACACAGAAACUUGUGAGAGUGGCCUGAACAGAAAGAAAAAAUAUGAAAUGAAGUUCCUUUAAAAUCUUAUCCGGUAAAAGAAUUUUUCAUUAUGAUGGAACACAGACGGUGGAAAGUGUUUUUACGGAAGUGAUAGAAAUUUUAUUCUUAACUGUUUAACACAAAUAUUUUUUAAUUUGUAUAAUGACACGUAUUGUAUCAUUUUAUGUGUCGAUCAUAUUAAAAAAAUAAUGUUCAAGAAGGGUAACAUCACAUAUCUAACUUAAACUAGGGAAUGUCAUACUUAAUGUGAUCAUAACUAGUAACUUUUUAUUUUUUACCAACUGCUAAUAAAUUAUAAAGCACCAAGUAUUUGAAUUUUUUAAUUAACCUGGUGAGAUAUUCCCCAAGUUCUGACAUCCACGCCAAUCAAUGUAGUAAUUCCUAAUCUUGUAGUUUGUAAAAUUAUCUUUCCCACCUAGAAUGCGAAUAAGGGGUACAUUUUGCACAGUGCACCCUCACUACUAGUUUAAAUGACUUAUAAGCUUUGGUUUUAUUUAUUCAAAUUUUUGCUCAUCAUCUAUACUUUAUGAUUUUUGUCACUUUUCAGGUGUCCGCUAGUACACUUUGACUUCAGUUGGGGUCUGUCAAAGUUCAUGAAGCACCAUUACUAAUUCCAGACAUAUGAUUUGUUGCUGAACAAGACAUAAAUUUCAUAAUUUCACUUUUACUCUGGACAGUUGUAUCGUGUUGACUUACAAUACAGGUACUACAUAUUUCUCGAAAACUAUUUCUUUCAAAUAUUUGUUGUUUUAGACGUUUGUUUUUACUCUGCCUGACUAAGAAAUAAAAGUGUUGGUUUUACAUUUUAGUGCCCACCAAAUACUGUAUUUCAGCUGAGCUUCAAUACUAACAAACCUAAGGAAACCAUCAUGUAUUAAAAAAUAAUCAACUAAAAGUGAGCUAAUCCCCUUAUAAUCAAAUUUUAUUGUUUUCUAAACAAAAAAAAAAAGAAAACUAAUGAAAAGGGCUUGAAAACUUUGAGUUUUAAUGAUAAGGACAAAAUAAAGGGUAAAGUGAAUAGUACCAGGAUUGACUUUUUAGUGUAAAAAUGUGGUUUUUCGUUAAAGUGAACAGUACCGGGAGCUUUUCGUUAAAGUUUCCAAAAAAAAAUGGAUUGGGGUAGCUAGCAGAAAUAAACAAAUAAAAUAUCAUGUGACAGUGAGUUUGGGGACCAUACAAAUGCAUGUGUUAUUUUUAUCAUGCAAUACAAAAAGUUUGAAACCGUUCUGCUAUGCAAUGAUGAAAUGUAAACUAUUCAAAAUUUGCAUACUGUAAAAUAAUAAUAAUAAUAAAAUAAAUAUACACAUGCACUAAAACGAUCAAUUGAAAAUAUUGCCCUCAAAGUUCGAUUUUCUUUAACCAAAACCCACCAUAGUAUAUUCUCCUAACAAAAACUUAAUAACUAGGCUCCAAAUUGCCCUUAAUGUUCUUAUUUUAUUGUAGAAACUUCAUCGUAAGUCCGAAAUCAGUUCCACUUGCGUCCACGCAUUCGUAAUAACGAGCACUACGAGGAUAUGCUAAAAGGAUGGGUCUAUUCACUUGUGUGUGUGUUUAGGUCAACCCCAAAAAAUAAACUAAUUAGGCAUUAUGCCAAAUUAGAAAAUAAUAAAACAUAUGGACCAACUUGCCCACUUGUUUAACAAGUCUAGCGAGCAAACCAUCAUUGUCACAGUCUGCAACCAACGAUACUAACAGCGUACUUGAAAACAAGUUGUGAAGUCUUGAGGGUGCAAAAUAACCAUUUUGCCCAUCGUCGUGAAACAUGUGCAACUCUUUAGUAAGGACGAGUACUAUCUCAUAACGACAGAACAUGGACAAAAGUGAAAAGAACUCAAAUGUCAACAUAGAAUUUUCACUUAGCCUGUCAAGGGUAUUUUCGUAAUUUUAUAAUGUCAAAGAAUAAAAUACAAAGGAUAGGAUGUAACAAUCUACCUCUUUAAAGAAAUUUUGUCCCUAAAAAAUCAUAUUAUACAAGAUCUUACUCGAAGAACAAGUAUGCAUACAGACCUCUCAUGUGCCUUUUAUGCCUCUACGCUGCUACCUGACGCUUAUCUGGUAUUCUAGUACUGUCCAACUCCAUACCACCUAUAUCCUGGUCCUAAGGCAUGACUUCUUGUUACUGCAUAGUAUUUCUAGUAUAAGGAACCAUACCGUGUCCUGGUAGUGGAUAACGCAACACCAUCAUAGCAGGUUGGCUUCCCAUGAGUAAGUUUGGUUGAUAGAGAACUGCUCUUGUGAGCUACUUUCGUUGUUUUGGGGCACACUUGUUGGCCCAAUAUUCUUGCUGACCGCAUAUAUGACAACCUUUACUCCCUUCCUAUACUUGUCGUAAUGAUGGGUGUUGUAUUGGAAGCAAUUAUUGUACUGGUGUUACUGGAAUUACCCUAAGGGCGAAAUUUAGAAGCUGUUGGAUAUACUUCCAAAAUCGAGUUUACUGGAACUUGAUUAUCCAUUAGAAGAUGUGAAAUUAUAGUUGUUUUUAUUUUUUGAAACAUUGGUUCUGUUGUGGAUAAAAAGAACACUAGUGUUCUUCUGUUGAGUGCUACCACUCUCAUCACCAACAUUGUCACUCGAGACAUUAUCGAAAUUCUCAAUGCAAAGUAAAGCCUUGUAGAAUUCCUUGUAUGUGGUACAUGAUAUAGGUGCUGCCAAGAAACAAAACUGCUUGCGGAUCUGUUAUUUGAACUGGUGGAGCCUCUUUGAAUGGUUAGUAGCGAUUGUUGGACAAUAGCAUGACAGAUCGUUAAACUUCCGAUGGUACUUAGCUACCGAUGUUUUGCCUUGUGUAGGUCCCUAAACUCAUCUUCUUUUUUUUUCGAGUCUUGUACUCCGAAAACUCCGCAUGUGUAAGUUUAUCUUACAUUGCCAGUCCCAAGCCCGGAUAAAAGAGGAGGGGGAGGACAUCAGGUAAUUGAUAGCCGGCACUCCUAUUUUACGUCAAAUUCUUAUGAUAAUGAAUCCUGAACCAAAUUGCACUAAAGUUAGGUCAUUACCCGUAAGUGGCGCGCUGUGGCCCGAGCAUAUUAAUAAGUGAGCAAGGGUCGUCGUAUCUUCAUCAACGCUCGGAUGCAGUGUUAAAUGAGUAAGGAGGCCAUAUAAACUUCUUUUUGAACGACUCCACUCAAAGUUGUUUGGAAGCAUCUGCUCCUAUCAACUUUGACCUUAUUGGACGGGGGAUGGUGAAGAAGCUAGGGCAUGAGGGUAGAGUUCAAGAGAGUAAAAUGCGUUUAGGAACGUGGAAUAUAGGAACCUUAACGGGAAAAUCUGUGGAAGUAGUGGAAGUUAUGGUGAGGAGAAGGAUAAGUAUUAUAUGUCUACAAGAAACUAAGUAGGUUGGUCUUAAGGCAAAGGAUCUCGAAAACUCAGGUUUUAAACUUUUGCAUUUGGGCACAAAUAGAACGAGAAAUGAUGUUGGCAUCAUCGUGGACAAGACCUUGACACAAGAUGAUGUAAACAUCAAGAGGGUAGGAAAUAGAAUUAUGGCAAUCAAAUUGUAAUAGGACAAGAACUCAUCAAUGUGAUUAGCGUGUAUGCACCUCAAGCAGGGUUGGAUACGAGAUUGAAGGAGAAAUUUUGGGAAGAUCUUGGAGACUUGGUACAAGGAAUCGCUCAGAUUGAGGAGAUUUAAAUGGACACGUGGGCAAUGAGACAGGCCAUGGUUUUGGGGAGAGAAACUAGGAUAGGAAAGCCAUCUUGGAUUUUGCAAUGGCAUACGAUCUCUUCUUAGCCAACACCUUCUUUAAGAAGAGAGAAGAACAUGUGAUCACCUACAAGAGUGGGUCGUCAAAAACACAAAUAGAUUUUCUUCUAAUGAGGAAGGAGGAUCGUAUAACUUGCAAGGAUUGCAAAGUUAUACCAGGAGAGAGCUUGGCUAAUCAAUAUCGCUUGUUGGUGAUUGAUGUACAUAUCAGAAGAGAGAAAAAAGAACAAGACCUUGAAGUGCCCAAGGACUAGAUGGUGAAAUCUAAAAGGAGAAAAACAAGCCAUUUUCAAAAAGAAAAUAAUCACCUUAUGCGUGUGGGGUAAAGAGGGGGAAGCUAGCCAAAUGUGGGAUUCUAUGGCUAGUUGUAUCCGAAAAGUAGCAAAAGGGGUAUUAGGAAAGUCCAAGGACUUUGCUCCACACCAAAAGGAAUCUUGAUGGUGGAAUGAAGAGGUAGAAACAAAGGUUAAAGCUAAGAAUGAAUGUUGUAAAGUCUUAUACAAGGAUAGGACCGAUGAAAACGGCGAAAGGUAUAAAAUAACGAAGAAUGAGGCGAAGAAAGCUGUGAGAGAAGCGAAACUAGUAGCUUUUGACGAUAUGUAUAAGCAACUAUAUACCAAAUGAGAGUUAGAUAUCUAUAAACUAGCUAGAGCAAGAGAAAAGAAGACGAGACCGAAACCAAGUAAGGUGCAUCAAUGAUAAGAAUGGAAAAGUUCUUGCUACAGAGAACACGGUCAAAGACUGAUGGAGUGGUUAUUUUCAUAAUCUUUUCAAUGAAAGACAUGAAAUGAGUACUUCUUUGGGGGAGUUGAAUAACUCAGAAGAGUAGAAACUACUCAUUUUACCGCCGAAUUAAGAAGGAAUAAGUGGUUGUAGCUUUGAAAAAGAUGAAGCAUAGAAAAACAAUGGUCCCAGAUGAUAUACCGAUUGAAGUGUGGAAAGUCUUGAGAGAGACGGGUAUAACAUGGCUCAUAGACCUUUUCAAUAGGAUUUUAAAAACGAAGAAGAUGCCAAAUGAGUGGCGAAAGAGCUCUUUGGUGCCUAUCUACAAGAAUAAGGGCGACAUACAAAAUUGCAUGAACUAUAUGGAUAUCGUAACAUCCCACAUCGCCCAGGGGAGUGAUCCUUAAAUGUAUAUUCUCAUUCCUACCUAGCACGAGGCCUUUUGUGAGCUCAUUGGCUUCAGGUUUAGUAGGAACUCUGAAGUUAAGCGAGUAGCGCGCGAGAACACUCCCAUGAUGGGUGACCUAUUGGGAAGUUGCUCGUGAGUUCCCAGAAACAAAAUCGUGAUGGCGUGGUCGGGGCCCAAAGUGGACAAUAUUGUGCUACGGUGGUAGAGCGGGCUCGGGAAGUGGUCCACCCCGGGCUGGGAUGUGACAAUGGUAUCAAAGCCAAUCCUUGGCCGGAAGUGUGCCGACGAGGACGUCGGGCCCCUAAGGGUUUCGAUUGUAACAUCCCACAUCGUCUAGGGGAGUGAUCCUUGAAUGUAUAUUCUCAUCCCUAGCUUGCACGAGGCCUUUUGGGAGCUCACUGGCUUCGGGUUCCGUAGGAACUCCGAAGUUAAGCGAGUAGCACGCGAGAGCACUCUCAUGAUAGGUGAUUCACUGGGAAGUCGCUCGUGAGUUCUCAGAAACAAAACCGUGAGGGUGUGGUCGGGGCCCAAAGCAAACAAUAUUGUGCUACGGUGGUGGAGUGGGUCCGGAAAGUGGUCCGCCCUGGGCCGGGAUGUGACAUAUAUUAAGUUAAUGAGUCAUACAAUGAAGCUCUAGGAGAUGAUAAUUGAGCAUAAACUGAGGCAAGAGACAUGGGUCUCGAACAACCAAUGCGGGUUUAUGCCAAGGCGCUCAACCAUGAAUGUAAUCUAUCUCUUACGAAGAUCGAUGAAAAGAUAUAGAGAUAUGAAAAAGGAUUUGCAUAUGAUCUUUAUAGAUUUGGAAAAACGUAUAAUAGGGUCCCAAGAGACAUUUUUUGGAGGAUUUUAGAGAAGAAAAGAGUACAAGUAGCAAUAUCCAAGCUAUAAAAAGAUAUGUAUAAUUGAGCAAGAACUGUCGUAAGAACUCAUGAAGGACAAACCGAAAGCUUCCCCAUUACUGUAGGGUUACAUCAAGGCUUAUCUUUAAAUUCUUACCUUUUUGCAUUGGUAAUGGAUGAGUUAAUGAGACAUAUUCAAGAUGAUAUUUGUUGGGGUAUGUUUUUCGCAGACGAUAUAAUAUUGAUAGAUGUAACUAAGGAAUGAGUAAAUGCGAAACUUAACCUUUAGAGAGAAGUGUUGGAAUAUAAAGGUCUUUGCCUAAGUCGGUUAAAGACAUAGUAUAUGGAAUGCAAGUUCAAUACAAAUGGAGGCUCAAAUGAGUUAGGGGUGAAGAUUGGAGACCAGGAAGUACCAAAGAGCGACUGCUUUCACUACUUAGGAUUUAUCUUGUAAAAGAACAGAGAAUUGGAUGGAGACCUCAACCAUAGAAUACAAGUUGGAUGGAAGAAGUGGAAGAGUGCAUUUGGCGUGUUGUGUGAUCGUUGUAUACCACUAAAGCUCAAAGAAAAAUUUUAUAGGACGGCAAUAAGGUUGGCAAUGCUUUAUGGCAUAAAAUGUUGGGCGUUGAAGCAUCAACACGUACAUAAAAUUGGUGUAGCGGAGAUGAGAAUGCUUCGUUGGAUGUGUGGGCACACGAGAAAGAAUAAGAUUAGGAUGAGGAUAUCCGAGGUAAAGUUGGAGUAGCCGAAAUUGAAGAAAACAUGAGAGAAAAUCCAUUACGGUGGUUUGGACAUGUGAAACGAAGGCUUACUAACGCUCCGAUUAAAAGAUGUGAUUACGGGACAGGUCUAUGACCGAAGGAGUAGAAGAAGACCUAUGAAGACUUUGGAAGAGACUUUGAGAAAAGACUUAGAAUGCUUGGAUCUAACGGAAGACGUGACACAGAACUGAACACAAUGGCGUUCUAGGAUUCAUAUCAGGAUGGAGAGUUAAAAGAAUAAAUGAGUAAAUGAUUUAAAGUGCUGCUAUUAUCUUGUGAUAAAUGAUGUUGAGAUUUCCCCGGUUGUCGAAGUCAAAGAUGUUUGCCUGGGGACUGAGAACCUUUAGCACUCGAUACAUCUAAUGGAUGUUCAUCCCCCAUCUCGGUAAGAGCCGCUCGGUCUGCAUCGCGCUCCAAGUUUUUUUUCUUGGUACCCAAGAGUAGAUUAUUCUCCAGGAACAGAUGAUGGAGAAGAAUCCUCCAAAAUCCACGACUAAGGGUUGGUUUUAUGGUUAGUGAAAAAGGUUGACAAUCAACUAGACUAGCAAGUCACCAUUGAGCAGGUUGGUGGAGUCAGCAAAGUUGUCAUGAUCAGCGGCAUUGCUACCGACUAACUAGGAGUAGUCUUAAGCCUCAGCCAUCAUUUUCUGAAUUUAAAGCAGUCGACAUUGUGUAUGUUCGGUAUUUACAGGUAGUGUAUGGAUCUCAGAAAUAUAAGGGAAGAGAAUCACAGUAGAGUAAGGUGUAGUUACUCAGGUGAUUAAGCACUCGUCUCAUUUAGACAACUUAGGCUAGUUGGUCUACCAAUUAUGUGGAUUUCUACUUUAUCCUACAGACUAGAUUUACCGAAGAUGGUCGGCGCCGACAUUUACUCACACAGGCGACAACCAAGAAUUUGAAUUUCUUGGAAAAAAAUUACAAUUACAUCUAAAGGUUUCGAAUAGUUCACAAACAAAAAGAAAUGCAAGUGUGGAAAACUUGGAGAAACAACGACAAAGAUUAAAGGCUUGAGGAGGUAGCUCUCAAGGUCAACGGAGAAAUUGUAGAGCAAAUUCGACAGAGUUUCGACAAUGAAGUCAAAUUACAAAAUGAAGGUAAUGCAAGGGUAAGGUUUAUAUAGCAGGAGGCAGAUUCUCUGCUUUCUUUUUCCAUACACUUCUCAUAAUCUCCUAUUUGUGCGGUCACGGUUAAGCCACGUCAACAUUUUAUAUUAAUUUUUUUAUAUAAAUAAUAAGACAAAAAGACGUACCUUAAUUGUGACCGAACAAAUAAAAGGGAAUGAGAAGUGUAUGAGAAAAUGUGAGCAGAGAAUCUACCUCCUUAUACAAGAGGUCACACUUGCUUGCAACGUCUUUAUUACACAUACGCCUCGAUUACCCCUCCAACCAAUGGCAAACACGUACGCUACUGGCACCGUUGUCACGACCGCCUAUUUGAGCGGUAGCCAUACUAUCAGAGCCAGAGCGCUUGGGAAGGAGGAAUACCCAUGUUACCCUUUGAACCAUAUAUUAUUUUAAGGUCCGAUCGACCGUUUCGACUCCAUGCCCAAGAAGAAACCUUUAAACAAGGAGUUGGGGACUUGUUAACACAAGAUCUUUUUAGACCCUUAAAAAUAGUAUAGGCCGGGAAAGAGAUCGAGAAAGGCCCAGGAAAGAUAAGGCCCAAAGGAGGAAAGGAAAUCCAAACCCCAAUGAAUUAGAAAGAAUCAUUUAUCGAGCGCUAUAGUUAACCGCUCACUAGUUUGGGUUGACUAGAGCAACAGAAAGUACUUUCCCGACUGAGAACUUUAUGGCACAAAGCUCUAGGAACAGGUCUACUCAGACACCAUAUUAGGCUAUAUGUCAGUGACCAAUGAAGGCAGAAGUCUAGGAUGAGAUGUAAAGGUAGUCGGACUAUCACUCGGAAAAAACUCCGUUAACUUGUCAAGGCCAAGCAUGUCACUUGGUACACACUGGCCCAGAAAAACAUGUAAUCUCGACUAAACAAUGUUACUUCAUAGCCAAAUGUUGACUGAUGAAUGAUAAAGCUCUCAGCAUGCUAGUCUAUGUACGUAGCUCAUUUAACGCUAGAAUAGUAAAGUAAGUGAGCUCAUCACUGUUUGGACGCAUUAAGGGCCUAUAUAAAGGAGUGAGCACCUCUUUUAAAGGGGUCAAACGAUUGUGAGAUUAGCCGAGCACUUAUUGUAUUCUCCGAGUGAAUAUGUACUAAGCAACACAGUGAAUAUAGCACAGUUUUGAGUGGUAAACCAUUAAAGUCCAUUAUUUCAUAGCUUUAAUCCUAAAUCCAACAGGGGUUAAUUAUUCUUGUUUGCUAGUGUGCAAAUUUUGAGCUUUAACAAUACUUGAAGAUAAAGAAUGUCAUUUGGUUCAAGAUUAAAUUUACCUAUAUUUCACAGAUAUAGAUAUAGGUAAAUUAUUUUAUGUCGAUUAAAGUUACUACUUGAAGAUAAAGGAUGUAAUUUGUUUCAAGAUAAAGGAUUUCAAAUGUCAUUUGGUUAAAAAAAAUAUAGGUAUAUUAUUUUUACGAAGAUUAUAAGGAAAUAUAUUUUUAUAAUAAUAAUAAAAUAUAUAUAUAUAUAUAUGUAUGUAUAUUGUUUCAAUUGUAGCCUACAAAACUGAAAUUUUGAACAAGUGCUAGCAAAAACAAUUAUAAAGUGUAAUGCACCCACGUGAUGAAUUUUAAAUGCUUGCCAAAAAAAAAAACAACCGAAAGAAAUGAGAUGAAAUUUAGGAUUCCAUCAAUACUGUAGGUAUUAAUAUAUUUAUUGAGAUAAUUAAGGUGUUUUGGCAUAGAUUGUAAAUAGUUUGUAAUAAUAGGUUAUUUCUUUGUCUACAUGUCAAUUUGAAUUUUGGGGUUUAAUAAGAUAUUUAAAUAUAAGUGGGUUUUGUCUAAAAAUAAAAAUUAUGGGUUGUGAUUUUCACACAAUUUCAUAUAAUUCAAGUUCAGCAACAUGAUAAACUCAAAUAAAAAUUCAAAUAUUUUAAACAUCAUGAUGAUCUUAUAUUCAAAUGCUAUCAAAGCAUCAGCACACAUUUUUUUUUCCUAAAAUAAAAAUAAAAAUACAACCUAGAUUUAAACAAACAAAAAAUAUCCGAUUAUUAAUGUUUAUUGCUCGUUUGGUUUUCGGCAGUAGAGCACUGAGCGCGAGACUUACAAAGCUAUCAACAAAGAGAAGCAUUCCAGCCGCAGUCUUUGAUUUCAGAAGGAAAUGGCAACGGACAUUAUAAUUGCAAUUGCCUCAAAAAUUGGAGAGUGCUUGGUCAAACCAAUAGGAACAGAGUUUGGCUAUUUGAUUAAUUACCAUUCCAACCUUGAAAGUCUUAAGGGUGAGAUAAAAAAGCUUUUUGACAAGAAAGAUGGAGUGCAGGGAUUGGUGGAUGCUGCCAAAAGGAAUGGUGAAAUCAUCAAACCUGAUGUUCAGAGUUGGCUAAAGAAUGUGAACGACGACAUGGUCAAAAAAGUGUUGCAGUUUGAGGAUGAAAUUAACAAGAAAAGGCGAUGUGUGUAUCGAUGGAGCUUGAGUCGGAGAGCCUAUAAGAUUAAACAAGAAGUUCUUCAGCUCUAGAACGAAGGAGCAUUUGAAAAUGUGGCCCAUCCUGCACCUCCACGAGAGAUAUGGUCAACAUUCAAGAAAGGUUUUAAGGAUUUCAAGUCCAGAAUGGCAUACAUGAAUGAGGUGAUAGAGGGUUUGAAGAGGGAACGAGUACGAAUGAUCGGGAUUUGUGGAAUGGGGGGUGUGGGUAAAACCACAAUGGUGAAAGAAAUCAUCGAAAGAUUGGCAAAACUAGACUUGUUUGAUAAAAUUGUAAUGGCAACUGUGUCUCAAAGUCCAAGUAUUAGGAUGAUCCAGUCGGAAAUUGCAGACAAAAUAGGUUUGAAAUUUGAGGAGGAAUCCGAGCCCGGAAGAGCACUAAAGCUACGUGGGAGACUCAUGGAAAUAAAGAGGAUCCUGAUUGUAUUAGAUGAUGUCUGGACAGAGCCUGAUUUUGAGGCUAUAGGACUCCCUUGUGGAGAUGAUCAUGAAGGGUGCAAAGUUUUGUUGACAUCACGAGAUUCGGAAGUCUGCAACAGGAUGGGAAGUCAACAAAUUAUUGCUGUCCCGAUUUUAACAACAGAAGAAUCACAGGAGCUCUUUAGAGAAAUGGUAGGUGAAUCCUUCGAUGAGCCUGAUUUACGUUCCAUUACAAAAGAGGUCGUGCAUGAAUGUGGAGGUUUACCUAUUGCAAUUGUAACUGUUGGAAAAGCCCUAGAAAAGAAAACAAGCGUGAAUGGGAUGAUGCCCUUAAUCAGCUGCGAAAUUCUACCCCAGUGAACAUCCCUGGAGUGAAUGACAAAGUUUAUUCUUGCAUAAAAUGGAGUUAUGAUAGAUUGGACAGUGAUGAAGCCAGAUCAUGUCUUUUACUUUGUUGUUUAUUUCCAGAAGAUCAUGAUAUUUCAAUUGAGUAUUUGGUUCGAUAUGGGUGGGGUCGAGGAUAUUUUAGCAACAGCUUUACUUUGGAAGAUGCAAGAAAUAGAGUGCAUUCUUUGGUUGACCAACUAAAAAGAAGGUUUUUGUUGCUAGAUAGUGGCGAGGAUAAGUUUACCAAAAAGGUUGACAUGGUUCAGUUUACAAAAAUGCAUGACAUUGUUCGCGAUGUUGCCAUAUCAAUUGCUUCAAGAGAUCCACAUCGAUUUCUGGUAAGAUGUCAUGCUGAAAAUAAGGGGUGGCCGAAUUUAGCUACAUAUGACAAUUACACUACAAUCUCACUUGUUGGCGAAUUGGAGAUUCCCGUUGGUUUGAAAUGCCCAAAACUUGAGCUUCUACAGACGAUAAAAGGAAGUUUUUCAGAAGAUGGCAUGGACAUCAUUUGUGAUGCGAUGAAAGAACUGAAGGUUUUAGCUUUGGUGGAAAUGGAAGGCCUAGACUCAUUAAGUUCACUAGGAGUACCGAAGAACCUGCGGACAUUGUGCUUAGAUGGGUCUAAAUUUGAUGGCAUGUAUACUGAUGUUAUUGGGAGUUUGGAGAAUUUAGAAAUCCUCAGCUUUCGGGAUUGUCGUUCCAUGCAUGAGUUGCCGAGGGAAAUUGGUCGACUUAAACAGUUAAGGUUGUUAGAUACGACAAACUGCAGGAAACUUAAGGUGAUUCCACAUGGUAUCUUCUCCAGCUUAUGUAGACUUGAAGAGUUGUAUAUGCUUGAUAGCUUUGGUGAAUGGGAAAUUGGAACAGGAAGAGAAGAGAAGGGGAUGGCAAGCAUUUCUGAGGUGAUGUCUCUGUCUGAUCAUUUGAAGGUUCUAGCCAUAGAGAUACCCAGUGUCAUCCACUUGUUGCCAAAAGACAUAGUCUUGAAAAGCCCAACAAUAAAAUUCUAUAUACACUUAGGAUGUGACAAUGUAGUUCCUGAGAAGAUGACACUGGAAAAUUGUUUGGCGAUUUAUGGAAGUGAUGCAAUGGAGUUGAAGGAGAGUCAAGCAGUUAGACUUCUGUUGAAAAAAUCUAAAAUUUUGAUUUUGGACAGUGUUAAGAAUUUCUCUGUCCUCAUUGAUUCAGACCAAGAUGGAUUUCAAGAUUUGAAACUUUUGCAUCUUAAUAAUUGUCCAAAUACCAAGUAUCUUGCAAAUAGAACAAGUGCGACCCAGCAGACACUCUUUCCUCGCAUACAGUCAGUUAGUCAGUUCCCGGAUAACUUUUUGUCCAACCUAAGAUUCCUUUAUUUGGGAAAUUGUGAUGUCUUAAAAUAUGUCUUUUCACUAUCAAUAGCGAGAAACUUGGUACAACUCAAGGAAUUAAGUAUUGAUGAAUGUGAUGAAAUGGAAGAAAUUGUGUCGAAGCAGGGGAGGGAACAUGAGGAGGAAGCCAAUAUGAUAUCUUUCCAUAAUUUAACCAAUUUGACUCUUAAGGGUCUAGAGAGUUUGGUCGGUUUCUUCCGAGCCAACACGCUAUGCUCCAACCCAAAGGUAUGUCCCACUCUCCAAUCUCUAUGAUAUGAGGAGGCAGCCAAUAUAUGGAAAUUUGAAAUUGUUACGAAAUGCUCAAGUUGGUGCAUAAUUUUUCUUUAACUGAUAAUGAUUUUUCUUUUUCAGGAAACAACGCCAAGGCUUGGGCAUCAAUCUGCAGGAAUAUUUGAAAAAGCAAUAUUUCCAUCAAAGUGCAUUUCAUGGUUCCCAAGUUUGGAAAAGGUAAAAUUGGAGGAUAUGAAGUUUGACGGCGUGCUAUUUGAUCUGAAAAUCCAUAUAGUUAUGGAUGGGCAGACAACUCCAACAUUUCCCCAUUUACGUAAGUUGAAGAUACUCAAUUGUACGUAUACACACUUGUGGAAAAACAUUCCGUCUAGAUUUCAAGGCUUCCAAAAUUUGAGACAUUUGGGAUUGAGAAAAUGUUCUGGUCUAAAAUAUGUGUUCUCGCAUUUAAUUGCCCGAGAACUUUUGAAUCUUGAAGAGAUAGAGAUAUCAACAUGUCCGGACAUGGAAACUAUAGUCAGAAUCCCAAAGGAAAAUGAAGAUGAGGCAACAAAAGACAUGAUUUUGUUUCCGAAACUGUCCACAUUUGAACUAGUAGACCUGCCUCUUCUCACAAGUCUUUGUUCCGAAGGAUCUACAUUUCUAUGGUCAUCCACAAAAAAUAUGCACGUGGAAAAAUGUGAAAAAUUGAAGACAUUGUGUGCUGUAAUUCCACAAAGAAAGAAGUUGGAGAAUAAGUCUGAGAAGGAUUCAACAAGUCACGAUUUCAGCACUUCUCCAUCAAAUUGGUGUCCUGCUGGAUGUGGAUGCACACCAUAUUCAAGACCAAACGCCCACCGCUCCAUUGAAAUAUUGCCACGUCCAAUUAAUCUGGAGGUAAGCUUUUAAAUCAGGUUCAAUUAACCUCUUUAAGUACAACUUUUAAUUAGUAUUGUAUCAUCGUGCUGAUCAUGCAUAAUUUUCUAGGUUACACCAACCAAUCUUGAGGACUCAAAUGAUUAUGAUAAUCUCGAAAUUCUUACUGUACGUGAUUGUAAUUCAAUGGAAGUGAUUUUCCACCUAAAGGGACCGAAGCAUGAUAAAAGUAGUCACUCCUUUGAAGGAUUCAAUAAAUUGAGGUCCUUGUGGUUAUAUAAGUUGCCAAGUUUAACACGUGUUUGGGAAACGGGUAGUUCACAACAGAUGUUCACAGGAAGCAGCUUCGGAAACUUGAAAUCAUUGAAGGUCAAUUGUUGCAACCAGUUGAAAUACUUGUUUUCUUCGUCCAUAGUCAAACUUCUUGUGAGUGUAGAGGACAUAAAAGUUGAGAAGUGUGAGCAGAUGGAAGAAAUCGUUGCCGCAGAAGAAGAAACAGCUGAAAUAAUUACAUUACCUAAAGUGAAGUCCAUCAAGCUUAAAAGGCUGCCAAAACUCAAGUAUUUUUGUGGUGAAGCUUAUACUUUGAAGUUGCCGUCUUUGGAGUUAUUGAAGGUUAUUAAGGUCCAAAACUUAAAGCUAUUUGCUCCUAAGCUUGUUGACACACAUCCCCGAUUGCAAGUACGCACCGCGUUGGGAGUAGCUGAAUGGAUGGAGGACCUCAAUGCCACUUUAAGGAACAGUUACGUUCUGGUUGAUAAUUUACAGUAAGCGAGCUACAAGCAUAAUUUGGCACUUUAUAUGCUCAAUCUUAAAUUUCUAUUUAUUCAACCAACAAAUACGUUCUGGUUUUGAGCUACAAGCAUAAUUUGGCAAACACCACCAAAAUUUUGAAUACAAAUUUAGGGAAAGCAUAAUCAACAGUUCAUAUUUAGUUUGACAAAAGUGUUCUCAAAAUUUAGUCAAAUACCAUAUAUAUGCAUAUGUUCACACUAAAGUGUAUUUAAGUAAUUUUAUUUUUUAAAACUCAAUUCUAUCUCAAGAAAACAUCCGUCUUUUAUUUCUAAAACAGGAAGGAUAACGAUGACGAAUUGUACAGUGAGGAUGAAAAUGAAGAUGACGAACUCUAUGGUUACAUGAAGAUGACUAACACAAUUGAUUGAUCAAGCACAAAGGUUAGCAUGUUUCCGUCUCCCACUUCUUCUAGGUUUAGUAAAAACUGAUGAAAUUAUCUAUAAAGUACUCAAAAAAUUAUUCUACCAUGUUUGAUAGAAUAUAUACACAUACAUGGAUGGUACUUAAAAAAUUGAACAAUAAAGGGUCGUCGAACCACAUUCUGCUACCUAAUUCAUUUUUUCAAGGAACCCAAUGCAAGUCGAUCUAUAAUAUGCACUCUAAAAGUACUAACCUUGAGAAGCCAUUGAUAUGAACAAGAUUGAACCAUGAUCAGCAACGAACAAGCAAAGAUCUUCAUCUCUCUCUACACGCCUUAUGCACUCCUAUAUGGGGUAGUGUUUUGUGCUUUAAUAAUGUGUAUAAAAGUGGGGCCUAAGCCUUAUAUUUAUAGGUGAGAGUAUUAGGUUUCUUGCCCAUAAAGAAAACCCUAAUACAGAUCUUUAGCACCUCUAAAAUCCAUGACCUAAUAGGAUUGAUAUUCCCAAAAAUUAUUGCUAUACUUUACCAUAAGUAAUCCGGAAUAAUCAAAUAUUAAUUCCCUUCUUUUAUCCUUAAUCAAUUAGGACUCCUAAAUAGAUGUAAGCCCAAUAAAAGUCUUACACCCAAUAGCAGUUAAGAUGGAAGAAGCUUUUAGGAUUAGCAACUGCCUCAAGAAACCUUUAUCAGAUUCCACAAUAAUAUUGGAAUAACCUUUUUCUGUUAGCAUGUCUCGCCUGAUCUAAAACAAGCAUAACCGUUUUGAGAAACACAUAUACAAUAAACAUAACUGUAGUGCUAAGUGACUUGAAAAUUAAUUUAGUCCUUAAACCGCUAUUUUCUGAAACACAUAUACAAUAAGCAUUACCAUUUGAACUUAUUCCAAUUUCAGUGAUUUCUAAUAUUCUCCACUGCAUGCAGGACAAGAGUUUACAGAACGUUGUGUACAAGCCAAUAAAAGGUCAUUUGUUGACCAGAAUUUCAUUCCAAAAUACUAUUUAAAUUGCUUAUUUGAUGUAUUAUAAAUUUCGAUUGUGAUUAUUACUGUUUGUUUCUAAACUAGCGUUUGCUUAUUUGUUAUGAUAAUUUGGAAAGGUUGUCUCUAGCUACCAAUAUUUGCAUUUCAAUUUAUAAUGCUAAAAGUUCUGUAAUACCAUACACGUGUAAGAUGAAUGGCAUGUAUGUAGAAUGACACGUGUAAUAUUGAUCAUACAUGUAAGCUAAAUAAUAUUAUGAUACACUAGCUAGCCGCAACUAAUGUAAGCUGAAUAAUAUGAUCAUUCACUAUAAGGUCUGAUAUUAAUUCAUAAAAUCUGGUUUUCCCCCUAAACGUAACGGAAAUCAUAUUUAUCACACUUCCGGCUAGCUCUCCCUUGAGGAGCCUUGUCUACCAAAUAGGUAAGUUCAAGCAACUUCAAGAGAGAGUUUCCUCCACAUUAAGUCUUAAACAUCUACUGGACAGCAGGCAAUUCAAAACCAAAGUAAGCUGCUGAAUACAACUAGAAUAAACAAGGAAUCGGGCUAAGCUAUUGUCUUCAUCAUAACAUGAUUUUGGCCCCCAUUUACUAAUUUCGUACCACAUUUUCACACUCUUUCCUUGAAUUUUAUAAUUCCUAUGCAACAGAGUUCAUUCAUUGCCUAUUCACAACAUUACAAGGUUCUACAGAGUUCAAUCCCACACCAUGUUAUAGACAUGCUUCAACUAUCAACCUGGAACGUAAUCGUUAGGGUUUCAACAACUUCAGAGAUACAACAAUUACCAUAAGUCUCAUCUCCGACAUUCAUACAGAAAAUCGAAUAAAAUUCGAAAUCAAGAAUUAAUCCCAAAACUGAAAGUUGAAAAUUCGGAAAAAGAACUUACAUUGGAGAACAGCCCACGAGAAGAGGAUCAUUUCUACGUCUUAGGUCGAGGUCCAAUUACUGCGAUAUUGGCCGGAAGUUGGAUGGAAAACCCUGGGUCACCGUUUCUUAAAUUGGAAAUUGCGGAAAACCGCCUACGAAUUUAUAGAAACGAACUUGGGGAUUGGAUACAGGACGGCAAGAGCAUUCAGGAUGUGUAGUUUGACAGCCUUUGGUGACCUGUGGACGACAGAGCUGUUGCGUGGCAGUCGUCGGCUUGGGCCGCUGUUGCAGCGUGUGAAAGAGAAGAGGGAGCGAGGAGAGAAAAUGGGUUUCUCCCACUUUUUGGAUCUUAAUUCUUUUCCACAUUUUUUUAUAUAGAAUAAACGAUAUUAUUUAUCACUAAAAGUGCGUUUGGUAUGUAAGAUGGGACGGAACACGUUUUGAUGAUAAUAAUAGCUAGAAGUAAUAAUGUAAUAUAGUUCAAAUUCGUUUUUGAUAAUAAUCAAAUAUAAAAGGGAAUUGUUAUUAGCAUUCCAAAAAUCUCAUUCUACACUCCUCACAAGUGUAUUUUUCUUUCUAAUUAUAGAAAGUUUAGAGUGCCAAAUGAGAUUUUUGAAUUGCUAAUAACAAUUUCCUAAAUUCUCUCACUUAUAAAUUACAAGUAAAGAAAAAUACUAUUAAAUUUUUUCCACUUUUAAUGCAUAUCUAAAUAAAAAGAGACAAAAUGAAAAGGAAAAGAAAUAAAAUAAUUUGAAAUAGAAAUAAAAAUUAAGGGUAAAUCUCAUAUUACUAACCUCAUGUUUCGUGGUUUUCAACAUUUAGUACAUCAAGUUUUUUUUCGUCCCAGAGUCAUACCUAAAGUGUAAAUUUUGGGACAGUCUCAGACAUUCGUUAGUCAAACUGUUAAGUCUCCCGUUAACUGAUGACAUGGCGUCCAUGUGGACAAUGACUGGGUUCCAUGUGUCAUUAAGGGGUCCACGUGGAUUUUUUUUUUAGAGAAAGAGUUUUAAAAAAAAAUUUCCUGCCCAAAAUUUUUAACCCAUAAUCGUGUACCUUACAUUUUUCCCGCCAAAUUUUUUUGGAAAAAAAAUAAAAUUAAAUAGGGAAAAAACACCAACUUUCUACUCCAAAUCUGCAAAUUCAAUUCCAAAAAAAAUUUGAAUUCUAAAUCUGCAAAUUCAUCAUUUAAACUACCAACUACCAACAAAGUUCAAUUGUCAACAACUUUCAAUUCAUAACAAAGUUCAAUAUACACCCUCCAAUUCACACGAAAGUAUCAAAAGACCACAACUUUAACAACUAAUGGGUUAAGGUGUUCUUCCAAAAACCAAAAUAAGAGUACCAAAAACACCAAAGAUAUGUCCAAAACACUAAAAUCUAUCAGAAAGUUGUUUCCAAAAAACCUAAGGGCAUAUUCAACUAUAACAAAAUGAACCCUUAAACAACCUAAAGCAUUAAAGCAGCAUCAUGGAACAUUCCUCCUCCUUUUCUAACCUCUUGUGGUAGACUUUGAAGUGGUUUGAGAGGCUUGAGUUGGAUGAGAUAAAGGUUGUGGAGCUUUCUGAGUGCAUAUUGGUUGUGAUGACUGAGAGGGUUGUGAUACCUUAGAUGUUGAGGCCUAAGUAAUGAACCCAAAUAGCAUUAGCACUGACAGAUACUACACUUCACAAAUAACAAAUUCACUUAAGAAAUGAAAAAUCAACAAAAAAAUAUCAAAAUUAUACCUCAUUUUUCUUGCUUUUUCUUCCUUUUCUAGCAGUUGAAGGAGGAUGAGUGGUUGGGCAUCUAGCCUUGUUGUGUCCCGAGUCCUUGCAAACACUACACUUCACACUUUUUUUGCCCUCUCUUGCUUAACUUGAUUCAUUUUCAUCAUCCUCCCUAUAUCUCCUCUUUUUUGGUUUCCCAGGUUGCCUUUUAAAAGUUGGAGGAAGAAUGCAUUUGUUUUCAGAUGGCUCCUAAAAUUUCAUGCCUUGGAUGGGUUGAAUCAAGUUUUCGUAAGCUUCAAAGUACUUCUCCUUCUUGUACCAAGAGGAAACAAAUUCCUCAGGUUGUCUCCUUGCAUAAUAGAUGGCCGAGCAACCAUGUAUGCAAGGAAAGUCUGUCAAAUCCCAUCUUCUACAUAAGCAAGUGCAGCCAUUCAAAUCCACCACAAAUAUAUUGCCUCUGCCUUCAUCCACUUCAAAAUUUUCUCCUCCAGACCAUGUAGCUAUAGUGUGUGAGCUUUUCAGUUUGAACUCUUCCAACAUCUUCUGGAUUUUUUGGCAGAUAGCUCCUUUAUCCUUCCACAUUGCAUCUUUUCUUAACCAUAUCCUCUUCAUCAAUAAAACUCUUAUAGUUUCCAACAUGGUAAUAAUAGGCUUAUCCCUAUACCUUAGGAUAAAAGAAUUAAAGCUCUCACAGAGGUUGUUUAAGAGAAUGUCACACUGAGUGUGUGUCUCAAAGUGUGAUCUACUCCAAUACAAGGCUGGUCUCUUUACCAACCAUUUAUAAGCUUCGACAUUCAGCCUAUUCACCUCAGCCAUACUCUCUCUAAAAUCAGUGAUGGUUAUUGCGUUGGCAGCAUUCCACAAGGCAUCCUGUAAUCCUUUCCCUUUAAACCCAUCUGCCUUGUAGUUGGUGUAUAAGUGCCUAACACAGAACCGAUGAUUACAAUUAGGAAGCAAUUUCUCAAAAGCUGGUAUUAAACCUUUUUGUUUGUUAGAAAUGAAAGUCUAAGCACGCUGAUUCACAAUUCCCAAGUCAGCAGCUAGCAGCUCCAGAAACCAAACUCAACUGUCCUUGUUCUCGAGCUCUACUAUGGCAUAUGCAAUAACCCAAGUUUGGUUAUUUUGCAUCUAUUCCCUGUAGACAGUAGGCCUUUGAACCUCCUUCAAGUGACAACAUCCAAUAGCUGCCUUCCAUUCUUAAAUCCAUUUUUGUAAGCCCCUAAACAAAUAUAAAUCCUCUGAAAUAUCACAUGAGCAUCAUCAUAGGGCAACACCUUCAUCUGAACUGUACAAGUGACAACCACUUUGCCUUACAAGCUUUACUUUUUAAAUCCUCAAGCCCUAAACAACCAUAUAUAUUUUCUCUUUUUGAGUCACUUCAUACUCCAACAACAUGCAUCCUUUGUGAGUUAGGAUCCCCUAAAAUCUCGGACAUUCUAUUUCCAACAUAGGUUCUCGUAUGCGCAUGAUUAUUCAUUGUAAUUUGUUAACUAAAUCCUCCAUGAUAUAAGUUUUUCUCACACCUUGCACUAAUAUUUGUACAUCUUUUUUUAGUUAUAGUGCACCAUGCUUAUAGUGACAUUUUUUUUAUCUUCAAUGCUUAAUGAACAUACUGCCUCUCUUCCAAUCAUCUUGAACUUCAAUUUCCUUGUCAUCUUCCUUUCUUUUUAGCUCAGGGUAGAAUCUCUCAUCACAUUCUGACCUGAAUCGUAACACUGUGCAGGCUAUUUAAGUCUUGUCUCUCAUCAAGGGGAGUCUAUACAUACCUAGCAUCAUAACGUCUUCUGAAUGUUGUCCCAUACCCUUUCCCCCUCAGCAUCUCCAAUUUUUAUCAGCGUAUCAUCUCUUACGCGAUCAUCAUCUAUAUUACUUCACCUGUCCCACCUAACUCAUAUUUGUUAAAAUCCUCUUGCAUUUAAUUGACAAAUAAAUGCAAAUUUGUAAAAAUAAAACCUUUAAGAUAUUAAACGGCCUUAAAAUAUUAACUUUAUUAGCUUCUGACUUCAUUUAGUUUCAAUACAUCACCUUUUUCUCUCAUCGCUUUCAUUAUCAGCAUUGGAUGAAUCAGCCUCAUUCACUUCCACUUCCUCCCUCAGUUGCUUGCCUCAUAUUCUCUCAACCAUGUGCUAUGCAUUCAAAAGCACAGCCGGUUUUCUGUAUGCCGCACCCUUUGCCUUCGCUUCUUCAGUUUUAUCCACUUUCCCUUUGUAAUCGAAAUCGCCUCUCCCUCAAUACUUCAUAAUAAUGACACCGUUUUAAAUAUGCACUCUCUCUAGAUUUCAUCAAGCUUAUGAUUUCAAGCAGCUUGCUUCGACUUGAUUGUUCUAGUAAUUUCUAUUUACCUACCCGGAACAUAAUUGCCCACUUUCACAUAUCUGGCCUGUUCGUUAAGCUUAAUCCUCCUAUAGACAUCACAGAAUUAUAGGUACAACAAAAAACCCAUCAAUAGAAUCCUUACCAUUUUCCAAUCUCGAAAAAAAGUCAUGAGAUCUUUGUCUACGUAAUCAUCUAAGCCUCAAACUUCCCCGUGUAUAUGCAUUUAAGACCACUUCCCAUGCUGCAAAGUAAGGAGAAAGGUGAAAAACAUAAAAAUAAUCUAAAGGAUUUAAGGGUUUAUAACAAAUACAGGUUAACCCAAACCAAUUGAGACCAAGAGGAAAUGGUGAAUACAAAACAUGGGAUAAUGAAAACAGGGUUUUUUAAGGUUUCAUAUAGGAUCGCCUUGCAGACAAAGAAACAUUUUGAAAAAUCGGAUACAACCUAAACCCAUAUCUAUCUAAUACUUCAAAAAAGGUGGUAGGUUUACUACAUUAAAAAGGUAGUGUCUUACACCACACUUUUUUUCCCCCACCCAUCGCCAGCGCAUGGCUUAACGAAUCAAGUGACCCAGAGUAAACAGUGGGUUCUUUGAGUGGCAAGGGUGUGCGAAAUGUUACGACGGCUUGUGAGUGGGUCCCCUGAAAGUGAAAUAUUUGGAGGGUUUAAAUUGUGCCAUUCAUGUCCACAUGGGCACCACGUCAUUCAGUUACGGGAGACUGGUAACAGUUCAGUUAACUUAACAGGGUGAUGAACUGUCCAAAAUUUACACUUUAGGUAUACAAACUGGAACGAGAUGUAAACUUACCACGAUAACAGAGGUGAGAAACCCCAUCGAACACAUGAGGGUCAUAAUGAGAUUACCCAAAAAUUUAAAGGUUCUGAUUCGUUCUGCUUGCGAAAACACGUUCGUAAUUGAGAGCAUUGAAUGACUAAGGAAUAUUACGAUGAUAUGUCAUACGUGAGUUUUCGCUGAAAUUUUUUUGAUGGGAUUUGCAUUGGCAGCCAAUUUUGGAGCCACCCAUCGUAAGGCAGGAGAAUUGGAGAUAAUGUUGUGUUUGAAAGGAGUUUCUUAAAAAAUACAUAGAAUAAUGUCCUCCUAGAUGUGCCUUGCAGGGUGGAAUCGAUAGCUAUGAUACCUUGUUGGAAAAUGGGCGGUUACUAGGGUUCAUUAGGCUGGUAAUAAAAAAAAAAUUUCCAUUUACUAAAACACUUUCAAGAAACGAAUCGCACAAAAAUUGUAUGAUUACCACUAUUGUGAGCUUUGACUAUUGUUUCAAAGCCAUCGAGAAUUUACCAAUUCCUAUAUUGAUGACGUUUUACUGUGAAAGGAUAAAUCCACAAAGAAUUGCUCAAGCCUAUAGUGAUGAAAUUGAGAAGUGGGUUUGAGGAAAGCACUUGCAUUCCAUUAAUUGUACUUUCACUUGGUCAUUGUUCUUUUGUUAAAAGAGAAUAGAAUUUAAAAGCACUUUCUUUUGUCUCCACCUUUCUGAGAGACACUAUGGGUUUGGAUAACUUCUCUUUCCCUAUAGUUUUUUCUUUUUCUUUUUACCAUUUACUAGAACACCUAGUGUUGGAUACUUAGAUAAUGUUUAUUGCAAAUUAUUAUAUAUUGUACAGACACUUUUGUUGUUUGAACAAGGCUAGAUGAUCUUUAUAUUUGCACCUAGACAUAAUUUGUUUACAUACAGCGUAAUAUAUUUCUCUAGAAAAUUUUUUGUACCUUUAUUGCAUUUUAUUUCACUAUUCACUUUGUUUCUGUUAACAGUUUAGAAAUUUAUUUUUACAAUCACAUUUGUAAUUUGGAAUCAAAGUUUUGAAAUAUUUCGGUAUAAGGUGUUUGAAUGUACUUUGUGAUUAAGAAACCUAAAGUGUUGGAUUUUACAACAUCAUUUUUCUUGCAAUUCAUUCCUUUAGUACCAUAUUAUUGUUUUUUGAACAAAAUACCAAAAACAGAAUUUCAUUUUUUCUCUACCUGUUGCAUAUUUGAUUCUACAAUACAGUCCGUCAUAUUUAUUUGCCACUUGAUGUGCACCCUGAUCUGCCUCCAAUAUGCAUGCUAACACUUCGGCAAAAUUAAUUUAUCUAUGAACCAUCAAUUUGUGAAGCACCACUCACAAUUAGUACCAUGACUACACCUUGUGCUGAACAGUUGUAGAAAGACUGAUAAAAGAAGUUUCAAUUUUAUUUUUGCGGGACCAUGCAUUGGCAUUCGUUGCAUUUUGACACCACUACUACCUGCAUAUGACUUGUUGCUGAACAAGGCAUAGAUUUCAAAAUUUCAAUUUUAAUUUGCCGGACAAUUGAUUGCGUUGAUUUACGAUACAGGUACGUACGUACUUUUCUAAAACUCUAUUUCUUUCCAUUAUUUGUUGUUUUAGACGUUUGUUUUUACCCUGCCUGACCAAGAAACAAAAGUGUUAAUUUAACAUUCUAGUACCCGCCAAAUAUUGUAUUUCGGCUGAGCUCCAACACUAUGACUAGGCGCCAACUCAACAAUUUUAUUGAUUAGCUUUUGACUUCACACAGUUUUGUAUUUUAGAUGUCUAAAAUAGCCCUAGUAACUUAUGUCAAAUUAAAAACAAAUUUUAAAAUCAUGAUUUCAUUGCAUAUUAAUAAUAAUAGGAUAUGAUGCUAGGGUUUUCAUUUGUUUUAUUUUUUUCCCUUUUAAAUUCCUUAGUUGCUUUUCAAAUUUGCAUAAAUUAGGAUUUUUUUUGGUUUAGUUUUUCCGUUUUCAAAAUAUGUGAGCAUUAGUUACCAACAAAAUAUAAGAAUGUUAUUUUUUUUCCAAAAUUAUUUAAUUAUAUUCUAUAUAAAUAUAGGUAAAUUAUUUCUCUACACAUAUAUAAUAACAAUAAAAUGUGGUUAAUGUAUGUAAUAAUACAUGCAAAAUAAUUUACCUUCAACAUAAAGGAUGUGAUUUGGUUCAAGAUUUAUUUUACCUAUAUUUCACAUAUAGGUAUAGGUAAAUUAUGAAAGAUUCUUUUUUUUUCUUUUUUUCUUUUUUUGUCUUUUGGCUUAACAUAUAUAGAUAAGUAAAUCAUUUUUUGUCAUUUGGUUUGAUAUAAAGGAUGUCAUAUGUCAUUUGGUUCAAAAAAAUAUAAGUAAAUUAUUUUAUGAAGAUUAUCAUUAUAUAAUAAUAAUAAAAAGGAGAAUAUAUAUAUAUUGUUUCAAUUAUGUAAAUAGUUUGUAAUAUGAGGUUAUUUCUUUGUCUACAUGUCAAUGGAUUUAGAUUCCGUUUACAAGAGUUAAUACCAAACAUACAAUUUCAGUUGUCCUUGGACAGAAGCCACUAAAUGAGUAAAGGACAACGGGACGAAACAACCUUCUACCUGGCGUAUGUACCUUGCCACUUUCAAUAAAAACAGGUGUGUUUCAAUUUGAUAUUUAAAUAUAUGUGGAUUUUGGGCUGCUUAUUAUGUGAUUUUGCCGAACUCCCCCUCCCAUUAAUGUAAAAAUAUCGAUGUACUAAAAAAUAUAUAUGUGGAUUUUUGUUUAAAAAGUAAAAUUACAAAGGUCUAUUUCUAAAGAACCCUAUGUAUCAACAACAAUUUCAACUAAUUCAAGUCCAGCAACACAAUAAACUCAAAUAAAAAUUCAAUUAUUUUAAACACAGUGAUGAUCUUAUAUUCAAAGAUAAUUUUGAUCUAGGUGCUUGAUUUUUGAAUUUGAUAGACCCAACAUCCCUAGCUUUUAGACUUUUUAUUAAGGAAAAAUUAGUAUCUGGUCCCUAGUUCUUACUGUUCAUUGACUAAGACCUUAUUAGUUCUCAAAUUUUGAUUCAAGUCCCUAGCAUUAAUGUGAUAAUGAAUUUACAUGUUUAUUUGUUAAUUUUUUAAUAUAAAAAUUAGUAAUUAAUUUAGGGUUUAAUACUCACACCUCUAUUAAACUUCUAAUUAAUUUUCAAUUCAAACAUUUCCAAAAUAAUAAAAAAUUAAAUUAAAUUAAGUUUGUACCUAUUAGUUUAUAUAUAUAUAUAUAUAUAUAAAGAUUCUCAAUUUUUUAAUCUUAAAUGUACCCAUUCAUAUAAUUUUUCAAUUUUUUUAAUCUUCAAUGUACCCAUUCUCAAAUAUAUCAAUUUCUUAUAUGUAAAAUGUACUUUUUUUUUAAUAUAAAAUCCAUUCAAAUUUUUUAAUCCAUGUUUAAACUUAUAUGGGUACAUUUUUUUCGUUGAUUUGAGAAUGUAUCCAUGUUUUGGUACAAUAACUUUUUUUGUUAAUUUUGGUUAAUGUACCCAUACAUAUAUGUACACACACACACAAUAUAAUAGAGAGUAUAAUUUAUAUUUUAUUAUUUUUAAUCCCAUAAAUUAUGGGUUUUAUUUAAAAUCUCAUUAAUAUAAACAAUUACAAAUUUUAAUUUUUAAUUUUUAAUUUUAAAAAUAUAGUAACUUACAUUAUUACAUUAAUGUCAGGGACCUCAAUCAAAAACUAAAAACUAACAAGAUUUCAAUCAAAGAAUAUUGAUAGCUAGGGAUCGCAUCCAAAGUGUCCCAUUUAUUAAACUACUUUCUACAAUUUUGGUGCCACGAUUUUUAAAACGUCCUCUUUCUAAAAUUCAAAAUAACAUGAACUGUCAUUAAUCCACCAAUUUAUUCCAGAAACAAUAUCCAAAGCUCCUAAAUCUAGCCUUCUUUAAACCAAAAUUAUUAUUAUUACUCCAACAUAAAAAUACAUAAUUAUUAAGUUAUCAAUCAAUGAUAUGUACCAAAAAUUAAAAUUAUACAUACCAAAAACUAAAAUGAAACGUACCAUUAACUAAAAUAAAACAUACCAAAUACUAAAACUAAACAUACCAAUCAAUGGUAUGUGCACAACUGAACAUACCAAAAAACAAAAUUAAGUAUGAAAACCAAUAAUAAACGUACCAAUAAUGUAUACAAAAGAAUUCUCUUAAUAAAAUGUAUAUAUAACAAUUUAAAAAAUAUAAACAUCCACCAUUUUCGUUAUCUUGAACAUAAAAUUAUAUUUUAAUUUUAGGAGAAAAAAUAUUUUGUACGAAAAAAUUAUUAAAAAGAGAAUUGGAUAAAUAUAUUGAAUGAAAAAUCAAGAUUAUCUCCAAAAAAAAUCGCUUAACUAAUUAAAGGACAAAUUAAGAAACCAAUAUACAGUGAGGUAUAUGGUAAUGGCAUGAGGAUGAAUGAAAAAACAACAACAACAACAACAACAAAGCCUUUUCCCACUAAGUGGGGUCGGCUAUAUGAAUCCUAAAACGCCAUUGCGCUCGGUUUUGUGUCAUGUCCUCCGUUAGAUCCAAGUACUCUAAGUCUUUUCUUAGAGUCUCUUCCAAAGUUGUCCUAGGUCUUCCUCUACCCCUUCGGCCCUGAACCUCUGUCCCGUAGUCACAUCUUUGAACCGGAGCGUCAGUCGGCCUUCUUUGCACAUGUUCAAAAUCACCGGAGCCGAUUUUCUCUCAUAUUUCCUACAAUUUCGGCUACUCCUACUUUACCUCGGAUAUCCUCAUUCCCAAUCUUAUCCUUUCUCGUGUGCCCACACAUCCCACGAAGCAUCCUCAUCUCUCCGCUACACCCCAUUUUGUGUACGUGUUGAUGCUUCACCACCCAACAUUCUGUGCCAUACAACAUCGCUAGCCUUAUUGCCGUCCUAUAAAAUUUUCCCUUGAGCUUCAGUGGCCUACGACGGUCACACAACACGCCGGAUGCACUCUUUCCAUCCAGCUCGUAUUCUAUGGUUGAGAUCUCCAUCUAAUUCUCCGUUCUCUUGCAAGAUAGAUCCUAGGUAGCGAAAACGAUCGCUUUUUGUGAUCUUCGCUAGAUUGCUCCGGUCAUUAGUGUGGGUAAGUAUAUAAAUGGAUAGAGAUAGGAAAGCAAACACAAGAUGUACGUGGUUCACCCAGAUUGGCUACGUCCACGGAAUAGAAGAGUUCUCAUUAAUUGUGUGAAGGGUUUACACAAGUACAUAGGUUCAAGCUCUCAUUUAGUGAGUACAAGUGAAUGAUUUAGUACAAAUGACAUUAGGAAAUAUUGUGGGAGAAUGAUCUCGUAAUCACGAAACGAAACUUCUAAGUAUCGGAGUGUGGUGUCGUCUUGACUUGCCUUAUCUGUCUCAUAGGUAGAUGUGGCAUCUUCUCUGGAAGUACUCUUCCUCCAUCCAGGAGUGGUGGUAUCUUUAACUGGUGGAGAUGCACACAAGGUAAAUGUAUCAAUUUCAAUUUCACUUGAAGCUUACUUGUAGUUUCAGGCUUGGUCAAGCGCGAUACAAACCAUGUAGUAGGAGUCCCCCAAGUCGCCGAGCUAGGGGGUCUGCUGAAAGAGGUGACAGACAAGGUAAGCAAUCAGAGCUCCGACUGAUUGUUCACCUUCUCCCCAUCUUGCAGCAGCAUGAAGGAUAAAGAGAAGAAAAAUGAGAAGAGAUGAUAUGAGAUACUUUUGCUUUUGAAGAAGUAACUUUCCACAGGCUUAUUCUUGAACUGAGCUGGAGGGUUUUCUGGUUUCCUCCAGAGUAUAAGGCCGACUGAAGAAUUUGAGGGUCAAAACAAGUCCAUCAAAUCUAGAGUACGUUCCACCCUGCUGAUAUGGGAUACUUUUGCUUUUGACAGAGUAAUAAAUGUAUCGGCACGUGUGCUGUUACGCUUGUCUCCACAUGCUUCCUUGUAUCCUUCGCACUUGCCCUAUCUGUUCCUCAAGCAGAUGCGGAAUCUUCCCUGGAAACAUAAGAUGUUGAAGAUGAGUACUCGAGAGCAAUGCCAGGUAAGUAAUCAGGUAAGGGGUUCCAGGCAGUCAGUUCCUGGCUGGAAGCUUGAUUCCAAGUGCUGACUGAUUGCUCUCUUUCUCCUUGUCUUGCAGGUAAAAACAAGGCCAAAAGAAAAGACAGGGAAAAAGCAUGAUAUGGGAUACUCUUGCUUUUAACCCUGAUGAUAUGAGAUAUUCUUGCUCUAGUAUAGCUUGUUUGCAGAGGUAUUAUCAGGGGGAAAGAAAGCUGAAUAUUUCGAAAGGCUUCGUUGGGAGUGUCCUCUCAGAUAUGAUGAAGGGUUGAGCAUUUUUGCAGGUCUGCCUGUCCGUUGGGGAUGGAGGUCGACAUAUAUAGGAGUCUCCCUAACAACAAGUAGUAAUGUUAUUCCUUUACCCUGCUUGGUCAUAGCACGGUAGUGGGAGCUGCCAGUUUCACAUGUUUUAACUCUGUCAGAGCACUUUGAAAAAGUGGUCUGUGGUAUCUGGCUCUCGAGAUUCGGAGAACGAUGCCUCUUCGAUUUUUGAGAAAGCAAUCAUGCUGGGGGUAUGACUCUCGAGAUUCGGAGAGCAGUGUCUCUUCGAUUUUUGAGGAAGUAAUCAUGUUGGGAGUCUGGCUCUCGAGAUUCGGAGGGCGGUGCCUCUUCGAUUUUUGGAGCAAGCAAUCUUGUUGGGAGUGUUGUCUCGAAUGUGAGUAAAGGUUGGGCAUGUUUGCUAGUCUACCUUGCCACGAAGCACAAAGGUUGACACACAGGGACUUUCCAAUUAUCCAGCAAUGGUACUGUUCCUUUACCCUCUCUUCGAUUUUGAGAAAGUAGUCAUGUUGGGAGUCUGGCUCUCGAGAUUCGAAGGACGGUGCCUCUUCGAUUUUGGAGCAAGCAAUCUUAUUGGGAGUGUUUUCUCUCGAAUGUGAGUAAAGGUUGGGCAUGUUUGCUAGUCUACCUUGCCACGAAGCACAGAGGUUGACACACAGGGACUUUCCAAUUAUCCAGCAGUGGUACUGUUCCUUUGUUCCACACAGUUGUGGGUAAUAAUAUGGUAGCUAGACCUUCAAAAUUUAUGUGUCUAAACUUUUGUUAGUGCUGUUUCUUUGCUAUUCUUUUACCUUUCUUGGUCAGAGCGAUGUAGUGGGAGCUGCAAGCUUCACGUGCUCAACUUUGGCAGAGAACUUUGGCAAAGUUAUUUGUGGUACCCAUGAGCUAUUGUUGCGUGUGGGAAGUGGGUGAUUGAACAGUAAGAUUCAUGUGCUUUCUACUUCACCAGAAGUCUUCGACAGAAUGCCCAUAAUUUCUGCAAAGCUGAGUGUGCGUGUGACAGUUGCUGACAAGGCUAGAAAAGUAGGUGCCUCUUCGAUUUCUGAGAUCGGCCCUCGUGGUCUCUGAGCAGCCCAGCUUUUGAGAAAGCGAGCGCCUCUUCGAUUGAUUCGGAGAACGAUACCUCAUCGAUUUUUGAGAAAGCAAUCAUGCUGGGGGUCUGGCUCUCGAGAUUCGGGGAGCAGUGUCUCUUCGAUUUUUGAGAAAGUAAUCAUGUUGGGAGUCUGGCUCUCGAGAUUCGGAGGGCGGGUGCCUCUUCGAUUUUGGAGCAAGCAAUCUUGUUGGGAGUGUUUUCUCGAAUGUGAGUAAAGGUUGGGCAUGUUUGCUAGUCUACCUUGCCACGAAGCACAGAGGUUGACACACAGGGACUUUCCAAUUAUCCAGCAAUGGUACUGUUCCUUUACCCUCUCUUUCGAUUUUUAAGAAAAAGUAGUCAUGUUGGGAGUCUGGCUCUCGAGAUUCGAAGGACGGUGCCUCUUCGAUUUUGGAGCAAGCAAUCUUAUUGGGAGUGUUUUCUCGAAUGUGAGUAAAGGUUGGGCAUGUUUGCUAGUCUACCUUGCCACGAAGCACAGAGGUUGACACACAGGGACUUUCCAAUUAUCCAGCAGUGGUACUGUUCCUUUACCCUUGUGGGUAAUAAUAUGGUAGCUAGACCUUCAAAAUUUAUGGGUCUAAACUUUGUUAGUGUUGUUUCUUUGCUAUUCUUUUACCCUUCUUGGUCAGAGCGAUGUAGUGGGAGCUGCAAGCUUCACGUGCUCAACUUUGGCAGAGAACUUUGGCAAAGUUAUCUGUGGUACCCAUGAGCUAUUGUUGCGUGUGGGAAGUGGGUGUGAUUGAACAGUAAGAUUCAUGUGUUUUCUACUUCCCCAGAAGUCUUUGACAGAAUGCCCAUAAUUUUCGCAAAACUGAGUGUGCGUGUGACAGGUGCUGACAAGGCUGGAAAAAGGCUGGAAAAGUAGGUGCCUCUUCGAUUUCUGAGAUCGGCCCUCGUGGUCUCUGGGGAGCCCAGCUUUUGAGAAAGCGAGCGCCUCUUCGAUUUUUUGAGAUCGGCCUUCGUGGUCUUUGAGCAGCCCAACUUUUGAGAAAGCAAACGCCUCUUCGAUUUCUGAGAUCAACCCUCGUGAUCUCUAAGCAGCCCAGCUUUUGAGAAAGCAAACGCCUCUUCGAUUUCUGAGCAGGCGCCUCUUCGAUUUCUGAAGCUUCGUCGAGUGCAGAUUUUUAUAGGGGUUGGCAUUAAGUUCCAAAGCACACUUGAAUCUCCACCAGUAGAAGCUUCAUUCUUGCACUUCUAAGAUCUUGAUUUGUCCGACCUCUUCUCUCUUCAACACCUUUGAAAAUGUCUGGCCCCUCCGACCGUCGUUUUGACUUGAACCUUGUUGAAGAGGCAGCCCCGCCUUCUCCAGACAACAUAUGGCGCCCAUCCUUCGUCUCCCCUGGUCCUCUUACCGUUGGGGAUUCCGUGAUGAAGAAGAAUAUGAUAUGACCGCUGCGGUGGUGGCCAGGAACCUUCUCACUCCCAAAGAUAACAGACUACUUUCCAAACGGUCUGAUGAGUUAGCUGUUAAGGAUUCGCUGGCUCUCAGUGUUCAGUGUGCAGGUUCUGUGUCUAAUAUGGCCCAACGCCUAUUUGCUCGAACCCGCCAAGUUGAAUCAUUGGCGGCUGAAGUGAUGAGUCUCAAACAGGAGAUUAGAGGGCUCAAGCAUGAGAAUAAACAGUUGCACCGGCUCGCACAUGACUAUGCUACAAACAUGAAGAGGAAGCUUAACCAGAUGAAGGAAACUGAUGGUCAAGUUUUACUUGAUCAUCAGAGAUUUGUGGGUUUGUUCCAAAGGCAUUUAUUGCCUUCGUCUUCUGGGGCUGUACCGCGUAAUGAAGCUCCAAAUGAUCAACCUCUGAUGCCUCCUCCUUCUAGGGUUCUGUCCAGUACUGAGGCUCCAAAUGAUCCCCCUCCGGUGCCUUCUCUUUCUGGGGCUCUACCGACUGCUGAGACUUCUCCUAAGCAACCUUUGUGAAGGCUCCCUCUUGUGUGCUUAUUUUUGACUCAUGUAUAUGUACAUAUUUGUAGCUUAUCGGGGAUAUCAAUAAAUAAGCUUUCCUUCAUUUCAACGUAUUGUGUUAAAUACACCAAAGCCUUCUUCGCUAAGUUCUUUGAAUUUUCUUUUGUUAAAGCUUGUAUGUUGAAGCUUUCUGAGUGGAGCAUGUAGGUUGGGGUAGUGUUCCCUUAAUUUCCCGAGUGAGGAAAACUUCUCGGUUGGAGACUUGGAAAAUCCAAGUCACUGAGUGGGAUCGGCUAUAUGAAUCUUAGAACGCCAUUGUGCUCGAUCCUGUGUCAUGUCCUUCGUUAGAUCCAAGUACUCUAAGUCUUUUCUUAGAGUCUCUUCCAAAGUUUUCCUAGGUCUUCCUCUACCCCUUCGGCCCUGAACCUCUGUCCCAUAGUCGCAUCUUCUAAUCGGAACGUCAGUAGGCCUUCUUUGCACAUGUCCAAACCACCGUAACCGAUUUUCUCUCAUCUUUGUGACUCAUUUCGAACUAAUACUAACUAAUUGUUAGUCAAGUGAGAAAUUUUCUAAUUAGAGAAAAAGGUCCUAAAUUUGAAUCGUAACUCCAACUUUGAUAAAAUAAAAAUAAAAAUAAAAAUAAAAUACCACUUAGAUUUAAACAGGACAAAAAUAUCUAAUAUUGUGUUGGGGUAGUGCUUCUUUGGUUUUAGGUAGUAGAGCACUGAGCACGAGACUUAAAAAAGCUACCAACAAAUAGGAGCAUUCAAGCCAUGGUCUUUGAUUUCAGAAGGAAAUGGAAAUUAUAAUUGCAAUUGCCUCAAAAAUUGGAGAGUCAUUGGUCGCACCAAUAGGAACAGAGUCUGCCUAUUUGAUUAAUUACCAUUCCAACCUAGAAAAUCUUAAGCGUGAGAUAAAAAAGCUCUGUGACAAGAAAAAUGAAGUGCAGGGAUGGGUAAAUGCUGCCAAAAGGAACGGUAAAUUUAUCCACCCUGAUAUUCAGAGUUGGCUAAAGAAUGUGGACGAAAUGAUCCAAAAAGUGUCGCAUUUUGAGGUUGAGAUUGACAGGAAAAGGCGAUGUAUGUAUCGAUGGAGCUUGAGUCGGAAAGCCUAUAAGAUUACACAACAUGUUCUCCAGCUCCAAAACGAAGGAACAUUUGAAAAUGUGGCCUAUGCUGCACCUUCACGAGAGAUAUGGUCAACAUUCAAAGACGGAUUUAAACAUUUCAAGUCCAGAAUGGAAAACAUGAAUGAGGUGAUAGAGGGUUUGAAGAGGGAAGAAGUAAGAAUGAUCGGGAUUUGUGGAAUGGGGGGUGUGGGUAAAACCACAAUGGCGAAAGAAAUCAUCAAAAGAUUAGCAGAACGGAACAUGUUUGAUAAAACUGUAAUGGCAACUGUGUCUCAAAGCCCAAGUAUUAAGACGAUCCAGUUGGACAUUGCAGCACAAAUAGAUUUGAAAUUUGAUGAGGAUUCUGAGUCCGGAAGAGCACUAAAGCUGCAUGACAGACUCAUGGAAAUAAGGAGGAUACUGAUUGUGUUAGAUGAUGUAUGGACAGAGCUUAAUUUUGAGGCUAUAGGACUUCCUUAUGGACAUACUCAUAAAGGGUGCAAAAUUUUGUUGACAUCACGGAAUUUGGAAGUCUGCAAUGCGAUGGAAAGUCAACAAAUUAUUGCAGUCCCAACUUUAACAACAGAAGAAUCACGGGAGCUCUUUAGAGAAAUCGUAGGUGAAUCCUUCGAUGAUCCAGAUUUCCAUUCCAUUGCAGAAGAGGUCGUGAAUGAAUGUGGAGGUUUACCUAUUGCAAUUGUAACUGUUGGAAAAGCCCUAGAAAAGAAAAAGAAGCACGAAUGGGUUAAUGCCCUUAAUCAGCUGCGAAAGUCUAUCCCAGAUAACAUCCCUGGACUAAACGGCAAAGUUUAUUCAAGCAUAAAAUGGAGUUAUGAUAGAUUGGAGAGUGAUGAAGCCAAGUCAUGUCUUUUACUUUGUUGUUUAUUUCCAGAAGAUUAUAGCAUUCCAAUUGAGGAUUUGGUUCGAUAUGGGUGGGAUCGAGGAUAUUUUAGCAGCAGCGAUACUUUGGAAGAAGCAAGAAAUAAAGUGCAUUCUUUGGUUGACCAACUACAAAGAAGGUUUUUGUUACUAGAUAAUGACUGGAGUGGGACUACAAAAAUGCAUGACAUAGUUCGCGAUGUUGUCAUAUCAAUUGCUUCAAGAGAUCCACAUGGAUUUCUGAUAAGAAGUAAUGCUGAAAAUAAAGGGUGGCCAAAUCUAGCUACAUAUGACCAUUACACUACAAUCUCACUUGUUGGCGAUUUGGAGAUUCAAGAUGGUUUGAAAUGCCCAAAACUUGAGUUUCUACAGACGAUGAAAGGACGUUUUUCAGAAGGUAGCAUGGACAACAUUUGUAAGGCGAUGAAAGAACUGAAGGUUUUAGCUUUGGUGCAAAUGGAAAUGGAAGACCUAGGCUCAUCAAGCUCACUAGGAUUACUGAAGAACCUGCGGACCUUGACCCUAAAUGGGUCUAAAUUUGAUGGCAUGUCUACUGAUGUUAUUGGGAGUUUGGAGAAUUUAGAAAUCCUCAGCUUUCGGGAUUGUGAUUCCAUGCGUGAGUUGCCGAGGGAAAUUGGACGACUUAAACAGUUAAGGUUGUUAGAUACGACAAAUUGCAGGAAUCUUGAGGUGAUUCCACAUGGUAUCUUCUCCAGCUUAUGUAGACUUGAAGAGUUAUAUAUGCUUGAUAGCUUUAAUAAAUGGGAAAUUGAAACAGGAAGAGAAGAGAAGGGGAUGGCAAGCAUUUCUAAGGUGAUGUCUCUGUCUCAUCAUUUGAAGGUUCUAUCCAUAAAUAUACCCCCCAAUUUCAUCCACUUGUUGCCAAAAGACUUAGUCUUGAAAAGCCCAAGAUUCGCUAUACGGCUUACACCAGCAAGGUAUUGUUUCCCCACAACUUAUGCAUUCGAAAAUUGUUUGGCAAUUGAUGAAAGUGAUGCGAGGGAACUGAUGGAGAGUCAAGCAGUUAGACUUUUGUUGAAAAAAUCUAAAAGAUUGAUUUUGAACUAUGUUAAGAAUUUCUCUGUCCUCACUGAUUUAGACCAAGAGGGAUUUCAAGAUUUGAAAGUUUUGGCUCUUUUGAAUUGUCCAAAUACCGAGUAUCUUGCAAAUGGAACAAGUGCGACCCAACAGGCACUCUUUCCUCGCAUACAGUCAGUUAGUAAGCUUUCGGAUGGCUUUUUGACCAACCUAAGAUGCCUUUAUUUGACAAAUUGUGAUGUCUUAAAAUAUGCCUUUUCACUAUCAGUAGCGAGAAACUUGGUACAACUCCAGGAAUUAAACGUUAAUGGAUGUGAUCAAAUGGAAGAAAUUGUGUCGAAGCAGGGGAGGGAACAUGAGGAGGAAGCCGAUAUGAUAUCUUUCCAUAAAUUAACCAAUUUGACUCUCGAGGGUCUAGGGAGUUUGGUUGGUUUCUUCCAAGCCAACAAGCUAUACUCCAACCAAGAGGUAUGUCCCACUCUCCAAUCUCUAUGAUAUGAGGAGGCAGCCAAUAUGUGGAAAUUUGAAAUUGUUUAACUGAUAAUGAUUUUUCUUUUUCAGGAAACAACGGCAAGGGUUGAGCAUCAAUCUGCAGGCAUAUUUGAAAAAGCAAUAUUUCCAUCAAAGUGCAUUUCAUGGUUUCCAUGUUUAGAAGAGGUAGAAUUGGAAGAUAUGAAGUUUGAAGGCGUGCUAUUUGAUCUGAAAAUCCAUGGCCAGACAACUCCAAUAUUUCCCCAGUUAAGUAAGUUGGAGAUAAUCCAGGGUUCGUUUACACACUUGUGGAAAAACAUUUCGUCUGGAUUUCAGGGCUUUCGAAAUUUGAGAUAUUUGGCAAUGAGAGGAUGUUGUGGUCUAAAAUAUGUGUUCUCGCAUUUAAUUGCCCGAGAACUUUUGAAUCUUCAAGAGGUAAAGAUAUCUAGAUGUCCGGACAUGGAAACUAUAGUUAGAAUCACAGAGGAAAAUGAAGAAGAGGCGACAAAAUACAUGAUUUUGUUUCCGAAACUGAACACAUUUGAACUAAAAUACCUGCCUCGUCUCACAAGUCUUUGUCCAGAGGGAUUUACAUUUCUAUGGUCAUCCGCAAAAAAUAUGCACGUGAAAAAAUGUGAAAAUUUGAAGACAUUGGGUGCUGUAAUUCCACAAAGAAAGAAGUUGGAGAAUAAGUCUGAGAAGGAUUCAACAAGUCAUGAUUUCAGCACUUCCCCAACAAGUUCAUCAAAUUGGUGCCCCGCUGGAUGUGGAUGCGCACCAUAUUCAAGACCAAACGCCCACCGCUCCAUUGAAAUAUUGCCACGUCCAGUUAAUUUGGAGGUAAGCUUUUAAAUUAGGUUCAAUUAACCUUUAUAAGUACAACUUUUAAUUAGUAUUGUACUCAUCUUGUUGAUCGUGUUUAAUUUUCUAGGUUACACCAACUAAUCUUGAGGACUCAAAUGAUGAUGAUGAUAAUCUCGAAAAUCUUACUGUAAGUGACUGUAAUUCAAUGGAAGUGAUUUUCCAACUAAAGGGACCGAAGCAUGAAGAAAGUAAUCACUCCAUUGAAGCAUUCAAUAAAUUGAGGUCCUUCCAGUUACAUAAGUUGCCAAGUUUAACGCGUGUUUGGGAGGUGGGUAGUUCACAACCAAUGUUCACAGGAAGCAGUUUUGGAAACUUGAAAUCGUUGCAGGUCGAUUGUUGCAACCAGUUGAAAUACUUGUUUCUGUCCUCCAUAGUCAAACUUCUCGUGAGUAUAGAGGACAUAGAAGUUAAGAAGUGUGAGCAGAUGGAAGAAAUCGUUGCCGCAGAAGAAGAAACUGAUGGAACAAUUACAUUACCUAAAGUGAAGUCCAUCAAGCUUCAAAGUCUGCCAAAACUCAAGUAUUUUUGUGGUGAAGCUUAUACUUUGAAGUUGCCGUCUUUGGAGUUAUUGAAGGUUAUUAAUGUGCAAGACAUAAGGCCAUUUGAUUCUAAGCUUGUUGACACGCAUAAUCCCCGAUUGCAAGUAAAACCCACAUUUCGACAGGAAUGGACAAGGUAUGCUUUAGAUUAAUGGACAAGGAAUCAACAGUUCAUAUUUAUUUUGAGAAAAGUGUUCUCAAAAUUUAGUCAAAUACCAUAUAUAUGUGCAUAUGUUCACACUAAAGUGUAUUCAAGUAAUUUUAUUUUUUAAAACUCAAUUCUAUCCCAAGAAAACAUCUGUCUUUUAUUUCUAAAACUGGAAGGAUAAUGAUGAUGAAUUGUACAGUGAGGAUGAAAAUGAAGAUGAGAAUUCUAUGGCGAGGAUGAAGAUGACGAAAUCGACGGCGAGGAUGAAGAUGACGAAAUCGACAGGGAGGACGAACACAAAUGACUGAUCAAGCACAAAGGUUAGCAUGUUUCCAUCUCCAACUUCUUCUAGGUUUAUUAAAAACUGAUGAAAUUAUCUAUGAAGUACACAAAAAAAUUUUCUACCAUGUUUUAUAGAAUAUGUACAUACAUGGAUAGUACUUAAUUAAACAAUAAGGAUCGUCGAACCACAUUCUGCUACUAAUUCAUUUUUUCAAGGUACCCAAUGCAAGUCGAUCUAUAAUAUGCACUCUAAAAGUACUAACCUUGAGAAGCCAUUCAUAUGAACAAGAUUGAACCAUGAUCAGCUACGAACAAGCAAAGAUCUUCCUCUUUCUCUACACACCUUAUGCACUUCUAUAUGGGGUAGUGUUUUAUGCUAGAAUAAUAUGUAUAAAAGUGGGACCUAAGCCUCAUAUUUAUAGGUGAGAGUAUUAGGUUUCUUGCCCAUAAAGAAAACCCUAAUACAGAUCUUUAGCACCUCUAAAAUCCAUGACCUAAUAGGAUAGAUAUUCCCAAAAAUUAUUGCUAUACUUCACCAUAAGUAAUCCGGAAUAAUCAAAUAUUACUUCCUUUCUUUUAUCCUUAAUCAAUUAGGACUCCUAAAUAGAUGUAAGCCCAAUAAAAGUCUUACACCCAAUAGCAGUCAAGAUGGAAGAAGCUUUUCGGAUUAGCAACUGCCUCAAGAAACCUUUAUCAGAUUCCACGAUAAUAUUGGAAUAACCUUUUUCUGUUAGCAAGUUUCACCUGAUCUACAACAAGCAUAACUGUUUUGAGAAACACAUAUACAAUAAACAUAACCGUAGUGCUAAGUGACUCGAAAAUUAAUUUGGUCCUUAAACCGCUAUAUUCUGAAACACAUGUACAAUAAGCAUUACCAUUUGAACUUAUUCCAACUUCAGUGAUUUCUAAUAUUCUCCAAUGCAUGCAGGACAAGAGUUUACAGAACGUUGUGGCUUCAGCAAUUCGUUUACCAUAUCAUAUGUACAAGCCAAUAAAAGGUCAUUUGUUGCACCAGAAUUUCAUUCCAAAAAUACUAUUUAUGUUGCUUAUUUGAUGUAUUAUAAAUUUCGAUUGUGAUUAUUACUGUUUGUUUCUAAAUUAGUGUUUGCUUAUUUGUUAUGGUAAUUUGGAAAAGUUGUCUCUAGCUACCAAUAUUUGCAUUUCAAUUUAUAAUGCUAAAAGUUCUGUAAUACCAUAGACGUGUAAGAUGAAUGACAUGCUGGAGGAAUGACACGUGUAAUAUUGAUCAUGUGUAACCUAAAUAAUAUUAUGAUACACUAUAAUAAUAUGAUCAUUCACCAUAAGGUCUGAUAUUAAUUCAUAAAAUCUGGUUUUCCCCUAAACGUAGGAAAUCAUAUUUAUCUAGGCAUGCUUAAUAUUUCAUAAAAGAAAAAACAUUUCUUAAAUAAAUGUCCACUCACACCUCCGGCUAGCUCUCCCUUGAGGAGCCUUGUCUACCAAAUAGGUAAGUUCAAGCAACUUCAAGAGAGAAUUUCCUCCACAUUAAGUCUUAACCAUCCACUGGACAGCAGGCAAUUCAAAACCAAAGUAAGCUGCUGAAUACAGCUACAAUAAACAAGGAAUCAGGCUAAGCUAUUGUCUUCAUCAUAAAAUGAUUUUGGCCCCCAUUUUCUAAUUUCGUACCACAUUUUCACAUUCUUUCCAUGAAUUUUAUAAUUCCUAUGCAACAGAGUUCAUUCAUUGCCUAUUCACAACAUUACAAGGUUCUACAGAGUUCAAUCCCACCGUGUUAUAGACAUGCUUCAACUAUCAACCGGGAACGUAAUCGUUAGGGGUUUCAACAACUUCAGAGAUACAACAAUUACGAUAAGUCUCAUCUCGGACAUUCAUACAGAAAAUUGAAUAAAAUUUGAAAUCAAGAAUCAAUCCCAAAAGUGAAAGUUGAAAAUUCGGGAAAAGAACUUACAUUGGCGAACAGCCCACGAGAAGAGGAUCAUUUCUACCUCUUGGGUCGAGCUCCAAUUCUGGCGAUAUUGGCCGGAAGUUGGCCGGAAAACCCUGGGUCACCGUUUCUUAAAUUUGAGGUUGAGGAAAGUCGCCUACGAAUCUAUAGAAACUAACUUGGGGAUUGGAUGAAGGACGGCAAGAGCAUUCUGGAUGUGUAGUUUGAGAGCCUUUGGUGAGCCGUGGACGACAGAGCUGUUGCGUCGGCACUCGGCAGUCGUCGGCUUGCUGUUUAAUGGGGCUCCUGUUGCAGCGCAAAAGAGGAUACGGGAGGAGGAGAGAAGAUGGGUUUCUCCCACUUUUUAGAUCUUAAUUUUUUUCCCUUUUUUUAAUUUUUUUCCCUUUUUAUAUAUCGUUUACACACUUGUGGAAAAACAUUCCGUCUGGAUUUCAGGGCUUCCAAAAUUUGAGAUAUUUGGCAAUGAGAGGAUGUUGUGGUCUAAAAUAUGUGUUCUCGCAUUUAAUUGCCCGAGAACUUUUGAAUCUUCAAGAGGUAAAGAUAUCAAAAUGUCCGGAUAUGAAAACUAUAGUCAGAAUUACAGAGGAAAAUGAAGAAGAGGCGAUAAAAUACAUGAUUUUGUUUCCGAAACUGAACACAUUUGAACUGGUAGACCUGCCUCGUCUCUCAAGUCUUUGUCCAGAGGGAUUUACAUUUCUAUGGUCAUCCGCAAAAAAUAUGCGCGUGGAAAACUGUGAAAAAUUGAAGACAUUGGGUGCCGUAAUUCCACAAAGAAAGAAGUUGGAGAAUAACAUGAAGAAGGAUUCAACAAGUCAUGAUUUCAGCACUUCCCCAACAAGUUCAUCAAAUUGGUGCCCCGCUGGAUGUGGAUGCGCACCAUAUUCAAGACCAAACGCCCACCGCUCCAUUGAAAUAUUGCCACGUCCAGUUAAUUUGGAGGUAAGCUUUUAAAUUAGGUUCAAUUAACCUUUAUAAGUACAACUUUUAAUUAGUAUUGUACUCAUCUUGUUGAUCGUGUUUAAUUUUCUAGGUUACACCAACUAAUCUUGAGGACUCAAAUGAUGAUGAUAAUCUUGAAAAUCUUACUGUAAGUGACUGUAAUUCAAUGGAAGUGAUUUUCCAACUAAAGGGACCGAAGAAUGAAGAAAGUAAUCACUCCAUUGAAGCAUUCAAUAAAUUGAGGUCCUUCCAGUUACAUAAGUUGCCAAGUUUAACGCGUGUUUGGGAGGUGGGUAGUUCACAACCAAUGUUCACAGGAAGCAGUUUUGGAAACUUGAAAUCGUUGCAGGUCGAUUGUUGCAACCAGUGUUCUAAAAAUCGGCCUAGGCGGCCGCCUAGGCGCUAGGCGGUGGGCAACCGCCGGGAUUAACGUAAAAUCGGAAGAAAAAUCGGGACAAGGAUUAGGCGGGUGUCGAGGUGGCCUGAGCGGCCCUUGGGCGGCCUAGGAGGGCAACUGGGUGGCCUAGGCGGUCUGAGAAUUUCAAUUUUUCUAUGUUCGAACUUGAGAAAGGAUGAAUGCUUCUGGUUUUUCUGGGCUUCUGGUGGUCUGUGUUCGCGAAGGAGGAAGAAGAUGAGAGAAUUAGUUUCUCUCUCUUCUUUCCAUACCCACGCACGUGAUGUAUUAAACUUUUUUUUUUAUUUUUUAUUUUUUAUUUUUUGUCCAUUAAAAUGUGGACAGCUAGCCUUGACUUUUCUUAAAGAAUAAAGGUUGUCAGGCUAUUAAUUUUUGUGUCAUCCAUCAAGUGCUAUGGAUUUUUUUUGUAGAUAGCGAUGGAGCACUCAUCUCUUCCUGGACAAAGGGCAGACUAGCUGCCAUCUAUAAAAAAAUUAAUAGCCUGACAAAAAAUUAAUUUUUUUCUCAUUAAAAAAACAUUGAUUGUCAGGUUAUCAAUUCAUAGCAUCAAGUGAUAUGGAUUUUUUGGACUUGUUAGAUAAGCAUUUUAUUAUUCUUUUACUAUCUUAUUCAGAGAUUUCAUAUAAGUAUAAUUUUUUGUAAGUAUCAGUAUACAUUUAUUUACAAGAUAUAUAAGAAAUUUACCUAAAUCCGCCUAGACCGCCUAGGCGCCCGCCUAGACCCCGCCUAACCGCCUAGGCGCUAGGCGCCAGUUCACCGCCCGACUAGCGCCUAGCGUUUUUUAGAACCUUGGUUGCAACCAGUUGAAAUACUUGUUUCUGUCCUCCAUAGUCAAACUUCUCGUGAGUAUAGAGGACAUAGAAGUUAAGAAGUGUGAGCAGAUGGAAGAAAUCGUUGCCGCAGAAGAAGAAACUGAUGAAACAAUUACAUUACCUAAAGUGAAGUCCAUCAAGCUUGCAAGUCUGCCAAAACUCAAGUAUUUUUGUGGUGAAGCUUAUACUUUGAAGUUGCCAUCUUUGGAGUUAUUGAGCGUUAUUAGUGUGCAAGACGUAGGGCCAUUUGAUCCUAAGCAUGUUGACACGCAUAAUCCCCGAUUGCAAGUAAAAACCGCAUUUCGACAGGAAUGGACGGGGACCUCAAUGCCACUCUAAGGAACAUUUAUGACACAAGGUAUGCUUUAAAUUAAUGUUUCUAAUUUGCAGUCACUUUUGUGUCCACCUGGAAGACCGCAUCAUCAAUAUACAACCACUGAACCAACAAAUAUUUUCUCCUAAACAAUUACAAUUACGUCAAUAUAAACUUUUAGAGACUACAGUAAUGCUUCAUGCUGUUUGUUCCAACUCUUUCGAUCCUUGAUGCAUGCGUGGGAUUUCUAAUGUUUUUACGAAGGACUGAAGAAUAGCUAGGUUGAUAAUUUGCAGUAUGUGAGCUAUAUAUGCUCAAUCUUACAUUUCUAUUUAUUCAACCAACAAAUACGUUCUGGUUUCGAGCUACAAGCAUAAUAUGGCUAACACCACCACAAUUUUGACUACAAAUUUAGGGAAAUCAAUAUCAACCGUUCAUAUUUAUAUGUGCAUAUGUUCACACUAAAGUGUAUUUAAGUAAUUUUAUUUUUUAAAACUCAAUUCUAUCUCAAGAAAACAUCUGUCUUUUAUUUCUAAAACAGGAAGGAUAACGAUGACGAAUUGUACAGUGAGGAUGAAAAUGAAGAUGACGAAUUCUCUGGGGAGGAUGAAGAUGACUAACAGAAUUGAUUGAUCAAACACAAAGGUUAGCAUGUUUCCAUCUCCAACUUCUUCUAGGUUUAGUAAAAACUGAUGAAAUUAUCUAUAAAGUACUCGAAAAAUUAUUCUUCCAUGUUUUAUAGUAUAUACAUAAAUGGAUAGUACUUUAAAAAUUGAACAAUAAGGAUUGUCGAACCACAUUCUGCUACCUAAUUCAUUUUUUCGAGGUACCCAAUGCAAGUCGAUCUAUAAUAUGCACUCUAAAAGUACUAACCUUGAGAAGCCAUUGAUAUGAACAAGAUUGAACCAUGAUCAGCAACGAACAAGCAAAGAUCUUCCUCUCUCUCUACACCCCUUAUGCACUCCUAUAUGGGGUGGUGUUUUGUGCUAGAAUAAUGUGUAUAAAAGUGGGAUCUAAGCCUUAUAUUUAUAGGUGAGAGUAUUAGGUUUCUUGCCCAUGAAGAAACCCCUAAUACAGAUCUUUAGCACCUCUAAAAUCCAUGACCUAAUAGGAUAGAUAUUCCCAAAAAUUAUUGCUAUACUUCACCAUAAAUAAUCCGGACUAAUCAGAUAUUACUUCCUUUCUUUUAUCCUUAAUUAAUUAGGACUCCUAAAUAGAUGUAAGCCCAAUAAAAGUCUUACACCCAAUAGCAGUUAAGAUGGAAGAAGCUUUUGAGAUUAGCAUCUGCCUCAAGAAACCUUUAUCAGAUUCCACAAUAAUAUUGGAAUAACCUUUUUCUCUUAGCAUGUCUCACCUGAUCUACAACAAGUAUAACCAUUUUGAGAAACACAUAUACAAUAAACAUAACCGUAGUGCUAAGUGACUUGAAAAUUAAUUUAGUCCUUAAACCGCUAUUUUCUGAAACACAAAUACAAUAAGCAUUACCAUUUCAACUUAUUCCAAUUUCAGUGUUUUCUAAUAUUCUCCAAUGCAUGCAGGACAAGCGUUUACAGAACGUUGUGGCUUCAGCAAUUCGUUUACUAUAUCAUAUGUACAAGUCAAUAAAAGGUCAUUUGUUGCACCAGAAUUUCAUUCCAAAAAUACUAUUUAUGUUGCUUAUUUGAUGUAUUAUAAAUUUCGAUUGUGAUUAUUACUGUUUGUUUCUAAAUUAGUGUUUGCUUAUUUGUUAUGGUAAUUUGGAAAAGUUGUCUCUAGCUACCAAUAUUUGCAUUUCAAUUUAUAAUGCUAAAAGUUCUGUAAUACCAUAGACGUGUAAGAUGAAUGACAUGUGUAAGCUAAAUAAUAUUAUGAUACACUAUAACAAUAUGAUCAUUCACUAUAAGGUCUGAUAUUAAUUCAUAAAAUCUGGUUUUCCCCUAAACGUAACGGAAAUCAUAUUUAUCUAGGCAUGCUUAAUAUUUGAUAAAGAAAAAAACAUUUCUUAAAUAAAUGUCCACUCACACCUCCGGCUAGCUCUCCCUUGAGGAGCCUUGUCUACCAAAUAGGUAAGUUCAAGCAACUUCAAGAGAGAAUUUCCUCCACGUUAAGUCUUAAACAUCCACUGGACAGCAGGCAAUUCAAAACCAAAGUAAGCUGCUGAAUACAACUACAAUAAACAAGGAAUUAGGCUAAGUUAUUGUCUUCAUCAUGACAUGAUUUGGCCCCCAUUUUCUAAUUCCGUACCACAUUUUCACAUUAUUUCCAUAAAAUAAUUUUAUAAUUCCUAUGCAAAAGAGUUCAUUCAUUGCCUAUUUCACAACAAUACAAGGUUCUACAGAGUUCAAUCCCACACCAUGUUAUAGAAAUGCUUCAACUAUCAACCAGGACGGUAAUCGUUAGGGGCUUCAACAACUUCACAGAUACAACAAUUACGAUAAGUCUCAUCUCCGACAUUCAUACAGAAAAUCGAAUAAAAUUCGAAAUCAAGAAUCAAUCCCAAAACUGAAAGUUGAAAAUUUGGAAAAAGAACUUACAUUGGAGAACAGCCCACGAGAAGAGGAUCAUUUCUACCUCUUGGGUCGAGGUCCAAUUCCUGCGAUAUUGGCCGGAAGUUGGCCGGAAAACCCUGGGUCACCGUUUCUUAAAUUAGAAAUUGAGGAAAAUCGCCUACGAAUUUAUAGAAACUAACAGGGAUUGGAUAAAGGACGGCAAGAGCAUUCUGGAUGUGUAGUUUGACAGGCGUUAGUGACCUGUGAACGACGGAGACGUUGUGUCGGCAGUCGUCGGCUCGCUAGGAGAAGAGGGAGAGAGGAUGCAGGAGGGAGGAGAGACAAAAAGAAAAGGAAAAGAAACAAAGAAAUUUAAAAUAGAAAUGAAAAAGAAAGGUAACCGGACUGCAAAGGUAAUCAGCAUACAAAAUUAUCAUACUAUCCUUAAACUUUGUAGCUAUGUGAAAUCUUCAUUUUAAUUCUAAAUUUUCUUAUGCUUGCGCUCACAGGUUCUUAUUAGAGCAGUUCCACCGGAGGUGGAAUAGCCCAGUACCCAGUCAAAAAAUCAGGUUAGCACCCUGUUAAUUCACUCCAGCCCGUGAAAUCGACUAGCACCCAGCCUAAGCCAGUCUACGGGCCGGCCUAAAAUCGACAGACCUUGGGACCGACCUAUCUGACGUCAGCGUGGCGUCGGAGGGCAUAUGACGUCAGAGAAGGAGUUGUUGUGGAGGCUGAGGAGCAGAGCUGGUUGAGGCGGGAGAGGAUGUCGAGAGGGAAGGAACCAUGGAGGGAGAACGACGGAAGGACAAAGCGACAGCGUCGGAGGUGUGGAGAUGCAGGAGGACGAAUCGACGGUGUUGAAGGACAGGAGGUGUGGAGACGCUGUAGAGGAGCUAGUUGUUGAGAUGUGGAGAUGCAGGAGGUGAGGAGAUGCAGGAGAUGUAGGAAGUGCAGGGGUGGAUGGCGUGCAGAAAUGGAAGGGAAAGGAGGUGUGGAAGAUGAGAAAAUAAUAAUAAUUUUUUUUUAUAAAGUUAGAAAUUAAAAAUAAAAAUAUUAUUUUUUAUUAUUUUAUAAUAAAAAAUAAUAAUUUUUUAAUAAAAUUGACUAGGCUAUUUUUUUUAGGGAUAGAGAUGCAUUGGCCUAUUGCUGUUCAUUAUGGUUUAUCACUGUUCACUUGAGUGGAUAAAUGCACUGGAUGCUGGCGUAAAGUCUUUAGGGGUGGACUUGCUCUUAUGCGCACUACGAAAAGAUAUUAUGUGAGUUUUCGUUGAGAAUUUUUUUGAUGGAGGCAUCCAUGAUUUGCAAGGCCCACCAUGGCAAAGCUAGGUAUCGGCCUGACAUGUGAAGACACCAUCGCGGAGAAGAAUCUGGAAAGUUCAAUCCUUGUAUUUUUCUUAUAUAAUGGUGUCGUUUUAGUGAACUGAAUGUUUCGAUUCCAACAUCUAAAAUACUACAAUUGGAAUUUUUACAUACUACAAUUGGAUUGUAUCUUAAAAUUCUGAAGUUUUGGAUUGAAUUACCACUACCAAAAAUGUGAGCAUUGGUCACAAUCAUGCUGCUUUGUGUUGGAUUUCGUUAGAGAUCAUAAUUAAUCAAUCACCCAUAUUGUGUCUCCCUCCAAAAGCUCAAACUGAAACCUAAACUCCCUCGUCGACCAAAAAAAAAAAAACAAUCCUUGAACUCCCUAGCAAAUCAGAGCCCAAUUUGACAACCAAGAUCUUCAUCGUUCGAGCAUCAAUGUUCUCUUAAAUUUGCUGCGAGCAACCUACCAUGAAAUCUCCUUCAUGGACAUCUCAUAAAAUUAGAAUGGUACAAAGAAGAGUAGUGUCACUCCUAAGCUAGGAUUACACGUUUGAAUCGCAAAAUAGUUCCUCCUCCACUCUUUGAUUCUCUCUUUCACCGGCUAACAAUAUUUUACAUUACCAUCUUUUGCUCUAUUUGACUGAAGGACAAAUUUUGAUUGUCUAAAUAUUAUAUUAAACUACAAAUAAUAUUGAUAUUACUUUAGUCUAAAGAAGGCUUUUCAAUUGCAUUGUACCAAUGAAUAGUGUUUUGAACCACAUUUCAGUUUAUUUACAAGACUGCCACUGGGACGCUUUUAGCCAACUUUUGCUUUAUUUACAAAAAUGCCACUCAGGCUUAAGACUCGAUUUUCAGCCGCUGCAUCUCAGGUUUUUACUAGGGGAAAGAGAGGGGAGGGGGACAGAACGAGCAGAGAGAGAGAGCCUGCGGCUUGCAGAAUUACGAUGAUAGAAGAAGAAGCUCAAAAGUUUGAUACGCCAAGUCGAAGGAACCCUAAAAACCAGAGAAGAAGAAGAAGCUCAGAAAUCGGGUGAGGAUGUUGACAAAUCAGCAAGCCCAGUUUUAGGCGACUCUGCAAAACCAACAACCUAACCUCCGACGAACGAUGUUAGAGGGGAUUCGUCAGAUUCGAGUCGAACCGAGGCCGUCGUCGACUAAGAGAACAUUAUCGAUCCCGACUUUUGGAUCGACUCCCUUUACCUGCUCCCUGUCUGUUACUCCUGCUCCGUCUCUCUUCUUGCAAGUUCGCUCGGGUUCUUCUCCCCAGUUAUUUCAAGCACAAAAAAUUCUCCAGUUUCAUUCGUCAGCUCAUACAUACGUAAGCUCUUCGCCUCUUAAUAUUUUGAUUUAGGUUAAUUGUUAAAUUCUUGAAAAAAAUUGAAAGCAUUGUUCAUUUUUGUCCCAAAUUGGUUUGGUUCUGGUUUGGAAACAGAAAUUAAAACAUAUACUCCUUCAUCUACGAUUCACUUAUUCCAUUCCAGAUAUUUCUCCAUUUCUCUCUUAAUUUCUUACUUUUUGAUUCAAGCGUUUAAUUUUUUAUUAAUUAAAUUACAAAUAAGUAUUAUUGACUUUCAUUUGGUACCAAUCAAUCAAGUGAGAGAUGAGUUGUUUGAAUGUUUGAUUUUACUUGAAUCAGAGUCUCCAAGGAGGAGAAAGAGAAGGAUCCGAAUGAUUUAGGGUUUAGGUCUUAGCGUGUGAGCAGGCGUAUUGAUGACUGUAAUCAAGGUAUCACUUAAGCUCUAAUUGUGACUAGUAAAUUUUGAAUGACUGCUGGUUACUGUUAAAACCCCAAAUGUAUGCAAUCCCACGUUCCAAUUUGUUGUGUGAAGAUGCGGACCACAAUUGCUUCCUCUCAGCACAAUUAGUUUCCACGAUUACUCUUAAACCCUAAUUGUCUCUCCUCUAUCUAAAAUCCAUUUUUCGAUUUUUGAAUACGGUAAAUGGAUAUUGUUUCUAUGUGCAGGUGUUACUCGGAGAAGUUUGAAAGGCCCUGGGACAAUGAGGAUUGCAUUUCAGAGUAGCAGAAAUACAAGGCCACCCUCUCUUUGUGUAUCCAAUCUUACCCUUCUCCUAAAUUUUUAUCAAACUAUAGGAUUUAUUUUGCUGAUUUUAUUUUUUGCGAUUUGAGUUUUUAUCUCCUGCUUAUUUUUUAUUUUUUUGCCGAGGUAUUACUUUUCCUUUGACUAGAAAUUUUAGUGUUUUUAAAGUAUAAUGUUAUCAAAUUCUAAUUUUCUAAUUUUCUGAUUUUGGCCUUUUGCAGGGAGUGCUAAGAUACUAAAUUUUUGGGAUUUUUUAUCUUUGCAUGAUUUUUGGUCUUUGAAAUGGGUAUGUGCUGUUUUUAACGUUUUGGUUCUCAAAUGUUUCGUUCUUGAUUUCUGUUUUCUGCCUCCUUCUAGGUUGCUUCGUGAUUUUCAUUUUCCAUUGUUGGCUUAUGGAAUUUAUAAAAAUGGUUGUAGUUUUGUGACCAAAUCCCAAUAAGAGUAUGCCGAAACACAGAUUAGCAUGUAGUGAACAUACGUUGAAUUAGAACAAAAUUUAAUAUAUAAGUGAAGGCAUGUGCAGUGAACAGACAUUGAAUUUAAAAUUGAUAGGGUAGUUAAGCUUCUGCCUUAGUUAUUCUUUGUCACUCACUUUUGGAAUUUAAUUCAUUCAUUUCAAAGUCACUCAUGUACUCUGUCUUACUUUAUUCACUCAUGUUUAGUAUGCACCAUUGAAUUUUUUUGUCAUAUAUUAUUCACUCAUCUACUACACUAAUGUUGAGAUUUGGGUAUCAUUUGUUUUCUCAUAUGUCAUGUUUUUAAGCCAAAUCUAAUAUAUAAAUGGAUCCAAAAACUCCUGAUGUAGCACAUUUAAUUUGUUCAAAUAUUGAUUCUUUUCCCUCUAUUCACUUCAGUUGUCGUGUUCUUCUUCGUUCUUUUUUCAACGGCAAAGCUGGACGAUCCAUGGAGCACAUGUUGUUGAGCCUUUUGCCACUACUGGUCUGGUCCAAUUCGAAGGAGUUGUUGGAGUACAAUCUUUAGGCCCUUUGGAGGAGCUGAAAAACCAGUCUCGACUCUGCUGACCUAGACAUAUUCCGAGAUAUGCUCCAGCUCCAUAACGAAUCGGACAUCAGCCCGGUUCACUACUCUCACUCUUUCCUGCUUUCAUUCUCAAUUUUUUUUUGGAAUUUUGCGCUGAAUUUCAUUUGGGUAAUUUGUGAAGUUUUGUUUUUUUUUCUUCUUUUGUUAGGCAGCUUUUGGUGUGCCUGCGAAUGUUGAUUCGGCGAUGCGUUUACAAUAACGUCAAGAGGGAAAAGAUUCAAAAGAUGUUCCCAGUGUAGCUAUUUUAUAAUUGAUGAGGCUGUUGGUGCUUUUGAUGCGGAAGUUUCAGCGAGAAUGACGGCGAGAUGCACACAAGGAUCAGGUUAGAGAUCUGUGUUGUUUGACAUUUCUGUGUAAACAUUUUUGAGUAUCAAAUAUAUCUCAAAUUUAGGGUGUCGGUUAUGGGCUACUAAAGCGGAAAGUUCUUUUGGCUCAUACAUUAAAGCGGCAUGUGCUUUUGGCUCAUACAUUUAAUUUGUUCAAAUAUUGAUUCUUUUCCCUCUAUUCACUUCAGUUGUCGUGUUCUUCUUCGUUCUUUUUUCAACGGCAAAGCUGGACGAUCCAUGGAGCACAUGUUGUUGAGCCUUUUGCCACUACUGGUCUGGUCCAAUUCGAAGGAGUUGUUGGAGUACAAUCUUUAGGCCCUUUGGAGGAGCUGAAAAACCAGUCUCGACUCUGCUGACCUAGACAUAUUCCGAGAUAUGCUCCAGCUCCAUAACGAAUCGGACAUCAGCCCGGUUCACUACUCUCACUCUUUCCUGCUUUCAUUCUCAAUUUUUUUUUGGAAUUUUGCGCUGAAUUUCAUUUGGGUAAUUUGUGAAGUUUUGUUUUUUUUUUCUUCUUUUGUUAGGCAGCUUUUGGUGUGCCUGCGAAUGUUGAUUCGGCGAUGCGUUUACAAUAACGUCAAGAGGGAAAAGAUUCAAAAGAUGUUCCCAGUGUAGCUAUUUUAUAAUUGAUGAGGCUGUUGGUGCUUUUGAUGCGGAAGUUUCAGCGAGAAUGACGGCGAGAUGCACACAAGGAUCAGGUUAGAGAUCUGUGUUGUUUGACAUUUCUGUGUAAACAUUUUUGAGUAUCAAAUAUAUCUCAAAUUUAGGGUGUCGGUUAUGGGCUACUAAAGCGGAAAGUUCUUUUGGCUCAUACAUUAAAGCGGCAUGUGCUUUUGGCUCAUUUCUUUACAAAAGUUGAAUAUUUGAAUCUGCUUAUUUAUGUUUUGAAAUGAGUGUGUUUGUUAUUCAUGUUUUGGGAAUGUUAAAUCUUUUUAAUUUUUUCGUUCCAGGACGAAAAUAUUUAACGAAAUGAAUUCUGACUAUAAAGUUAAUUGAAGCUCUGAAAAAUUUUGUGGUCGAAAAGGAUGACAGAUUACUAUAGUUUUUUUUCCUUCCUAUCCAAAAACUACCUUUGAUUUUCUUGAUUGUGCGUAUAUUUAAUAUUUGCUAUUAUAAUCGUUCCCAGUAUAAUAGCAGAACCUACUAGACGAGCAGGACCAAGUACCCGACCCUCUACAACAAAAUCAGCCUGCUCAGAAACCCUAGCUUGAAUGCGGUUCCAGAGCUCGACGACUGGGUCUACAAUGGCAACAAAGUCCGAGUCACCGAGCUUCAGCGCAUCAUUCACGACCUCCGAAAGUGGAAACGCUUCUCCCAAGCCCUCCAGGUUUCCAUCUUUCUUUCUUACCUUGCAAUUUGUGUUAUCCCCUGUUUGGUUGCUCAGAAAAUGAAAGAAAAUUGAAAGAAGAAUCAAAGUAAUUAAAUUUUAGUUAAAGAAAGUGAGUGAAUGAGGGAAUUAGGAUUUUUGUUAGUUUAUGUGUUUGUUUGUAUCAUAAGUAAUCGGAAUUUCCUCUGCUUUCAUAAUAAUGUGUUUUAGGUUGCAGAUUUCAGAAUGGAUGAAUCAGAAGGGGAUAUGCAUAUUUUCGCCGGUUGAGCAUGUCGUGCAACUGGAUUUGAUUGGGAAGGUAGAAUUUUGCACGAAUUGCUGUCAAAUAAAGCCAGUUUGAGCCUAUGGGUCGAAUCCUAUUGGACAUUGUUGCAUCAUGGAGCAUGUGAUUGUUGGGAAGUUUAAGCUGGGGAGGAAGAUUGGGAGUGGGUCUUUCAAAGAACUCUAUUUAGGUAUGGUAAUCAGUGCUUGAUAUCCUUUUUUCCUUAGAAAAUUAUUCAUUGUGUUAAUUUAAUGUGUUUUGUAAUGAAAUUGCUCUUCUGGUGUUAGGUGUAAAUGUACAUGGUGGGGAGGAGGUUGCUGUUAAGCUGGUAUGUGAUCGAUCGUCAAAUCUUAUAUUUAGUUCUGAUGUUUGGUUUAUGGCUAAAUGUUUGCAAGCAUUGUAUAGUUUUGUGCCUGAUUGUAAAUGGGCGGCUUCAUUAAUGUACUAGGGUAUGUUGAGUGUGAGCUUCUGGUAAUUCAUUAUGAUUUCAUGUGUGCUUCCAUAUAUAUUGAAAUUGUCCAGUUUGCUCAUGGAUGUUUCUGUAUGAUUUUGCAUGUCUCCCUUGAUAAAAGCUUGAGCAAAAUAUGCUUAUGAAAUCGAUAUGUGGUUUAGCUUUAUAAUUGUGCCUGCAUCUGUACUGCUUAUUUGCUACCCAUCUAAACAUAUAACUUUAUAUGAGAUAGCCCCCCAUUUGAAAAUGAGUGUUUUUAUGCGAUGUUUAUAUUUGUAGGCACUGGAAUUAGUGUCUUUUGUUUUUAUUUUGAUCUCAGUUACUCAAAACUGAAUUUUUUGUUGGUGUGAAUAUAUAUGUCAACAUUUAAUAUCAGCAUUUGGAGUGAAUCAAAUUCAUUUUAAAUUUUCUUAAAUUUAUUGAUUAUCAGAUGACAUAGUUAACAACUUCUGUGAUUUUAAAACACUUGGAGGUGAGAUUUACAUAAUUAAAUAGUCAAUUGAAAAAUUGAAAUGAGAUGUUAGUUUUACCUGACUGAUUUCUUUGUUGGGUUUAUUACUGCUCAAUGUUAAAACCCAAAAAUGGUUUUUUGGGCAAGUGGUGAUUGGCCCGCCUGUGUCAGGAAAGACCACUUACUGCAAUGGCAUGUCUGAGUAUAUCUAGCUCAUCCGAAGGUAAAAAAUUUCACUCUGAAUUCUGGGUUUUCAAGUUUUUCCAUGGCUUCAAUUUUGGUUUUUGAAUACAUCUGAAAUAUUUACAGUGGCAAUUUGUUGUUUUGGUGUGCAGGAAAGUUUUUGUGGUAAAUUUGGAUCAUGCAGCCGAUGCAUUGCCGUAUCCUUUUCGGGGUUUUAUUUUUUUCAUGUUUAUUGUUCGUAAUUUGUAGUGUUGCACUGCAUUCCAAUGUCGAAUAUUGAGGGUAAUAAAGUAGAGCUACUGGUUCAUCUUUCAUUUGAUCUUCUACUAAUUUCGAUUGAAUUCCACAAAUUUUUUUUAUUUGCUUAGUUUAAUUUGUUGUUGUUCAAUUGUUAUGAAGAUCUGUGAAUGUGUAUGAAUUAUUGGUUCUGAUUUUUGUUGAACAAUGUGAAGUUGCUUGGUGUUUUAAGUUCUUGAUCCAAAGAAAGUUGCGUUAUUUCGUAAUGACAUUGCCGUUUGUAGUGGUUGUUUGGAUUACUGUGUCAUUUUAUUUAUGCAACACUUAUAUGAUACCUUUCUUAUUGGCUGUAUGUAAAUCAUCAAUAUCUUAUGGAUUAAUAUGCUUACCAUUUCGUAUACAUAUGUUUUUUAUUCAUGUUAAAACUUUUUGUAUUAUUUUUGUGUUUGUCAUUGGCAGGUGAAUUUGUAAACAUUCAUAGUUAUCCAUAGGACCUUGAGGGAGUAUGCAAUUAGUAUUCAUAUAGAUGGUUAUUUGUGUUAACGAUGAAAGCAUAUGGUUUAGGUUUGUCCUCAAAAUUUAUGCUUAGUUGUAAUAAUGCUUUUGCUUAGUUGUUCAUGUAAAAAUGGAACAAUUUUUUUUUGUACAUAUGUCAUUUUAUAUUCGUUUAAUGUUUGAACUUAUGCUUAUGAACUUGGUUAUUGGUAGGGCUCUUCUAGAGGCAGUGUUGGCGUGUAGAUGAUGUGGAAGUAGGCGAUGAGGAGGAAAUGACAAAGGUGGAGGACCAAAAGGUCUUAUAGAAGAAGAAGAAGCUCAGAAGUCUGAUACACCAAACAACUCCAUCUGAAAGAGGAAGAAUCCAAGGGUAAACCCCUUCAAACUCUUCGAUUAUGGUGUUCUUUAGUCGAUUGCAAGACUAGAACUUGAAAAACUAACACAUGCAUAUAAUUUUUUUAUGAAGGAACUGCAGUCCAGUGGUUGUAUAAAACAAAAGGACAACGCAUGCUCUCUCUCUCAUAGUAGCUCUGUGUUCCUCUCCCCCCAAACCUAAUGGCUUCAUCCCAAUUCGGAGCCUGCUCGAAUCGGGACUUCUUGGAGAUUCGGAUCUCCAGGUGAGAUAAUUUUCCCCAAAUUGUAUUCAAUCUAUGUUGCUUCAUUUCAUUUUCCAUUUUAAUUUGGAAUUGUUGAUAUUUUAGGCGGGUAUUGCAUGUAUAACCACAACAAUUUUUGUGUUGGAUUGGGGUCAAAUUGUCCAGCUUUAUUAGCUAUUUGGUCGCCUUUGUAUUUGUAAUCUGAAUAAUAUGAAUUAGGGUUUUUCUGUUAGUGUCCAAUUGGUCAAGAAAGGAUGCUUCUUUUUUGUUAUCAUGCAUAUUUAAGCUGUAAACAUCUGAAAAACUGCUUAAUUGAAGUGAUAUUUCCAGUUUUUUAGCUCAGUUUCAGGUUUUGACCUUUGAAUUUGUUUACAUGUAUCCCAGCUGAAGCUAUGUACAUCGUAGUUUAAGGGGAUUUUGCUCAAAAUCUGGAGAGCUCUCUCGCUUUGCUCUCUAUGUAAACCCGAGAGAAAUUCCAUGGAAACAUCACGCCUGCAAACGAAGUUGCAGGCCUACACACAAGCAAACUCCAUCUGAAAGCCAAAGAAUCCAAAGGUAAAUCUCUUCAGCUUUCUUAGCUAUUUGGUCCUGUGUAUUUGUAAUCCGAAUAAUAUGAAUUAGGGUUUUUCUGUUAGUGUCCAAUUAGUGAAGAAAUGAUGCUUCUUUUUGUUAUCAUGCAUAUUUAAGCUGUAAACAUCUGAAAAAGCUGCUUAAUUGAAGUGAGAUUUCCAGUUUUUGAGCUCAAUUUCAUUUCUUAUAGACAAUUUUUUUUCAAGAUUUCUGGGUUUCUUUUUGCUGCUUCUUUGUUAAAUUACUCAUCUGGAAGUUAAAUUUUGUUCAAAUACCAAGUAUUGUUCUUCAAUUAAAGAUUUAUGGGUUUUUUUAUUGCUUCUUUUCUGUUAAAUUACUCAUCUAGAAGUUAAUUUUGUUCAAAAACUUACUGUUCUUCAAUUAAUCUUACAAGAAAGCAUAUGAGAAUGUGGCACAUUAGGUGUUCGAUGAAAUGUGUCUGAGAAUCUGUCAGUAUGAUAUAUUAUAAUUCUGAAUCUCCUCUUCAGCUCUGGCCACAGGUGCGCGAAGGCGACAUGAUCCUGGUCGACAGUUCGGAGCUCUGGCGAUUCUGACUAAGAAAGAGGUCAAUAACAACAAGGUAAUGGAAUUCAAUGUUUUGUGUUUGUUAUAGAGGCAUAUUUGCAACAGUAUAUCAGAUAAUAAUUCUAGAUAGUAUGUCCAGAUGGCAUAGAUUGUGUUUCAUGAUGCAUAUGGCUGAAGCGGUUUUGGCUACUUUUUUUAUUGCUCAUUAAAUUUUUUGCUGCCUUUGGCUGGUACAAAUAUAUAUAAGAAGUACUAUCCUUUUAUCAACUUUUACCAAGUCAAAUUUAGGAUCCAUUUGUACUCAUGCGCCAUUGGGGUAAAGUGCAUGUGCUUUUUUUUUCUGUUGUAUAUUUUCAUCUAGGGGAUAACGUUUUGUUGUUUGUUGGAAGGAAUAUUAAAACACAUCCACACCCUAUUUUGUCAUUGUUCUAAAGUAUCUCAUGCUGGUUUUAGAAUUCUCCCGACUUUCUAACUCAAAUAUGUGCCAAGAGAACCCAACUAAAGUGGUUCGCCGCUCCAUGUAUGAAGUAUUAGUGAAUUAUUUGUAAUUUUACAUAACCAAAAGAAAAUUUUUGCGUUGUAUGCAUACAUAUUGAAAUUUAUGUUAUAAAUUUUUUGAAAAGAAACAGAUGUAAAUUAGAAUCAUACUAAUAUAGGUAUGCUGUAUACAUAACUUUGAUAAUACCAUAAGUUCAGAAUUAAUCUUUAGUGUCAUUAAAAAAUUUAUGUAAAUUUAUAUACAUAAAUUUGAUAGCACCAUAAACUUGGGGUAUUGUUAUAUUUAGUACAGGCAAUAUGAUGCCGUUCAGGUGUUUUUAACUAAUAUCUGCAGUUUUUCAAUUCAUCUGGGGUAUUUGUGAUUUGAACGACACUAAAAAAUUUUAUGGGUUAUAGGAACUGCAGGUUAAAAAAAUGGGUCAAAUUCAGAGCUGCAUUCGUCUUCCCUCAAAAUAAGAAGAAAAUGCUUCCUCAACUACAUAUUUUGCAACCUCAGGUAUAUUUGUGUUCUAAAGGCUUUUACUUCCUCCGGUUUCUUCAGAGCUAUUAUUUUACCCAUAUAUGAUUUGUAAAGUGGAAGAUUGGAUUUCAUAUGUCUGAGUAUUUAGGGUUUUGCACAAUGCAAACUUGAGCUUUUGAUCCAAAUGGCUAGAACAGUGUACUCGACCAAUUUCAUAUCCUCUUGGGCUAAUGAGAGUAUAUUACUUGCCACUGGGGAAUUCACUUCAUAUAAGCCAUAGAGAGAGAGAGAGAGAGAGAGAGUCACAUUUUUGUUUUUUUUUUUUUGGAUUUGGUAACUGAAAUUUUAUAUGUGUGAACUACAUGUUUCUUCUGUUUCUUAAGGAAACAGAAAUUUUUUGGAAACCAUCUCUUUCUAAUCAAAGACAUUGUGCAAUGUGUUUAUAUGCCAACUCACUUGAAUGUAUAUAAAAGCAAAACAGCUUCACUUAUUGACCUCAAUUCACUCAUGUAUCCCUCUGUUUGUUCACGAUUGUGUUGAAUUUAUUCAAUUUAAAUAUAUUUUAUUCAUUUGAUUAUACCUGAAACAACAGGUUCCCGCAACAACGUGCGGGCAUAUUUUCUCGUUAUAUAUAUUACAAUGUGACUGGAAUUGUAGUACCCAACAUUUUGUUGUCCAUGAAGUGGCCAACUCGCCCUCUCUGAUAUUCUUUAGUCCGGUCCAUUUUGAGUUUAACCAAACUCAUUCUUUUAUAAGCAAUGUAUUGUGGGCAUCGUUGGAGCACGAGACAUUAUUUUAUAAUUCCUCUUUGGUUGAGCUAUUAAUGUCAUUGUUUAACAAUUUAGUGAUAUUUAUCUUUACUUGUAGAUGAGAGGUUUCAGGUUCGAAUCUCGGGAGUGAUGAUUUGUUGUAAAUAUACCAUAAAAGAAGAAGAAAAAAAAAAGCAAAUCAUCAUUUACCACAGUAGUAGAAAGGUGUUGAGCCCUUGUAUAUGAUGGCGUGAGUUUGAACGUAGUUGGUAACUAAUCUAACAUGUAAUCUAACAAAAUUUAUCAUUUGAUAAAAAAAAAUAUAAUACAAAAACACGAAAAUGCCCUUAAAGUCCAAAGUGCCCCCCUCUGCCCUGCCGCUUCCUGCAAGUUCUUUCCUCGCCCCUAUUUCCCUCACUUUCUCCCUAUCAGACGUUCGAAGACUCAAAACUGUUUUUAACUCUCUCCCUCUCUCUCACUCUCUCCUUCUCACUCUUAAAUGUCGCCCUUUCUCACUCAUACGCACGCUCAAUGAUCUCUGAAGCACCAAUUGCUCUUCGCUUUGGCUCUCUGCAUCUCACCAGAGGUAAAAUGCCCCAAAUUUAUUUAUUUAUUUUUUUACUUUUUCCUCUAAAUUUAAUUCAAUGAAUUUUUUGUGUACCCUUGCAGUAAUACAGGAAGAUUUUUGUAGUAUUUCUACUUGCUGGAUGAUACUGAAAUAAUUAUUGGGAGUUUGAAGAAUUUCUGGUUUGUAUGAUAUAUUUGCUAAAAGACCCAAAAUUUUGAAGCAGAGCGGCGGUAUUUGAUAAGAAAAUCAUCUGAUGAGUCAAUGGAGUCGUCAUCGCCUCCAAAGGAGAACGAAAAAAGCUCGAAACAAGCUUGCGUAGAAAUCAACUUGGAAGAUCUUGCUGUUGAUCCCGGGCUGCGCACUCGAAUUUGGGAUUAGCAUCCCAGUUCAAGUUCGAGAGUAAGUUCGAAGAGCAUAUAUACAAAAGGGUCCUUUUCAGAGUCGAGACCAUGACUUCCCCAGCAAGAAUACUAGUGAGGGACCGAGAAAGUUUAUAUCUGCUUGGUUUAUGAUUUUCCGACUUGGUUGGUAUUGUCUAUGUUGUUAUCUGUUUAAGCUAAAUACAGGAGAGCAAGCCGGCGGUGAUUGCUUGGUUAGUAAAGGGUUUUCGAAUUGGAAGAAGGAAAGGUUGCAGGGUCAUGUUGGAGGACGGAAUAGCGGCCUCAACCAAGCUUGGAGAACCUGUGAUGCUUUAUUAAAGCAACACCAAGCAUGAAUAUGAAGGUUCAAACAACGAAGGAGUUUUUCUUGGACUCUGGAACUUCCACUGUGGUCGUCAUGAGGAGUUAAAAGUUAUCACAUUGAGAAAUUCUCCCUUAAGUCUGAAGUUGACUUCACCUGAUACUCAGAAGGACAUCAUAACUACUUUUUCAGUGAAAUUAUCAAUGCAAUCGUUAAAGAUAUUGGUAGUUCGUACUUUUCCAUUCUUAUCGAUGAGCUUCAUGACAUGUCUUCAAUGAAGCAAUUGGCUAUUGUAAUACGUUUUGUGGAUAAAGGUCAACUGAUCGAGCCUUUUUUUUAUGUGUUGUACAAGCCACUGAUAAUACUGCUGACUCACUUAAGGUGGCUAUUGAUGAUUUCUUUUCUACCCAUGGAUUAAGCAUGUCAAAGCUAGGGGCAAGGUUAUGGUGGGACUAGUAAUAUGAUUGGUGAGUUGAAUAGUAUUAAGACACUUAUAAUGAAGGAGAAUGAGUGCAUUUUACGUUCGUUACUUUGCUCACGGCAGCGAGAGACACGAAAUGCCCACGCCCUCACGAAAGUACUGUCGGCGUUCUCCAACAAGGACGUAGUCGUCUUGCUUGAGGACGAGCGAGUGCUCCAGAUAACUGUUCGCCAUCCGAACCACCCACAAGAAAGGCUGCUUGCUGUUGGCCAGACCCCAUGCCAUUGCAGCUAGUUUUUUACUGUCCAUGAAUGCUGUGCUUCCUAGGCUUACAUAGAUGACAGAGUUGUGUGCUUGUUUAACGAGCCAUGACGUACAACUCUGGUCCUCUUUCAACAAGCUUGUAGACGGGGAUGGAACAGUUUUGUGCAGAGGACCGGUAGGAAAUAACGGAAUUUGGUACUCUUUUUGAAGCCGUGCCAGCGAUGAUUGUUCAAGGCCGUCCCGGUGUUCCAAAUGACGGCUGAAGAUGACCUUUGAAUCGUGUGCUUUCACUAGUAGUUGCAGUAAGCCGUCCAAAACUCUGCCAUCUUAAUGGUUGGAGUCCUGGUGCCAGUUCCAGCAUUAUAGAAUCUGUACACAGAAUGGUCAAGCAUCAGAGAUCUUAAGGUUAGUGCAGACAGUUGCAAAAGUUAUAAAAAUCAUAGAGUCAUCGAGUCUUUUUCCCUUAAAAAGGUUAAAAUCAAUCAAUUAAUUGAUCAAUUUGAUGCAUUUACAUCUCAUAGUUAUUGUGUCAAGACGGAAUUCGAAAAAUUUGAGAUGUCUGAUUGUUACCUUGAAUUGAAAAGUAACCAUCUUAUAGGAAUUACUUGGUAAGUCAUCGUGUUUGCUGCACUGCUAGUAGUCAAUAUAAUGCUAGGCAACCCUAGAUGAUUAGCCACCUCUACUGUACUCAUCAUAGAUGAUGCAUGAAAUCUUGGAGUGGGGACUUGCAGUUAGACAUUAAAGCCUAAUAUUGCAGCAAUAAAAUUGUGGGACGAGAUAUUUUUCUCUCAUAAGCCAUCGGAUAUCUCUAAGAAAUCGAAAUCAGGGUAGUUCGAAGGAAAGUUGAAGUUGGUGUGAGGGACUGUGAUGUAGAAGCCCUCGGAGUGAAAGAUAGCGCCCAGUUGAAGUAUUGGAGUUAUGUUCCCUUGGAAUGGGCAUGGAGCCAGCACUAAUCUGUGGCUUGUACGUUGUGUUUCCAUUGCCCUUAAGAUUUGUGUAGCUAAAAGGAGUACUUCACAUGGUGGACAUUAUGAAGGCUUAUGAUAUUCUGGAUUGGGAAUUUCUUUUAGACACUCUUUCAGAUUUCCAACUUCUAUGAUUAAUUGAAUUUGUUGUUGUGUGAAUAGUACUAAGUUUUUAGUUUCAGUUAACGGCAAGCUAGCGAGUUUUUUCUCCUAGUAAAAGGGGGCAAAGGCAAGGGGACGCUCUAGUUGCUACAACAUCCUAGUUUGCAAAUCGUUUGAAACAGAAAUCAAAACCGUUUGAAACCAAAUUGAACCGCAAUCAAAUGGUUUGGUUUUAUCUUGAUUGGUUUAAGCUUCAAAUUCACACCGAACCGAACUGGCAAAAAAUUCAGUUUCACUUUAAAACCGCACAGAACCAAACCGUGUCCAUCCCUGGUCUGCAUUGGAGGAAAACUGGGGAAAACCUCCCGGUAACCUCAACUCUGAUGGAGAAAAUGUAUUGGAGAUUGAAGAUUGUGAAUUUUUGUUUUUGUUGUUCUCCAUAAGAUUUCCAUUCAAAAUUUCUAUACGAUUUUUUGCCUUCUCUUGUAAUUUCACUAUGAUUACAUACCAUAAUUGAAUAGUACAAAUUAGUCCCGCCUGUUGCCUUGUGGGCUUCAAGUCCUUGGUGACCCUCCGACAGCCAAGGAAACGACAACCCACUUCUGAGAUCGGAAGCUAGCGUAUGGAGACGGCGUGUCGGAGAUUGUCUUGACGGUGGAUUCGAGCUGUGGCAUCUGAAUCUUCUUGAAACCGGUACCUGGCUGACUUGCAGAGCCACCAUCGCAAAGAAGAAGAAUCCGAAAAGCCCAAACCUUAUCUUUUUCUCCUAUAACGAUGUCGUUUUAGUGAAUUGCUUUUACGUUCUCAAACGUCCAUGUCAAAAUUCAAUUAAACCCAACAAUAUUCAUCACAAUUUACAUCAUUUCAUGGUAGAAACGUUGCAAUUAAAAUUGUGCAUAUUAUUGUAUAAAAAUAUCUCGAAAAAAAUUUAUUCUUUUGUUUUUGGUCAAAGAACUAAUUUCAUUAAAGAUAAAACAAAUUAAAGUAUCGUUUGCUAAAAACACACUAAAGUAAAAGUGCAGUCUUUUACAAAAGUAAAGUAAGGAAACAAGCCCCAAAAGUAAGGUAAAAUUUAUUCAUUUUGAUGUCGUUUAGUCAUGCAAAUUAAAUGAAUAUUUUUAAAAUAGUGGUGUUAUCAACACUUUUUUUUUUAGAAAAAUUAAUGAAAAAUGUUUGAAAACUUGAGUUUUUACGAAAAUGACAAAAUAAAGGGUAAAGUAAAUAGUACCAGAAUUGACUUUUUAGUGUAAAAAUAUAAUUUUUCGUUAAAGUGAAUAGUAUCAUGAGUUUUUGUUAAAGUUUUUUUUUUUUUACUUUAACACAUCUUUACUAAUUUCUAUCCUUUAAAAUAAUGUUUUUUUUUUGGGGGAAAACUUAAAAUAGUGUUUUUUAGCCAAAUUAGAACUGCAUAAGUAAACCUAAUACAUCAAAUUAACAAUGCAAUUGCUAUAACUUUACUUUUUGCAUAUCUCAAAACAUUCAACGCACACAUUAAAAUCCCACGUGACUCACUCAUAAGGCGAGGUUGAGAAGACUCGCUAGACACGUAGCUUGCCACUUCAAGAGUAAUUGCAAUGUUUGAGUCCCACUAAAAUAAAAUAAACAAUAAAACUCGAAAUUAAAAUUAAAUUUCUCCCUAUUCCAACCUUCUCUCUCCGAUAAAAUGCAAAUGCCUUUAACUUAUCAUUCUAAUUGCACAAUGUAAAAGAUAAUAUCGAAUGUAAAGAUUUACAUUUUUUUACAGUGCGAUAUUAUACACUAGUUUAAUUAUAUAGAGCAUCCAAUUCGACAUUACAUGUGAUAUUAAGUCUGAUUCUACAGAAGAAAAAUCUCACAGCGGGACAAAUUUUUAAAAGCCACAGAUACUUUAAAUAAACAAUGAAGUCUUUAUGUAUUGUGUGAUGUAUUAGUGGUGGUUUUUAUCAUUCAAGCAAUAAUGAUCCACUAGCCUCCAUGCGCGCUCAUGCACGUGCAUAAAGUAUCACGGUAUGCUAUAUGAGAUUUACACGUUUUAAAUGUAUUUAUAUGCGUAAAUUGAUAAAAAGAAAGUCAAAUAUUUGAGAUAAAUGAAUAAUUUUAAAUCAUGCUAGAAGAAACCCCUCAUAAACCAAUUAAAGCUGAAUCUACAUAAUAUUUAAUAAAUAACUUAUUGAAUCACAUUAUUGCUAGCUCAUUGUGAGGCUAAGCACACCCUCUCCCUUUCAUUUAGAUAAUCUUGUUUGUUUAAAAAAAUCAUUUUACAACUAAUUUGAUCACAUUAUUAUUCACGUGUGAAAGACUUUUUUUAUAACUGGCAUUACACGCCUCUUUAGAUGUUUUGAACGUGUUUAAAAAUAUAGAAAAGAAUAUUGAAUGAACAACUGAUUGAAUCACAUUAUUGCUAGCCUAUUGUGAGGUACUUAUUAAAAAAAACAGUACAAAAAAUUAAUUAUUAAAAAAACACUACUAAAAUGAUGAAAAUACCAUGCCACAUUUGAUGUCUUAUUUUGGGUUGCUUUUGAAGUUUUUUGUUUGAGGGGCAUUUUUGUCCAAUUAUUUUUUGUUGAAGCUUGUGACACCAAAAAAACAGUAUUCACUUUAUUGUUGGCUUUUUAUGUAGAUACUUUUAAGUUUUAUACGUAGUAUACUCACGUGAGCUGGUUAGAUUAGUCAUAAAUGGGUGAUUAGCCACUAACAGAUUUGGACCUACGUCGUCAUGCAAUGCUUAACACCUUUCUACCAUUAUGAGAAAGUGGCUAAUCACACCGAUGAGUCAUUAGCCACCGACGGGUUCAGACUCACGACGUCAUGUAAGAGCUUAAUACCUUUUUGUUAUUAUGGUAAAGGACCACUACCACGCGAGCUGGUUGGAUAUAUACAGAAGGGUCCUUUCAGCCUUGAGACCAUGAAUUUCCCCAUUAGGCUUGGCGCCAGACAAAGGAAAAAUGGAAAGUAAAGAAGAGAGAAAAAUAAGAAAAGGAAAAGAAGGUGAUGGUGGAAUUGCCGGACAAAGAAAAAAUGGAAAGUAAAGAAGAGAGAAUAAAAAAGAAAAGGAAAAGAAGGUGAUGGUGGAAUUGCAGAAAGAAAUAAAGGAAAAGGAAAGAGGGAGUCCAUGUGAAGAAAAGGCAGAAGAAGAAAGAAAACAAAGAGAAAAAAAAAAAGAUGAAUGAGGAUCAUAGCCGUUAUUAGGAUUCUGGAAAUCCUUCAAUCACAUCUAUUCAAUUUAUAUUGUAUGGUCAGAACUUAUUGUAAAUUUUUUAUUUAAAAUUAAUAUAAAUAAUGUCUGACAAAAGCUAAUUGCAUAAUGUAUGAUAAACAAAUGUGAUUAGAGAAUUUAUAGAAUCCUUACAAAUAUGAUCCGACGGGGACCUCCUCUAAAAAAAGAUGGUGAAAGUUGAGACAGGAAAGAAAAAGAAAGAGGUAAAAGAAAGGGAAAAAAACAAUGGUGGUGUCUGGCAUGCAAAUACAGAAGUAGAAAAGUGAUGAGAUUGUGUAGAAAAAGUGGAAGAAAGAAAAAAAAAAGGAGUGGAAUGAAAGUGGGGAGUGUGGCUCUUUACCACAAUGAUGAAAAAGUUAUGCGUCUUUGUAUUUCUACGUGAAUUCAAAUCUAGUUGGCUCCUCCAAGGUUGUGUGUCCUUGCAUUUCGGCGUGAGUUUGAAACAUCAACCAAAUUAUGAAAUGAAUGAAAACAAGUAUGUAUUCCAUUAGAACCAACCUCUGGGUGAUCUUCCUUGUCAAAAUUCCAACACGCCAUUAACAGUCAUUAACUUAGUCAGCAUAUGUAAUGAAGAGCUGAAAAAGUGGUUGGGAUUCUUUACUAAAUCAGGUUUUUGUGACAAACAUAAGAUUGAAGUUCCUAACAUGAAUGACAUGUUUCAAACUGUAGGGAUAAAAUAACUUCGGCGGGGACAUAUAUGCAUCAUUAUCAUGUUGAGAUGUUUUGUAAUGUUAUUGAUAUGCAACUCCAAGAGCUAAAUAUUCAUUUCACUGAGACGAAUAUUGAGUUGCUUUUUUGUGCGACAUGUAUGAAUCCAAGCUAUAUUUAUUCUCUACUUUUGACAAACAAAAGUUGAUUCGUGGCUUGCUCAGUAUACUUGAAUGACUUUUCGGCACUUGACUUGAUGAUACUGUUUUUUUUUUAAGGGACUUUUUGGCACUUGAUGAUACUUGAAAAUCAGCUUAAGAUGCACAUUAUGGACAUGAGCUCUAACAUUGAGUUUUCAGGAUUGAAUGGGAUUGCGGAUCUUGCACAAAAAAUGGUUGAGACAAAAUAAGAAACUGUUUACCCAUUAGUUUACUUGUUGUUGACAUUGUCACUCAUGUUACCAGUUGCAUCUCUCAGUGUAGAGGGCGUUUUGUGCUAUGAGGAUUGUAAACAAUUGGUUACUCAAUCAAAUGGAAGAUCAAAGGACAUAUGAUUGUUGGAUUGCCUAUAUUGAGAAAGACAUUCUCGAAGGUAUCAAACAUGAUGUAACUAAGCAACGAUUUCAUAAUAUAAAAACUCGUCCAUGGCAAAUAUCAUUGUAACUAAUGGAUAUUAUCAAUCAAUGCUGAUUUGUUGUCCUAGAAUGGGCUUCAGUUUUAUUUUUCCUUAUAUAGUUAAAAUAUUGUUAGUAUAGAUAUGUGUCUUUGCAGGUUCGAGGAUGACCCCUUUAAUUUUAACAGGUUCGAGGAUGAUCGCUUGCUCAAGAAACAAUGACUGCAGAACAUUGGAGUUACAGGUGAGUGUUGAGAAGUAAUGUACUUGAAUGGAUGACCAUAGGCUGCAUUUUGCAGUUAGUAUUUGGCAUGAUAUGUCGUUUUGUAUCGGAAAAUUAUAGAGCUAUACAGUUGAACUGAAUUUCAAUUGAAUUUGUGCGUUUUACGUUGAUUAGUUUGCUCACGAUCUUCAUUCAACACUUGUAGAGAUGGCAAAGGAUCAUUCUGAAAUCUUUUGUCUCUUUAUUUCAGUUGCUAAUUUGGCAAAAUGAUGCACCAAGCCAAGGUUUGAACGAACUGAAUCCUUUGGUUAUCUAAUUUAUAUGCUGAAAUGAUGUACCAAACCAAACUGUAUAUUCUAAUUGGUGAGGUAACAUAAUAUGUCCUCCUUGUCAAUGAUAGCAUUCAACAUUCAAAUUCUCUAACAAGUUUGUGACAACCCAUUCUGACUUUAUCAAAUUUUAAUUUCGAAAGGUGAGAAUUGACUAAAAUGCCCCUGUUGGGUUCAGCUUAUACACGGACUUUUGAGCCAGUGCUUAAUUUGUCUCAUUUCUUAGUAUAUCGGGAUAGUAAUCGACGUUAUAAAUGCAUGAGUGCAAACUAGAUCCAAAUUGGAUUUGUAACAAAGAAACUACACUCGUUUAAUAAACGGGUAAAUAUGUACACAAAAUUGUAUGAAAUUCAUAUUUCUAGGUAAUCAAAACCUAAUAAUUUCACAAACCAAGUUUGGAAUAAAAAAAAAAAUUCUAAGGAAAAGAGAUUAAAAAUGGAAACUUUGAAUAUUAUUAAAAAAAAUGACAACUAACGAAAAGUUCAAAAAAAAUUCUCACUUAAUGAAAAACUCUUUUUAAAGGUAUAGUGAAUAGUGUCAAUUAAAUGUAAAAAUGUAAUUUUUCGUAAAAAAUAAACAGUACCUGAGUGUUUUGUUAAAACUCCCUUAAAAAAAACCCAACAAUUUUGUUCAAGAAAAAUAGAAAGAUAGGAAAAAAUCUUUACCUUCCAGAACAUUGAAGUGUGUUUGGAUCAAAUGAGAGAAUCAAAUUGUUAAAUUCAAAUAUCUAAGCGGAUCUGUGUGAAUUUUGUAAGUUAUUUACAAGUUGAGGUCGGUGCCGUUUCUUAUUGUUGGCGAAGUGAAUUUUGUAAGGGGAGGAGUCGCAGAAGGUGGGAUAGAGACGACGGAGGGGGACCUGGGUUCUCUGUGGAGGGAGGUAUGGAGCCGUUGCUGAUCUCGGUCUUCUUGGAUUCGGGUUCGUUGGGGAGUUUGGGUGUGGUGGGUGGGUGAAAAUGGAGGGUUUGAUUUCUGUGAAGACGUUGGUUCUGGAUGUGGUGGGUGGGUGAAAAUGGCGGUUUGGGGAGUUUGGGAGUGGGUUGUCGGGAGGAGAAGUGGGUGUGGGAUAUAGUUGGCCGGAGAAGAUAGAGGCGACAAGGUGGGUACUUUGAAGAAGAUGGAGGUGGGUGGGACGCGGAGGAGAGAAGAGGGGGAGAUCGAACUCUUCUUAUCGGAGGAAGACGAUUGGGCCCAGAUUUCUAAAUUUUUUAUUAUUUUUAUUAUUAUUCUAAUUUUUUUAAAUAUCCAUGUGGACAUAUUGACUCGUAGCCUUAUGUCAUUGUUCAUGCAGGUGUCAUGUCAUAAAUUAACGGUUAAUUUAACAGUAAUCCUAACGGAUAUAUGAAAAUAUUCUACAAUUAUGACUUCAUGUAUCACUUUGGGAUAAAAAAAAUUUGAUGUACUAAAUGUUGAAAACUAAGAAACGUAAAUUGAGAUUAACCCUUAAAUUAAUGUAAAAUAUCGUUUUAUGAGUGAGUCACGAGAGCAAAUCCCUCGUGAGAAUGUGUGCGUUGAAUGUAUUGAGAUAUGCAAAAAGUAAAAUUAUAGCAGUUGCAUUGUUAAUUUGAUGCAUUGAGUUUACUUAUGCAGUUUUAGUUUGGCUAAAAAAUAUUAUUUUGAAGGAUAAAAAUUAGCAAAAAUGUGUUAAAAGUAAAUAAAAAAAAUUGUUGAUAUCACCACUAUUUUAAAAUCAUUCAUUCAAUUUGCAUGACUAAACGAUCUCAAAAUAAAUAAAUUUUACUUUACUUAGACUUGUUUCCUUACUUUACUUUUGGAAAAGACCGCACUUUCACUUUAGUGUGCUUUUGGCAAACGAUACUUUAACGUGUUUUGUCUUUAAUGAGACUAGUUGUUUGAUCGAAAACAAAAGAAUAAAUUUUAGAGAUAUUUUUACACAAUAAUAAAAAAAAUGCGCAACUCUAAUUGCGAUGCUUCUACCGUGAAAUGAAGUUGUAAUGCCGUGUGAGAGUGAGGAUGGCUCGAGCCAUGUAUUGUCAUUUGAAAAUUUGGAGUUCGUAAGCAAUGCAUCUAUUACUUUUUCACUUUAUCUGUGACAUCCCACAUCGCUUAAAUAUAUAUUUUCAUCUCUACCUAGUACGAGGCAUUUUGGGAACUCACUCGGAAUCCGAAGUUAAGCGAGUAGCACACGAGAGCAUUCCCAUGAUGGGUGACCCAUUGGGAAGUUGCUCGUGAGGUCCCAAAAACAAAACCGUGAGGGAAUGGUAAGCCCAAAGCGGACAAUAUCGUGCUACGGUGGUGGAGCGGGGCCAGGAAGUGAUCCGUCCCGAGCCGGAAUGUGACAAAUGGUAUCAGAGCCAAUCCCUACCCAGAAGUGUGCCGACGAGGACGUCGGGCCCCUAAGGGGGUGGAUUGUGACAUCCCAUCGCUCAGGAGAGUGAUCCUUAAAUGUAUAUUCUCAUACCUAAUAGCAUGAGGCAUUUUGGAAGCUUACUGGUUUUAGGUUCUAUCGGAACUUCGAAGUUAAGCGAGUAGCGCGCGAGAGCAAUCACAUGAUGGGUGACCCACUGAGAAAUUGCUCGUGAGUUUCCAAAAACAAAACCGUGAGGGAAUGGUAAGCCCAAAAUUGACAAUAUCGUGCUACGAUGGUAGAGCGGACUUGAGAAGUGAUUCACCCUGGACCGGGAUGUGACAUUAUCUAUUUCUUAUUAAAGAGAAUACAAAAUGACAAAACUGAUCUUGUUGGGUUUAAUGAAAUUUUACAUAGAAGUUUGAGCCAGUACUUAAUUCGUCUCAUUUUUUUAUUGUAUUUAGAUAUUAUUUGUCAUUGUAUGAACGCAUAAACACAAACUAGAUCCAAAUCAAACUUGUAACGAUUUAAAGUAUUGGCUUUUAAAAAUUUGUCCCGUAGUGAGAUUUUUCUUCCGUUAGAUCAGGCUUUUGCUUUACGGAAAGUCACCCCACCUAUCAAUUGCACUAUGCUUUUUCUCUCUUUCUCUCAGUGUUCUCCUCCCACUCUGUAACAUCUCUCUCACUCACUCAACCCUCUCUUUCUCCCUCUCAAACUCUCCCGUCCUCUCUUCUCUCUGUAACGCAGCGAAAGUCACCAAACCUCGACGAAUCAACGCUCAAACCACCACCACGUCCACCCUCUUGACCUCGCGAGCUCGAACCCGAACUCCGUUUCGUAGGAAACAGAGCCUAGAGGCUCUAGCUCGAAGCUCCGACGAGAAAGAAACUUCCCGACGAAGUUCCCGACACUUUUCCGACCACUCCAUACCGUUUUCGAAGAGUUGGAAGCCACCACACAACUCCCUAACAUCCAUGGGUCAAGUUUGAGGUAAUCCCCAACUCAAAAACCCACGGUUUCGAAGCUUUGGGUUUUUGGGCGAGACUUUCAGGCCAAUUUCAGUACAUUUACGUCUGCUUUUUGGAGUUCCAAGAGGUAUAAACUUGUUCCUUGUGCUUCAUUUCCAUAUAAAGAACGUAAAAAAUGGUUGAGAAAUGAGCAAGUUAUGGCCCUUUGAAAUUGUCCACAGUUUCCGUCGAUUUCAGGGACCUUCCGGCCUGUUUCUGGCUAAAUGACGGCGAGUUAGCCGUUGCUAUGGGUACCAAUCUGUUCGUCUCAUUCCGAGGCAUCAUUUCCAUUCUGAAUCACUCAAUUUGGUUGAGAUAUGUGGAAGUUAUGAUGAUUUAAAAAUGUCCCAGAAAACCGACGUGAAACUGCAUAAUCCGGUGACCCGCGACCGGAACCUGGUAAAAAGUAAAUGCAAAAAACGCAGUUCUAAAACAACUAAACACAUAAUUGCAUAUCAUUCCUAAAACACAGAGAAAUUUGUGAGAGUGGCCUAAAUAGAAAGAAAUGGAUAUGAAAUGAAGUUCCUUUUGAAACAUUGGUCCUGUGGGGUUUAAAAAGAACACGGGUGUUCUUUCGUCGAGUGCUACCACUCUCAUCAUUAACAUUGUCACUCUAGACAUUAUCACAAUUCUCAACGCAAAGUAAAGCCUUGUAGAAUUCCUUGGAUGUCGUACAUGGUGUAGAUGCUGCCAAGAAACAAAACUGCUUGCGGAUAUGUUAUUUGAACUGGUGGAGCCUUCUUGAAUAGUUGGUAUCGAUUGUUGGACAAUAGCAGGACAAUUCGUUGAACUUCCGAUGGUACUUAGCUACUGAUAUUUUGCCUUGUGUAGGUCCAUGAACUCGUCUUUUUUUUCUUUCCCGGGUCUUAUACUCCGCAUGUGUAAGAUUAUCUUACAUUGCCGGCCCCAAGCCCGGAUAAAGAAGGAGGGGGAGGGCGUUAGGUAGUUGAUAGCCGGUACUCCUAUUUUACGUCGAACCUUAUGAUAAUGAAUCCUGAAUGAAAUUGCUCUAAAGCUAGGUCGUCACUCGUAAGUGGUGCGUUGUGUCCCGAGCACAGUGAUAAGUGAGCAAGGGUCGCUGUAUCUCCACUGGUGCCCGGAUGCAGUGUUAAAUGAGCAAUAGAGCCAUAAUAACUCCUUUUUGAACGACUCCACUCAAAGUUGUUUGGAAGCAUCUGCUUCUAUCAACUUUGACCUUAUUAGACGGGGGAUGGUGAAGAAGCUAGGACAAGAGGGUAGAGUUCAAGCGAGUAGAAUGCGUUUAGGAACGUGGAACAUAGGAACCUUAACGGGAAAAUCUAUGGAAAUAGUGAAAGUUAUGGUGAGGAGAAGGAUAAGUAUUAUGUGCCUACAAGAAACUAUGUGGGUUGGUCUUAAGGCAAAGGAUCUUGAAAACUCAGGUUUUAAACUUUGGUCUUCGGGCAAAUAGAACAAGAAAUGAUGUUAGCAUUAUCGUGGGGUAGGAAAUAGAAUUAUGGCAAUCAAGAUUGUAAUAGGACAAGAACUCAUCAAUGUGAUUAGUGUGUACACACCUCAAGUAAGGUUGGAACGAGUUUGAAGGAGAAAUUUUGGGAAGAUCUUAGAAACUUGGUGCAAUGAAUCACUUAGACGGAGAAUGUAUUUAUAGGAGGAGAUUUAAAUGGACACGUGGGUAAGAGGAUAGGCCAUGGUUUUGGGAAGAGAAAUGAGGAUGAGGAAGUCAUCUUGGAUUUUGCAGUGGCAUACAAUCUCUUCUUAGCCAACACUUUCUUUAAGAAGAGAGAAGAACAUGUGGUAACCUACAAGAAUGAGUUAUCAAAAACACAAAUAGAUUUUCUUCUAACGAGGAAGGGGGAUCAUAUAACUUGUAGAAUUGCAAAGUUAUACCGGGAGAGUGUUUGGCUAAUCAACAUCGCUUGUUGGUGAUGGAUGUACAUAUCAAAAGAGAGAGUAAAAAGAACAAGACCUUGAAGUGUCCAAGGACUAGAAGGUGGAAUCUAAAAAGAGAAAGACAAGUCAUUUUCAAAGAGGAAAUAAUCACCCAAUGCGUGUGGAUAGAGAGGGGGAAUAUGGGCCCACAUAGAUAUUAAAAAUUACAUGUCCUUAGUUCACCCAAAUUGCAUAUCCCACAAACCAGAAGAUCCAAAACUUCAAACAUCAAGAAGCCGAAUUUCAUAUGUUAAUAUAGAAUAAAAUAAAGGAAAUUCUUACCUUCGAAUUAUCAGAGACAGAGGACUGCCACUACUGUUAUUGUGAGACAAAGGAGUGAAAUCAAUCAAUGAUUCAGUGGAACUUCUUCAGGGCAAAUUUUGUAAUUUUUAUUUUUUGGGAAAACAAAUAGUACAAGGAGUGAAAGGAAAAAGAACCUCAAAGGAGGAAGCAUCAAUGAAGCACAUAUGGAUUAAAAAAUUGGUUUUUCCUCCAAAACCCAGAUGGAAAUUCAAUAUUCAGAAGAGAAAAUCACCAAAAGGGAGAAAAAAUGAGGGUUUUUCUUAAUCCCCAAAUGGAGAAAAAGUUUUUUCUAAUAUUUUCUUAGUACCAAGAAUUUCGAGCCCGACCGGCGAGCGAGCAGUGUAAGCCCCCCCGAACCGUACUGCAUUGAAUUGGAGUGGCUGUGACUCGGCGUCAUGGAUCGGACCCACGUCCACCUCCCGAGUUGUAAAACGAGGAGGCCGAGAGCCAGCAGGAGCGCGGAAUGAUCCGACCGUUGAUCAACGAAGAAGAAGAAGAGGUUGAGGAAUAGGUCCACUAGUCGGGCUCGGCGGGGACGGAGUUGAGGAGGAGGGAGCACUGGGAGGCAGGGGUGGAAGGCAGGCCAGGUGAGGAGGAUGAGGGGCUUGGAUUUGGAGGGUUUGAAUUUGGGCGAUGGUGGUGAGGAAGGCGACUAUGAGGAAGACAAUAGGGUUUGGGAUUUUUCUUUUUUAUAAAUUUUUAUUAGCAUUUUUAUAUUUCUAUAUUUUAUUAAUAUUCAUGUCGGCCUAUAUUAACAUGUGGCGUCUAGUUAUUGUUCACAUAAGCGGCAUGUCAUCAGUUAAAAUAGAUUCUAAUGGAAAUCUAAACAGAUAUAUGAAAGUGUAACUUUAAGUACCAGAUUGGAACGAAAAAAACUUAAUGUAUGAAAUGUUGAAAACCAAGAAACUUCUAGAUAGUAAAUUGAGUUUAACCCUUUAAGCACACAAUUUUUUUUUUUUCAUAAAAUAAAAAUACAACCUAGAUUUAAACAGGACAAAAAUAUAUGAUUAUUAAUGUUGUGUUGGGGUGCUUCUUUGGUUUAGGCAUCAGAGCACUGAGCGCGGGACUUACAAAAGCCACCAACAAAGAGAAGCAUUCCAGCCGUAGUCCUUGAUUUCAGAAGGAAAUGGAAAUUAUAAUUGCAAUUGCCUCAAAAGUUGGAGAGUGCUUGGUCACACCAAUAGGAACAGAGUUUGGCUAUUUGAUUAAUUACCAUUCCAACCUGGAAAAUCUUAAGGGUGAGAUAAAAAAGCUUUUUGACAAGAAAGAUGGAGUGCAAGGAUUGGUAGAUGCUGCCCAAAGGAACAGUGAAAGUAUCAAACCUGAUGUUCAGAGUUGGCUAAAGAAUGUGAACAACAUGAUCCAGAAAGUGUUACAUUUUGAGGAUGAAAUUAACAAGAAAAGGCGAUGUAUGAAUCGAUGGAGCUUGAGUCGGAAAGCCUAUAAGAUUACACAACAUGUUCUUCAGCUCCAAAACGAAGGAACAUUUGAAAAUGUGGCCCAUCCUGCACCUCCACGAGGGAUAUGGUCAAAAUUCAAGAAAGGUUUCAAGGACUUUAAGUCCAGAACGGCAUACAUGAAUGAGGUGAUAGAGGGUUUGAAGAGGGAACAAGUACGAAUGAUCGGGAUUUGUGGAAUGGGGGGUGUGGGUAAAACGACAAUGGCGAAAGAAAUCAUCACAAGAUUGGCAAAACUGAACCUGUUUGAUAAUAUUGUAAUGGCAACUGUGUCUCAAAGUCCAAGUAUUAGCAAGAUCCAGUCGGAAAUUGCAGACCAAAUAGGUUUGGAAUUGAAGGAGGAAUCCGAGUCCGGAAGAGCAAUAAAGCUGCAUGGGAAACUCAUGGAAAUAAAGAUCCUGAUUGUAUUAGAUGAUGUCUGGACAUAGCUUGAUUUUGAGGCUAUAGGACUCCCUUCUGGAGAUGCUCACAAGGGGUGCAAAGUUUUGUUGACAUCACGAGAUUGGGAAGUCUGCAACAGGAUGGGAAGUCAACCAAUUAUUGAAGUCCCGACUUUAACAACAGAAGAAUCACAUGACCUCUUUAAAGAAAUGGUAGGUGAAUCCUUCGAUGAGCCUGAUUUACGUUCCAUUGCAAAAGAGGUCGUUUAUGAAUGUGGAGGUUUACCUAUAGUCAGAAUCACAGAGGAAAAUGAAGAAGAGGCGACAAAAUACAUGAUUUUGUUUCUAAAACUGAACACAUUUGAACUAGAAAACCUGCCUCGUCUCACAAGUCUUUGUCCAGAGGGAUUUACAUUUCUAUGGUCAUCCACAAAAAAUAUGUACGUACGAAAAUGUGGAUCAUUGAAGACAUUGGGUGCUGUAAUUCCACAAAGAAAGAAGUUGGAGAAUAACUUGAAGAAGGAUUCAACAAGUCAUGAUUUCAGCACUUCUCCAACACGUUCAUCAAAUUGGUGCCCUGCUGGAUGUGGAUGCGCACCAUAUUCAAGACCAAACGCCCACCGCCCCAUUGAAAUAUUGCCAUGUCCAAUUAACCUGGAGGUAAGCUUUUAAAUCAGGUUCAAUUAACCUCUAUAAGUACAACUUUUAAUUAGUAUUGUAUCAUCUUGUUGAUCGUGUUUAAUUUCCUAGGUUACACCAACUAAUCUUGAGGACUCAAAUGAUGAUGAUAAUCUCGCAAAUCUUCGUGUCCAUGACUGUGCAUCAUUGGAAGUGAUUUUCCAACUAAAGGGGCCGAAGCAUGAAGAAAGUAGUCACUCCGUUGAAGCAUUCAAUAAAUUGAGGUCCUUGCGGUUAGAUAUUUUGCCAAGUUUAACGCGUGUUUGGGAGACGGGUAGUUCACAACCGAUGUUGACAGGAAGCAGCUUCGGAAACUUGAAAUCGCUGCGGGUCUUUGAUUGCGACCAGUUGAAAUACUUGUUUUCAUCGUCCAUUGUCAAACUUCUCGUGAGUAUGGAGGACAUAAAAGUUCAGAAGUGUGAGCAGAUGGAAGAAAUCGUUGCCGCAGAAGAAGAAACUGAUGAAACAAUUACAUUACCUAAAGUGAAGUCCAUCAAGCUUGAAAGUCUGCCAAAACUCAAGUAUUUUUGUGGUGAAGCUUAUACUUUGAAGUUGCCGUCUUUGGAGUUAUUGGAGGUUGAUGACGUGCAAAACUUAAGCCUAUUAGCUCCAAAGCUUAUUGCCACACAUCCCUGAUUGCAAGUAAACACCGCGUUGGGACUGGCUGAAUGGAAGGGGGACCUAAACGCCACUCUUACGGAAUAUUUACAUCACAAGGUAUGCUUUAAUAUAAGGUUUCUAAUUUUCAAUCGCUUAUGCGUGCAUGUUUAAAGAUGUUUUUUUUUUUCAACAUCUCUCUUUUAAAUCUUGAUGUAUACGUGGAAUUUCUGAAGUUUUUACAAAAGACUAUAUAAUAGCAUUAUAUUAAUGUAUAUGUGUGUGUGUAUGCGAGUAUGUGCACACUAAAGUGUAUUUAAAUAUAUAUAUAUAUAUAUAUAUAUAUAUAUAUAUAUAUAUAUAUAUAUAUAAUUUUAGAAAACUCAAUUAUAUCUCAAGAAAACAUCGUCUUUUAUUUCUAAUACAGUACGGAUGAAGAUAACGAAAUCGAUGGCAAGGAUGACGAUGACAAAAUCGACGGCAAGGAUGAAGAUGACGAAACCAACAGGGAGGACGAACACAGUUGAUUGAUCAAGCACAAAGGUUAGCAUGUUUCCAUCUCCAACUUCUUCUAGGUUUAGUAAAAACUUAUGAAAAUUAUAUAUAUAGUACUCAAAAAAGUAUUCUACCAUGUUUUAUAAUAUAUACAUACAUGUAUAGCACUUGAAAAAUUGAACAGUUUGGAUCUAAAACCACAAUCUGCUACCUGAUUCAUUUUUUCGAGGUACCUAAUAGCAGUUAAGGUGUGAGGAAGAAGCUUUUUAGAUUACCAACUGCCUCAAGAGAAACCUUUAUCAGAAACACAUAUACAAUAAACAUAACCGUAGUGCUAAGUGGCCUAAAAAUUAAUUUAUCCUUAAACCGCUAUUUUUGGAAACACAUAUACAAUAAGCAUAACCGUUUGAUUUCUAAUAUUCUCCAAUGCAUGCAGGAAAAGAGUUUAAAGAACGUUGUGGCUCCAGCAAUUCGUUUACCAUAUCAUAUGCACAAACCAAUAAAAGGACAUUUGUUGCACCAGAAUUUCAUUCCAAAAAUACUAUUUAUGUUGCUUAUUUUAUGUACCAUAAAUUUCGAUUGCGAUUAUUACUGUUUGUUUCUAAAUUCGCAUCAUUAGUAUUUGCUUAUUUGUGCUCGAGGUUGAUUAUACACGUGUAAGCUGAAUCACAUGUUUGUAGAAUGGACAAGCUGAAUAAAAUCUGUUUGCCCCCUAAAUGUAAUGGAAAUCAUAUGUAUCUAGGCAUGCUUAAUAUUUGAUAAAGAAAAACAUUUCUCAAAUAAAUGUCCACUCACACCUCCGGCAAGCUCGCCCUUGAGGAGCCUUGUCUACCAAAUAGGUAAACAUCUACUGGACAGCAGGCGAUUCAAAACCAUAGCAAACUGCUGAAUACAACUAGAGUAAACAAGGAAUCAGGCUAUGCAAUUGCCAUCAUCAUAACAUGAUUUUGGCCCCCAUCUUCUAAUUUCCUACCACAUUUUCACAUUCUUUCCAUGAAUUUUAUGAUUCCUAUGCAACAGAGUUCAUUCAUCGCCUAUUCACAACAAUACAAGGUUCUACAGAGUUCAAUCCCACACCAUGUUAUAGACAUGCUUCAACUAUCAACCGGGAACGUAAUCGUUAGGGGUUUCAACAAUUUCACAGAUACAACAAUUACUAUAAGUCUCAUCUCCAACAUUCAUACAGAAAAUCGAAUAAAAUUCGAAAUCAAGAAUCAAACCCAAAACUGAAAGUUGAAAAUUUGGAAAAAGAACUUACAUUGGAGAACAGCCCACGAGAAGAGUAUCAUUUCUACCUCUUGGGUCGAGGUCCAAUUCCCGCGAUAUUGGCCGGAAACCCCUGGGUCACCGUUUCUUAGAUUUGAAGUUGAGGAAAAUCGCCUACGAAAUUAUAGAAACUAACUUGGGGGAUUGGAUAAGGGACGGCAAGAGCAUUCUGGAUGUGUAGUUUGAGAGCUUUUGGUGACCAGUGGACGACAGAGCUGUUGCGUCGGCACUCGGCAGUCUUCGGCUUGCUGUUAAAUGGGGCUCCAGGAGUCGCAGCGCAAAAGAGAAGGAGGAGAGAGGAUACGGGAGGAGGAGAGAAAAUGGGUUUCUCCCACCUUUUACAUUAAUUCUUUUCCACAUUUUUUAAUGUAAUAAACGAUAAUAUAUAUCAUCAAAAGCGUGUUUGGUACGUGAGAUGAGAAUGAACGUGUUUUAAUGAUAAUAAUGACUAGAAGUAAUAUAGUUAAAAUUCGUUUUUGGUGAUAAUCGAAUAUCAGAUUUCUUAUCUACAAGUUACAAAUAAAAAUGAAUAUCAUUAUUUUUUUUUCACUUUUAAUACACACGUAAAUAAAAAGAAACAAAAUGAAAAUGAAAAGAAAUAAAAUAAUUUGAAAUAGAAAUGAAAAAUAAAGGUAAAUUGACAACAUAAGGUAAUCAGCCAUGGUAAUACAAAAUUAUUAUACUAUCCUUAAACAUUGUAGUGCCAUGGAAUCUUCAUUUUAGCUCUGAAUUUCCUUCUGCAUACGCUCACGCGUUCAUAUUGAUGAGCACUACGAGAAAAUAUUAAGAUGAUAGGUCAUACUCAUACGUUCGUUUUUGUUGAGAAUUUUUUUGAAGGAUUUUGCAAUAUGGCAGCCAUGAUUUGCAAAGCCCACCAUCGUAGAACUCGAUAUCGGCCUGACUUGUGGAGCCACCAUCGCAAAGAAGAACCUGGAAAGCUCAAUCCUUGUCUUUUUCUUAUAUAAGUGUCAUUUUGGUGAACCAAAUGUUCCGAUUCCAACAUCCAAAAUACCACAAUGUGAUUUUUUUCAUACUACAAUUGGAUUGCAUCUUAAAAUUAUGAAGUCUUGGAGCAUUGGUCAUGCCAUCAUGCUGAUUUGUGUUGGAUUUCGUUAGAGAUCGUAAUUAAUCAAUCACCCUUUUUGUGUCUCCCUUCAAAAGCUCAAAUUGAAAUCUGAACUCCCUAGCAAAUAAGAGCCCAAUUUGACAACCAAAAUCUUCAUCGUUCGAGCAUCAAUGUUCUCUUAAAUUCACUACGAGCAAACCGCCAUGAAAUCUCCUUCAUGGACAUCUCAUAAAAUUAGAACGAUACAAAGAAGAUUAGUGUGACUCCUAAGCUAGGAUUACACGUAUGAAUCGUAAAAUAGUUCCUCCUCCGCUCUUUGAUUCUCUCUUUCACUGGCUAACAAUAUUUUGCUCUACCUUUUCACCCUAAGUAAGAAAUGAGCAUUUUGUUAGCAUCUUUUUGAAAAUUCAAAUUUGAUCCUAAUAUAUCUCUUUUGCACUAUUUGACUGAACAACAAAUUUUGAUUGUCUAAAUAUUUAUAUCAAACUACAAAUAAUAUUGAUAUUAUAUAUUUAUAAUGUGACUGAAAUUGUAGUACCCAACAUAUCUAUCUUGAAAUAAAUUUUGUUGUCUAUGAAGUGGCCAACUCGACCCUCUCCUAUACUCUUUGAGUUUGUAUAAAUAUAUCAUUGUUUAACAAUUGACAUUCAGUACUGUGAUUUAGUGAUAUUCAUUAUCAUGUUCGAAUCUUAGGAGUAACGAGUUUGUGUAAAUAUAUCAUUGUAUUAAAGAAAAACAAAAAAAUAAAAAAUAAAACAAAAUAUUUUUUUUUUUGGUCGGACAAAAACACGAAAAUGCCCUUAAAGCCCAAAGUGACCCCACUACCCUGCCGCUGCCUGCAAGUUCCUUCCUCGCCCCUGUUUCUACGUCCAAUUAAUUAAUUUGGAGGUAAGCUUUUAAAUCAGGUUCAAUUAACCUCUAUAAGUACAUCUUUUAAUUAGUAUUGUAUCAUCUUGUUGAUCGUGUUUAAUUUUCUAGGUUGCACAACCUAAUCUUGAGGACUCAAAUGAUGAUGAUAAUCUCGAAAAUCUUACUCUAAUUAACUGUAAUUCGAUGGAAGUGAUUUUUCAACUAAAGGGACCGGAGCAUGAAGAAAGUAGUCAAUCCGUUGAAGCAUUCAAUAAAUUGAGGUCCUUGCGGUUAGAUAUAUUGCCAAGUUUAACGCGUGUUUGGGAGACGGGUAGUUCACAACCGAUGUUCACAGGAAGCAGCUUCGGAAACUUGAAAUCGCUGCGGCUCGUUGCACCGAUGAAAUAAUUACAUUACCUAAAGUGAAGUCCAUCAAUCUUAAAUGUCGGCCAAAACUCAAGUAUUUUUAUGGUGAAACUUAUACUUUCAAGUUGCCGUCUUUGGAGUUAUUGGCGGUUACUGACGUGCAAAACUUAAGCCUAUUAGCUCCAAAGCUUAUUGCCACACAUCCCCGAUUGCAAGUACGCACCGCGUUGGGAGUGGCUGAAUGGAUGGGGGACCUCAAUGCCACUCUAGGGAAUAUUUACGUAAUCACUUAUGCGUGCAUAUGCGCACACUAAAAUAUGUUUUUUUUCUUUUUCCUUUUUGGAAACUCGAAUUAUAUCUCAAGAAAACAUCUCUCUUUUAUUUCUAAUACCGAGAAGAAUGAAGCUGACGGAAUUCUACUAGACACCAUAUAACGAGGAUGUUAACAAUCACAAAAGGUUGUGGCUUCGGCUAUUCGCUUACUUUCAUAUGUACAAACCAAUAAGAUGUCAGUUCGCCAAAAAAAAAAAAAACCAAUAAGAUGUCAUUUGUUGCACCAGAAUUUCAUUCUAAAGAUUCUGUUUCCGUUGCUUACUAUAUGUAUAAUUAAUUUCGAGUGCGAUUAUUACUGUUUGAAUUCAUCUCUCGACUGCCUAUGGGGACGUCAAGGUGGACACCAAAAUGGAGGUGUGAUGACCUGCAUCUGGAAAGUGACGUAACCAUAACGUGCAUGCAAAUAUAAUUUAAUAAAAUAACUUCAAAUGAUCUACUGAAAAAUCGGCACAGUUUCCUUUGGAAUUAGGUUUUGGCACCCAAAUUUAAAACCUGCUGAAAAGUUAUAAUUAUUUCAAAACCACAUCCCCGACACCUAAUGGGUUAUCAACCCUCCACUACAUGCACGUAUACUCCAAUAUACUUACUGGUGGUAUAGCAUACAAUUUCAUACACUAGUCAUAGUUAGUGUAAGGUUACACACACAUGAUACAUGCUAGUGUAAACUGAAGAUAAAACCAUACAUUAGAUGUAGCUAGUGUAAGCUGAAAAAUAUAAUCAUACACUAGCCGUAGCCAGUGUAAGCUGAAUGGGCAUGCUCACAGUAGGGACAAGAUGACUAUACUGUAGUAUAAAUCAUACACGUGUAAGCUGAAUAACAUGUCCGUAGCAUGGACAAGUUGAAUAUUCUUUAAUAUUAACCAUACACAUGCGGAAUGACAUGUUUGUAGUAUGGACAAGCUGAAUAUACUGUAAUAUUGACUAUACACGUGUAAGCUAAAUAAUAUUAUCAAACACUGGUUAUGGCUAGCUAGUGUAAGCUGAAUAUGUUCAUACACUGUAAGGUCUGGUAUUAAUUCAUAAAAUCUAUUCUUCCCCUAAACGUAAUGGAAAUCAUAUGUAUCUAGGCAUGCUUAAUAUUUGAUAAAGAAAAACAUUUCUGAAAUAAAUGUCCACUGACAGCUCCGGCUAGCUCUCCCCCUUGAGGAGCCUUGUCUACCAAAAAGGCAAUUUCAAGCAACUUCAAGAGAUAAUUUGACCACGUUGCGGAAGUAUGACACCAAACGGUUGAGACCCAGAAGACAUCCAAGAGUUUUUGGAGAAACAGAACGCUCACUGAAGAUAUGUGUUCUAUUUCUAUAGCACGCUUACCCCAAACAAAACACAGGUUAUGGAAAGGAAAAUAACAUUAAGAAAUGCAAAAGAUUGGGGAGAUGCUAAAGAACUCAUCUCCGGUCCUGGAAAUAAUGCAUACAAUAUUGCUCUACCAAUUAAACCAAAUCUUAUGACUCUAGUGACAAGCUAGAAAGCCACAAAAACCCCAAGCCUUGCAGGGAACCCAAAACCAAAGCAAACUACCGAAAUGAACCCGAUUCGAGCCAAGAAAUGACAAUUGCUUAUGUAAAAAUAAAUUAAUCAAAUUAAACAAGGAAAACUUUACACUACUCAAACAAGAAAUGACAAACCCGAUUCUAGUUGAAUACAACUAGAAUAAACAAGGAAUCAGGCUAUGCAAUUUCCUACCACAUUUUCACAUCAACGUGAUUGUUAGGGGUUUCAACAACUUCACAGAAUUACCACAAAUCUCAUCUCCGGCAUUCAGACAGAAAAAUCGAAUAAAAGUUCGAAAUCAAGAAUCGAUCCCAAAACUGAAAGUUGAAAUUUUGGAAAAAGAACUUACAUCAGAGGACAUUCCACGGUGAGCCUGCAUAAAUGAACCAAUUAAACAAAGAAAUGAAAACCGAAUAACUCGGAAGCUAAAGUAUCACAGAUAGAAAAUUGCAUAUACCUAACUAAAAAUGCACAACCUAAUGAGAUGUGGUAGUUUAAGUGUAUAACACAAGGGUGAGAAGUACUCUAGUGCUCACACACUGAAGCCACAAGACUACCAAAUAAUGUAGCUUUAGAAAUAUCAUUCGUUGUUUUGCACACAAUCAUACAUGCUCAUCAGAACAUAGUAUGAUCUCCAACGGAAAUAGAAGUGACACAGGUGAAAGUCAAAAUAAACAAACAAAUAAUAGUGUACGAGAAGGCCCUAAAGAAUUGCUCUAACUAAGAGACAAGCUUAAAUUAGAGUAAAUUGUAGCUAUGGUCCCUUAACUUUAACUCAAUUGGAGCAAUGGUCCCUCAACUCAUCAAAACAUGCAGCUAUGGUCCCUUAACUAAAAAUCCAUUACCAUUGGUCCCUCAACUCAUCAAAGCGUGCAGUUAUGGUCCCUCAACUAAAAAUUCAUUACCAUUGGUCUCUCAACUUUAAUUCAAUUGGAGAAAUGGUCCCUUAGCUUUAACCCAAUUGUAGCAAUGGUCCUUCCAACCAAGGUCUAAAAUAUCGAUGAUAUCCUGAUAUUUCCAUCGAAAUUUUCGUGUUUUUGGACUACCGAUAUUUCCGAUAUCAUCGAUAUUUUAGACCUUGAUAAGAACUCUAUGUGGUACUAAAUUACUCAUAUAUCUUACCAUGCAAUGUAUAAAGUGUAAAAUAUUGUACUAAUUCAUUAUAUAUAAAUGAUUAUGGUGUGUUUAAACUUGUUUCAUUAAUUACUACAUAUUUUCUACACUCACAAUGUUUGCCAGCUCGCUAUAUAAUCAACUUAAAUCAAUUAAAUCCAUCAUGCAAUGCAUUUCCUUCCAAUUUUUUGUGAUAAACUAAUAGAUAAUUGACUAAAUAAACAUCCUGCAAAGUUUCAAUAAAAAUUUCCAAGUUUUUCUUACAAUUUCCGUGGUUUUUAUUCAAUUUUUAUCGAUAUCGAUAAUAUCUCGAUAUUUCCAUCGAAAUUUCCGUUUUUUACUGCCGAUAUUUCCGAUAUCAUCGAUAUUUUAGACCUUGCUUCCAACAUAACUCGUUUUGACAAAAUUUUUGACGUGAUUGACGAAAAGAACCAUAAUUACACUUUGAUAAGUUGAGGGACCCUAAUUAUAUAAAUGGUUAUUCCAACAUAACUUAUUUUGACAAAAUUUUGACGAAAUUAAUUAAAAGGACUAUAGCUACAUAUUUUGAUAAGUUGAGGGACCAAUGGUAAUGGAUUUUUAGUUGAGGGACCAUUGCUCCAAUUUGAUUACAGUUGAGGGACCAUUACUACAAUUUACUCCUUAAAUUAUAUAAUAAGCUUUGCACACACCCCACUUUCAAAAACUAGAUUAGUAUGCCGUGAUAUUUAACAAUGCCGUCAUAAACUUACUUGUUGAAUAACUCAACCCUGUAUUCCAUCUCCUUCUCUGCCAUACCAAAGAUUUGCACAAUUGUUUAAAACCAAAUUCAAGUCUUUCCAGAACACGCAGGAGAUUAUUUGAAAAACAAGAAUUUAGAACAAUAAUUCAAAACCAAAGAAAAGAAAGUCCAUCACUCAGAGUAAAAAUUAACCAUCUUGUUGCUUCCUAACUGUCUGGAAAUACCCACGUUUCAAUUUUACUAAUGUCGAAACACCACCAUCAUUGACCAAUUAGACAAAUAAGACCCAAUUCGAUUACGCCCAACUCACAGAAUACCCAGAUUCCCAACACCCAUUGAACAAUCUAACCAUGAAUUUCCAAAACUUUCCCCAAAAUCCAAUCUUGGGCAUGCAUUAAAUCCAAUCUAAAACUUGAAUUCGUUUUUGCAGAACAAAAGGUAAAAACUUUGGAACAAUGAAGCAAAAGGGUACUUACCUGUUCCUUGUCCAAAACCGUCGGCGCAUUGUGGGGGGCAGCCAUUAGAACCUGAACAAUUCGCAAAAUUAAUUUACAGACUUCUUCGAAACCGAAACAGUAUGAAGUAGCAGAGAGGGUUUAAGUAAUCUUACUCGGCGGAUGGAAUCGAACGCGCUGAGAGUGGUAGCUGUAAAUGCAGAGGGGUUUUAGGUGUCCGAUUUGAAGCCAAAGCAGGAGAAAAUGGAAAUCCCACUGAACUAUAAUGUACGAAUUAGGGUUUUAGGAGUUUGUAUAGCGUGUAUGUGCGAUGGACGGUUUUGUUUUGGGGGACUUUCAACCCGAAAAGUAGUGGAUUAUUGCCCCUUCUUUUCUCCUUCCACCACAAGUAGCGGAUAAUUUCACAAAGUCCUUACAUGGUGGACAGCCGUAUAUAUAUGUCCCUUUCUUUCUUAUUUUUUGGAUUCUUUUAUUUCUUUGCUUACUCAUAUUUCAUCGGUUGGCUCAAGUUCGGUUCACUAAAGUAGCGUGUUUCUUUGUUAUGUUAGAGUUUGAAUAUCCAUUCAAAUGAUUUAGAUUUCUUCGUGCAGACUAUCGUUUAAUUAAAAGAAAAACUCGUAUUAUGUUUACUUAUAGGAAAUGAAUAUUAGUCUCAUUGUAUAUUUGCUAACAACUAUGAAUUUGAGAGGAAAAAAAGUGAAUCCACAUUGAUUUUACAUUCUAAUACGUUCUCAUACAUGAAAAAUCAUAAGAUUAUUAUGGGGGUUGUUUAAACUCGUGGAAACGUGUUUUGAUGUUCACCCAAUAACAAUUGUUUGUUCUCGAUCCAUUUCAAGUUUUAACAAAUAGUUCGUUUAAGCAGUUAAGAGUUUUUUCUCGUGCUCUCAAAACUCGGCGUUACCUAGUGAACCAUAUAAUAUUCAAUAAUGACUUACCAUUUGAAUGGAUCGAAAAUUUCAAAUUGACGACAUUUGUGCCGGUAACCUGUGUAUUACAAGGAUCAUUGAGAAAAUACAUACUUUCACAUUGUGCCGGUAGCUUUCAUUAGCAAUGCUUCACAAUUUACAGGUACGAGGGCUUGACCAGCAUCUCCUCCGGAUCUUUCCACACUGGGGAGUCCUUAAGGGUGCGUUUGGUACGUGGGACGGGACGGGACGGAACGGGACGAGGCGUUCCGUCCCGCGUUUGGUACGCCAAAAAUGGGUGGAACGGGCUGUUCCACGGGACAGAUUUUGGGUGUUUUUGCGUUCCACGUCUGUGGAACACAAUGUUUUACCAUUUUAAGACAAAUAUACCCCAUGUCUUUUUCAAAAAUUACACCUUCGUUCCGUCCCGUCCCGUCCCGUUCCGUCCCGUCUCGUCCCAUCCCGUUCCGUCCCGUCUGCGUACCAAACGCACCCUUACUGUACAAAUAAGAUUCACAUGCGCAAAAUAUGUGCUAGACUACGCGCUGCAAAUGGAAACAAGUUGUCACCCCCAUUUAUCCAAAAAUAAUAUACUUGUUAUAGAUAUCCGUGUAGAAUAUUAUAUUACGAAGGGCGGAGAGCGUGUGUACGGCAAAGUAGGAACGGGUACAGCAACGUAGCAGCACAAGCAAGACGAUGAUUGGAACUGCAACUUACCCCCACACAUUCACAGAAGCCUUUUUCUUUCCCCUGCUGGUGUUCAUGAAAGCGCUUUGAAGUGAAAAAGCCAAGAAAUUACGAAGGCAAGGAUCAUGCAGGCAAGAAGGAAAGCCGCAUCAGUACUGCUAUUUGCCUCGUUUAUCUGGCCACUGGAAAUGUUGAAUGCAGUUACUCCACAGAUCUCGCAGGUUCUGCAAAUCAAAUAAAUAAAAUUAUGGAUAGGCAGAAAAUAACAUAUCAGUCAGACAAGACAAGUAAUUACAACCAUAACGCAACAUAAUGAAGAAACGUACCAUGAGGAUUUUGAACAAACAUAAUGAAGUGUAACCAACAGCAUACAAAUAUAAAAAAAUAUAGAAGAAAAUGCUAUACAAUCACUGUAAGUGAUUUCAAAGGCCAUCAAUCUUCUAUUUCUGUUUCUAGAAAUAAGUCACGUCGUCAAGAUGUCGUUCCAUUUGCUUACCAUGAUGAGUAAAAUGAAAUUUGAACUAGCUUGCUGUUCUUGCAUAUCUUCUCCUCAUCCUGGUUACCAAGCAAGUCAGUCUUGACCAAUCCAUCUAUGAUGUAUUGUAUUCUCAUGUGAUGCAGCUUAUCUAGAUUAUAUUUCCUGUAGCCUAAGUUUGGAUAUUUCCUUUGCAGAGGGUAUAGCGUGCAAGGUCCUAAGAACUUCACCAAAUUAUCAUCCUUCGAGUAUAGAAAAUCUCCCAAAUAUAUAAGCGAAAUAAACUUGUGACGGAAUCAAAGAAUGCAAAUGCUCAUCAUCAUUUACUAAUCCAUAUGCAUAAUGUAAACAUUUACAUCUUUAUUAGAAGCAUACAUAAAAAAUACAUGGCACACAAGAUAUCCACUUUUCAACAUAGGAGCUCAAUUCUUACAUACAGACACACUUCCUUUAGCUUGCAUUGGACCUCGCACUUUCCACUAAUGUAAAUGCCAUAGAAAGUGUGACUGUAAAAACUAUAAACGUAGAACGAUCGAUAUGUUUGAGUUCAGAUGGACUGUAAUAGUGGUGACUACAAGAUUUGUUCUUUUACUAGAUUUUCUCGUAUUUCAUAUGAGCAUACACAUUCUACUAUAUACGUGAUCUGCCUCAUUCAGCAUUCCAGUAAGAAGCAAAAUGAUAAGAACAAUUGUGACAAUUACAUCAAAAGAAAGAAGCUAAUUAGCAAGUAAUCAUUCGAAUAAGCUGAACUCACGGAAGCAGGAACCUAAACACUAUCAAGAUGGUCUCUGUUGUAGCAUGCCCAUAGUAAGAUCAUAGUUUGAAGUAUGUUAGGAUGCCACUUGUCAUCAUCUCAAUAUGACAAAUGUAAGGUUGAGAUGCUCUAGUAGUAGAUAAGAUGGUUAUAAGUUGUCGGAUGAUAGCUUACAGAGGAAGCUAAGUAGUUUACAUAUAAGGAAGUCGGUUGUAAUUGGGAGGGGGUCAUUGGAAUAAUCUCUGUGUAAUACAAGAAAGUACUAUGCAAUUGUGAAGAAGCCGAGCAAGGUUUUAACAUUGGUAUCAGCCAGUGUCGAUUCCUCUCAAUCCUUCAUUGUUGUAUGCCUCGCCGACCCCGGAACACCAUGGAAUCGCGAGUGUCGACUUUGGAAACCAUGCUCGCCGAUCUCAAAGAUGAGUUCAAGAACAGCCAAGAGAUGAUCAUGAUGCAGCUGCAAUCAUGAUGCAGAUGGAUGCAUUAUUUGUGGCUUUUAUCGUUAUUGAAAUCUUGUUGGAAUUUCGACAUUUAUUGAUCAUAAUGCAUCCAUCUGCAUCUCCGUUGUAUCAUUACCCUGUACAAAGAAAGUGGCUCGAAGUCUUGAGAAGCACAUAACCAACAAUCAAACCGCGGCAUUUGGGUGCUCCAUUAGAAAUGGUGGGACUACGACCAGGAAUCCCAGGUACAUUACGUCUUGCUACAGUUAAAAGGGACAAAUGCUCAAAAUCAAAUACAUAUUCGUGAUAUAACUUUGGCACUCUUAUUUCUGAUACAUAUUUGUGACUGAGCAGAUAAUCAUAGAUAAAAUCUUAAAAAAAAAAAUAUAUAUAUAUAUAUAUAUAUAUCACAAUUUCAACCAGAAAUUUCAAUGGCUCUGACGUCAACGUUCUUCAACUCCGCCUUCGGAACAGUGACACUCAGAACUCCAUUCUCCAUGGCAGCCUUAAUCUGAUCAACCUUUGCGUUCUCCGGAAGCUGAAACCUCCUCAAGAACUUGCCGCUGUUCCUCUCCACUCUGUGCCACUUGUCGUUUAUAUCCUCCUUCUCCACGUUCCUCUCUCCGCUGAUCUUAAGCACCCUGUCGUCUUCCACCUCCACCUUCACCUCCUCUUUUUUCAGCCCCGGAACGUCCGCCUUGAACACAUGGGCUUCGGGGGUCUCCUUCCAGUCGACCCUAGUGUUCACAAAAGCCGAAUUCUCCCGAGAAAAUUCAGGAAAUGCGGAGAGUGAUGAGGAGGAAGGGAACGGGAAAUCCUUGAAAGGGUCCCACAGAUUGAGGGAGAAUGGGUCGAAGACGCUGCUGCUUCCUCGUCGGGAGUUGGGAAUUAGCGACAUUCUGAAAAACCGAUGGGGUUGGUUUGGAUGCAGAGAAAUUUGAGAAUUAUUACAGAAUUAUUGCUUUUGCUGGACUGAUUGGAAAAGUAGCGGAUUUGAUAUAUUUAUAAGGAACCGAAGAAUUUUCUAGAACAGACUUGAGGAUGAGGCUGGAAAAGUAUGUGUGAGUUUCUCGAACUUUCUAGGAUGCUUGAGAAUAAUUGGAACUUUCUUAGGACGCUUAAGAAUAAUCCGACGUUUGUGUGAGUUACUCACACAACACGGUUGACUUCAUGAUGAUGAAUGGUGGACCCAAAAGCCUAAGUGUGGGGGUUGUAUGGGCCAUUCGAUUUAAUCGGACGGUUAAAACUGAAGAUACUGUGCAAGUUAUAAGCGGGGCGUUUGAAUCUUUGAUAUGUAUUAUUUGGACUUAUUGAUAAAUAAUAAUAUUUACAUUAAAUUAACAAUAUCAACUAAAUAUCAAUAACAUUUAACAUCUCAUGAAGUAGCUUAUCUAAAGGUAAAGGGAGUUAUAGCCCAAACAAGCAAAUUACCAGUUAAGUAAUAUGAUGGUCACUUAGUGCUACCUUUAAUGAUAUUUUUCUUUAUUUGAGAGUGAGAGGUCUUAGAUUCGAUUCUCGUCAAAAGCGAAUUCGAAUCAUAUUAUUGUUUAGGGUAAAUUGCCAAUUUAGUCCCUGAAUUAUUACCUUAGUGAAAAUUAGAUUCCUAAACUAUUUUUUUCAGAAAAAUUAGUCCCUGAAAUAUAAAAAUCUGCCAAUUACAUCCCUAAUGUUAUAUUCGAAGCUACUAUAUUCAAAUUUUCGUCAAUUUAAGUUAUAUUACUUGCAUGCGAUACACAUUGGAGGGUAGAUUGGUAGUUUUUCAUAAAGAAAUAGUGUAUGGAGUUAACUUUGGAUGAGAAAUUAAUAGUGUACAAAAUAAUACAUAAAAUAUUGUAAAACACACAUAAAAGGAUCUAAGCCUAAAAAGAAAAAUCAUCCACAGAGCCCAGUCAGUAAGGUUCUAUACGCCAUAAGAAUGAAAUAAAGCAUUUUAUUGUGCACCAUAAGAUUGGAAGAAUCAAUCUUAUACCUAGCCAAUUACCAAUGGCUGAUCAAAGUUCUAGCUCAUAAAUAUUAAGUACAAAUGUGAAAAACAAACUGAAAUCUAUAGGCCAAAUUGAUAAUAAAUAAAUAAAUAAAAAAAGAACAUCUGCACGCCCGCACCGACAGUAAAGCUAGUUUAGUCUUUAGCGGAAUUCUUUUCUCUCUUCUAUCCCCCUUUUUUUUUUUUGGUCGAAGCCCAAUUCUUUUUCAUUCACGAAGUUUCUAGCAACUUCUGUUUUGCCUUCAUUGAGCUGUUGGGUUUCAUGCUCUUUCUAGUUUUACGGUACCUGAAAUUUUCCAGAAACGUCUUUGACUCCUCAUAAAUACGUCACUAACCCCACGCCCUUCACCAACCAGUGAAGCCAAGCAAGAACUCUCCCUACUGACUCCAAUUUGAUUCCCAAGGCAGCCAAACAAAACCACAUCAAGUUUUUUGUUUUUUAGGUUUUUUUAAUAAAUUAUAAAAAAUUAUCUCAAUUAUGAAUCCAACUACAAUCUUAUAUAUCAUGUUCAAACAUUACAAUGUUAUAUGAAUUCCUUUAAAUAUUCUAUUAAUUUUAAUUGUUAAAUGAUGAGAUGCCAGGAAUGGAGCUCACUCUUUUGAUAAUUGGAAUAAAAAAUUAAUCAAUUAAUAAUAAAUUAAUAAUUUUUUAUUUACAAUUAAAAUCAAUUAAAAAAAAAACUCUCUCAGCCGCAUCCCUCCGUUACCCCCCCCCCCCCCACAUUUUCCGAGCAACCAAACAAACCAAAGCAUAUAAUUUUUUCCAGAAAAAAAUUCAAAACCCAAGUCGAAAAAUCACAAGAGAGUGCAGACCUGAUUUUUUAUCCCAAAAACAUGCAUUGAAUGUGGAUCCGGCAAUUACAAGCAGGACGCGAUUCCCAAACCUCACAAAUCAAAAUUUACAAACCCUUAAAAUCCCAAUAGAUUUACGAGUUCCCGGAGUGGGAUUCAAAUCCCACGAAACCUUCAUAGCCAUUGGACCAAAACACUAGACUAUUUCUCUACUAGAGAAAAUUAAGAUUUAAUUUUUAAUUUAAACCCAUGAUGUUAUGGGUACAAUGAUUUUUGGGCAUCGGUGGAGACUACGCGCAGACGAAGGAGAUAAGGGAAUAGAGAAGACUCGCAGACUACCUCACCGAAAAGAUCUCAUCUCCCCUCCCCAGAACAACACCUUCCACUACUCCAAAAUUCCUAGGUACUCGAUUCCACUAGCAGAGACAACCACAUCAGCAAUGGCGAUGGCGAUUAUGCAGCUUCAAAUUCUCAUGAUGCACUCGAGAGCUCCCUUGCCGAUCUUUAGAACAUUGACGAUGGAUAGACGAGGAUUGGAAAAGUCUCGAUCAUCGUCAGGUCCAGGAAUCGCGGGCGGGAAGCUCAUACGGUAGCCGGAUCUCGAGGUGGUUUCGAUGACAGAAGACUCGCUGCAGACAACCAUCAAGAAGCAACAAGAGAGACAGAAGGAGAGAUGGGGUUUUUA